rnacentral:lncRNA from 1 species
CUCCGCGCACCUUUGGUACUUCAGGAGGGCAAGCUGUUUUAUAGUGACUUCUUUCUUAGGGUAACACGAAAGUUGUCCCUUUAUUAUGGGGAUUUACCCAUAAGGGAGAUGCACAGAGGAAGAGAACGAACUUCAUAUAUCCCUUUUUUACUCAAUCAAGAAACAACGAGGGGUUUCACGGUCGUGAGCUCCAUUCCAAUUCAACAGACUCUCAGAAUUAUUCGCUCUAUUAUUGCCUCAGGAUGUGAUCGGGAUUAAGCCGCGUGUCGAUACCUGGGGGGGGCCGGACUCAAGGGAUUCAUUCUUUGUUGGCGAAACGAUGGGGGGGGGGGAGAAAGCACGCCAGUGGAGAUGAUCCCUCGGUUCGUCUGAGCCGGACCGGAGUCGAAUACUUCGGAUCCUGCAUCUGCUUCAGUUGAUUAGGUGCAAAUGUGCCUUUUGGACCGAUCGAAUCUUAGGAGCUGGUAAUCACUGAUAUGCUCAUAUUGGUGACGUUAUUGGUAACAUGGUUUUUUCGCUUGGAUUUUCCUCCUUUGAUAGAUCAUAUUUAUGAUACAGUAAAUAUCCCUGAAUAUUUAUAGUAUCUUCGAUAAAGUGCUAAGAAAAGAACAAGUAAACUAAGGGACGGCCGAGAACGAUGUCCUUUCUCGUGCCUAAUGCCUAAGCGGGAGCGCCCCUCUGUCUGCUACCACCGGUUGAGAUUUAUGCCAUAAUCAAGGAGUGCCCAAAAUGGUACAACGUUUGGAUACCAGAUUCAGAGACAUUUCAUUACUGUUCGCGAGCCGGGCUGGGCCUUGAUUCCUUUCAUAAAGAUGAAGGGACAGAGGUGACUCUCUGCAAGCAAGCGCACUAAUAAACUGAGUAAGGUCAAUGCACUACCCCAUUUCUACUACCGAAAAAACCUAAUUCAGCUCUACGUAAGAUAGCAAAAGUACGGUUGAGCAAUCGACAUGAUACCAAGCCUGCCAAGUGGGAGAAGGGGCGAAGCGAGAACUCAGGAAUGAGGCUCAUAUGACUCCACUCGUAGCGCAUGUGCCAUCAGAUCCACUAGUCUCACUGUACCAGGAAGGUCGAUUAUUUGUGUCAGAGCCGUACGAGAUGAAAUUCUCAUAUACGGUUCUCGGAGGGGGGUUCGGGCUGUGUUAAUGGGGGCGUGGUUUGGUAAUACGCCAAUUUGGCCUACCGUAAAGUGAUCACAUACCGAUUCGCCACGUGAAAGCAGGGUUAAGGUAGCUUGCCCGCCAAGCCACCUAUAGGCGAAGGGCCGAAGGAUGGAGUGUACAAAGUCGAUCGUGCACCUGUCGUGUGACCCGACUACAGAGACUACAAGCCAACGCCGGAAGCGACUCGCUUCUAUUCUACGAUAACCCGCAUAUUCUACCUUUUGUUCCCCUUCCUCUGGCCCCAGAACUCUGAUCGUCCCUAGUAGCACUCCCGACCCCUUGUUGGGCACGUUUACGCAUCUCUUGACCUAUCCACAUGACCCGCUUGGCUAACUAAAAGAAGCUUCUCGGAGCAAUGUGAAGACCAAAAAUGCCGAACAUGCAUUCUUUUCUCGGUUGCGGUGUCUGCGCUGGUGAAUGGAAGCCCCCGCAGCAAAAAAGAAGAGGCUCUUCCCACGGCUCUGUCACCAUUGACUCUAUUUAUUAUUAUGGUACCCUCCCACCAAAAAAAGAUGUGUGGUUCGGUGGUUCGACCAGAAAUGCUAUGCUUAUGCACAAUUCGCCAGGAAGUUGGUGGGCUCAUCAUGAAUUAGGUCGGGGUGGCUGGUGAUUUCGGGAUCCCGUAGAAAAUGCGUCUUUACUUGCAUUUCUUUGUCCUACUUGGGCUUUAUCUGAAGAUGUGCGAAAAAGUCUAGAUUUCAUCAUCAAACGUAGUGAGAGCACUCAGAAACCCGGGAGGCCAGGCAGUGAAACGUUCCGUAGACUGCUCACCCGGCCACACCUCGGAGCCGAGAAGUGCAUUGUUGGAACUGGAUUGGAACGCCAAACAGCUCUAGAUUCGAAAAAACACUAUUUUUUAUCCAGCAGCUGCUUUUAUUUUCUCUACGAAGAGAGUGGCUAGCUAGUGCAACCACCCUUGCUUUUGGUUUAUUUUCAGUCAACCAAUAGUAGAUACAGGAGGAGGUGGAGCAACAAGAUAGAAGGGAAAACAUCUGUACUAUGGGGAGGACUAUCCAAGCCGAGAGUGGAGUUACGUGAAUAGCCGUCUGAUGGAAAACAACUUUCAUGUUCGGUUCAGAGAGCACUUUUUUCGUUGAGAUAAGAUUCAAGAGCUAUAAGCUCACCUUGGGGUUCCUUAUAAGCACUUGUCUUCUUUCUAACAUCACCAGGUGUCAACCCAACCGGUUCUCUUCGUCUAUCCUUCAGUAAGAGUUAUCCGGUGCUUUGGCUUGGAUUAGGGCCGAUAGUAGUACACUGUUUGGGACGGAGUCAGGGCCCUUCUCACCUCCUACAGCUGCCUCCCCGGCACCACCACCAUAAUGAAUGGCUCAAACAAAUAGGAGAUGAGAGAGCCCUUGAUGCGGAUGAUGCCCCCCCUCAUUUUCCUAGAUCCAAAGCCGCUGCCAUUGCUAUUAUUAAAGGUACUAAUGAAGCUCUUUUACCAAGGAAGGUCAACCUCUCCAAGCUUUGCCACAAUCAAUAGUUUAGUUGGUUGGGUCCUGUCGAUCAAGUUAUAGGAGCUGCUUGCUAUCUAUCAAAGGGUAGUGGCGGGCGCGUGAGUGUGCCGACUGCAGAGACUACAAGCCGACGCCGGAAGCAAGCACUUGCCCGCAGCUCCUGCCGCCUGCCAAGCGGGCUCCGCGCUCGUUAUCCUGACUUUGAGCCAUCAGUCAAAUUAAAAGCAGCGCCCUGCCGGCAUCUCCUGACCUCUGUUCCUAUGGGAGAAAGAAGGUGUGGCUUUGGACCCCAAACUCUUCCAUGAAGCACGCCCGCCCCGUGUGCGUCUUUCACGACAUGCCCUGGUCCCGGGUUUCUUCCUGUGAGGCAUAGCAUAAAUGAGACUGCUGAUCAUUUUGCUUGAUUGAGUUGGAGGGAGUCAGAGACUACCACGGAAUCCUUCCAUAGUCACCACCAGGGCCCGGGCCUAGUGAAGCGGGUCCUUCCGGAUCCGCUGCGGGCAAGUCAGCUGACUAUAUGGAAAAUAGAGGUCUAGCCACAAAAGGUCUUCCUCACUCAAGUAGAAUUAGAGAACUGGCUAAUUGUACGCAGCAGGAGCAAGGGAACUCCCCUGGAAGGUAACUUGCCCGGGGGAAAAGUGGCAUCCAGCACGGGUCCAAUAAUUUGAUCGAUAGACAUUCCACUGCUGAAUGAUGGAAACGGAAGCUUUCUCUUACUGAUGGACUGGGAGUUCAGACUGACGGUUAGAUGGUUGUUCGCAAACUCAGAUUUUGACUAUGAUUGGGCCGAACAGUGGUAGAACCUGGUGAACUGGGCCUACUACUAAACAUUGAUUCUCUCUCCUAACCAUUGCUUAGGUGCAUCCUACUGGGUAGUCCUAAACUUCAGUACUGCUCCAGAGAAGGGAAGGCAGAUGUCAGUGAAACGGGUAAUAAUACACCCUCGACUCAACCAAAAGCUCAUAACUUGGUUUAUUCUUGUCGUUUCGAGUCCUACGCGGGAGACCAACCUAGAGCAUGAAUACUCUUAGCGUUUUUAAGCUGGCUGCCUUUUCUAGCGCGCGUACUCUUCUGUGGAGUCGCACAAUCCUCCUUCAUGAUUCGUCUCCUCAACCAUCUGUAUGUUUCACACGGCGCACGAUUCCAUGGAUAGUUUCAUUCGAGCUUUCUUUUUUUUCAACAGCUCUUCUUCUUUGUCAACGCUACUAAGGACCUGACGGUUCGCCUCUUAUCUGGCUUAUGCGGCCGAACACGCAUCUUUCCUAAAAGCAAUUUCUGAGGAGCUUUACCAGUUAGAAAUUUUGAGGAAAAAGGGGGGGAAUAAGAAAUUGGUGUUUCUUUGAUUGAGAGAAGGAUAAAGCAGAAAAAAAAGACUUUACUGAAAUUCCAUUCCAAAAAUAGGAUACUUACGGCUUCCACCCGCCCGGAUGGGUUCGCCCCUACCACAAUUCGAAAGUAUGUUCUCGUUCAUGUUCCAAUUUCCAUUUCCUAAAUCGUUUGUUUGGAGGUUGUAAAGAAGAUAAGUUGACUCAGGCUAUUUCUUCAGCUUAGAACUAUAAACUUUGAGGUACCUUUUGUGCUUUAACAUGUGAAUAGCAUCCGGCAACCAAUAUUCGUCUCCUUUUCUUUACGGUUAACAGGGUCAACUAACCAAAAACCUUUGCGGUUCAUCACCAGUUACGGAUCAACUAUCACCAUCACCCCGAUCACUCCGAUAACCCCGCCCCUUUCCUGUCCGUCCCGACCGGCAGCAGUUGGGUUUCCCCAUCUCUCCUCAGCUUCCCCAGUCGCCUAAGCCCGGCCCGGCCCGCGUUAGAGGGGAAGAUUAGCAAGUAAUAAUUCUUUUCUUUAAGAAAGGGAUCGUAGGUGCGUGAAUAAUAAUCUUGGUUGGAACCAUAGUCCACUUGACGACUUUACCCCACCGGGUUGUUUUCCCUAAUACCUCUAUAUGCUGUAAAAUGAAGGUACUCUUUUUUUCAUGCUACGACCGCCGAUUGUUCCUGUGACCACACAAAGCAUAUUCUCUUGAUUUCUUCACUGGCACCCUUAUCCAACUGUAUUAAACCUUAAGCAAUCAGGGUUAAGCUAGCUCAUUGCCUGAAAGUGGAGCUCGUAUUAUACACCUUGACCCCCACCUUUUUUUAACACAUAGAAAAAGGGCUGAAGAAACCAGUCCAUGACUUAACAAAAGUAAAAUGCUACCCCCAACUUCACUAGCGAAAGACUUGAAGAAGGAAGCAUUAUGAAGGGGAGUACUCUUCUUCUACUGAAUGCGUAGAGAGCUCCGGAUUCUUUAGCAACUAGGAGAGCGACAGAGCUUCUUUUUUGAAAAGGCUAAAUCCCUUUCUUCAAUCCCACCUGCGGAGGCCCCAGUCUUUUUAUUCCCCCUAGCAUCUGUCACGGUCACAAAGGUCUUAUUUUUCAUUCGGGUCGGUCACUUUUCCGGGCCGGGAUCGAGAAGUGGAAGUCAUAAAAAAGAGAUGUUUCUCUUCGCACCUCAGAUCAAGAGGAAAGGUAGCUUGUCAAGCUGGUCUCACUAUUGGAAAUUCUAGCUUUGUAGAUCGUGUGUCCUGCGCAUUGAUCCGGCAGCGAGACCCGCCCUCCUGCACUUGGUUGACAAACCCUGAAACCAUAACACAGAUUUCAAUCUGCUCUUGGAAAUCCUCGAAUAGAAAGCCCUUCUCAAGAAAGUGAGCCACUCAAUCUGAGCCAGCGGAUUCUCAUUCAGCUGUGCCGGUGCGCAAAGUAAGCACGCUUAGACAACGAUGUCCUCAGUCAAAUCCAAUUCAAUAAAGAACAAGAAAAUGUAGGUGAACAAAGAAAGAAGGCAACUGCACUGCUUCCUGUGGGAAAGGCCAUGUUAGGCCGUGUGGUCGACGCCUUGGGAGUACCUAUUGAUGGAAAAGGGGCUCUAAGUGAUCACGAACGAAGACGUGUCGAAGUGAAAGCCCCCCUAACCUGAUUUUGAUGUCUUCUUCGUUCUCAGUCCCUAUGGUCCAUUGUAGGAUGAUUUUUCUAAGGCCUUGAAUUCGUUGGCAAGGUGAUCAGGGUCCUCUCCCUGGUCCUAUCGAACCACAAAAUCAAAAAUUCAAUAAAAGGUCAUAAUGGUCGGAAGCUGUUCACUACUUUAGAACCAUCCAGAAGGCAAGAGAAAAAAGCACCUGAGGUCAGGUGUUUCUUAGGAGCAUUCAGCCUUUUCCUUCAGCUUAGCGCCCUUACUUCUACUUCUCUCUAUUAAGCUGCUCUCUGGGUCCAUCCAUAAGCAUGCAUACUGGCGCUCUCUUAUUGGCUAUACACACACACACACACACAUAUAUAUACAUAUAUAUAUAUAUAUAUGUGUGUGUGUGUGUGUGUAUAGUACUUUUAGAUUUGAUUAAAUUACUUCCUAUACAUUCAUAAUGCUACGAGGUGACUACCUAUUAUUGUUUUCAGUCAAUUCCGUAAUUUGUGCUGAUUAAUUUAGUUUCUAGAUAGAGUUAUGUUUUUAUCCCUACAAUGGAAUUACCCCUAAUGUUAUGACAAAGUUACUUUCGUUUUGUCUGAAGUUACUUCUAUAAUAUAUGUAAAUUACAUUUAAACUUUAUUAAAUUUACUUUUGUAUGUCUAAGAAGUAAUUUAGUGAUAUCCAAAAGUAAUUUAGAUAUAUUAUUGUUAACGACCCAAUUUGGUAAUCCAAGGAUCAGAUGUGAAGGAGGAAUCGAGAUAGAGAUUGUCCCGGAAACAGAGUGAAGAUCGGCUGAAGUCCGAAUCGGCUACGACUAAGAUCAGCAGAGUUCGAGUCGGACGGGGUUAGCCGAUUGAGCCGAAUCCGACAAUAUGACACAACAUAUGUUGUCGGUUUAGGUUGACGUGCUUCAUGACGAUUGCCACGCAUGGAUAGAGUCCUGAGAAGGCAAUUGUAUCUAUUAGUUAGUAUAUUUUAUGUAAUUUCCUUAGAGAUAUGUUUAGGUAAAAGUCUGUUGCAAAGACUUAUGGUAUCUUAGAGUUUGUUAGAGAUAAGAGUCGUGUCCGAUAUGAACAUAUUUUGUAAUUCUCGGGUAUAAAUAGAUCCGAGCCCCAUGUAAUCAAACUAACACACGUUCAAUACAAUCUCGGCGCAUCGCCACUCUUUUAUUUUCAUUUUGUUUCGACGAGUUCUUGCUUUCAGGUUGAGCUGCAUAGGUUUCGAUCUUCAACAAGAGGUAAAACUUGUUAUGGUGGCUUGCGUUCUCGGGAUUAGUGCUUCCAUCUUCAUGAUACUUUAAUCUUGUUUAUGUAAUUCGACGAGUUAUCAUAUAUCUUAUAUAAUCUCCGGCAAUAUCGCUAUCUAACCUACAAUCGGCUAACAUUUGUUACUAGAAGGCAGCCGAUUAGGUUAAAUACCGAUGUUGACUUAGAUUAUAUAGGAUAUCUACCACUCUAUGACAUAUCUUAUGACUUGAUUGUAUAUUGUCCUUCUUUUCAUACUUAUAGCUUCAUCAGUUGAGUUUGAUCUUAUGAGUCGUGAUUAGAAUCUUAAUCUCUAGCCUGUCUUUGGUUGCUGAUUAGGGUAGUAUUGGGGUUUCAGCCGAUCUUAUCUGAUUUAACUACAUUUAUCCUACAUGCUUCUUUGACAUGUUAAAUUUGCCCUUUAUGUUAAGAUCUCGUUGCAUUUAAGUAUAUUAGGCUUUUUGUUUGAUAUAUUCUACUCGCUUUAAUAUCCUAAUAUAGAGUAGUAUCGGAGUAUUAGCCGAUACAUGCUAGAUCUAUCUGAUCGGCUAUGCUAUGAACACAUAUAAUCUCAUUAUUAGUAUAUAUUUCGAUCUAAGUGAUUUAUACUGUCUCGGCAUGACGACCGAUCUAUCCCAAUCACUUGAUUUAAGUAUAUAUCGAUCUAAGGAUUAUAUAUUGUUAAUAUCUGCAGCCGAUCGAGUAGAUUUAGUUCUUUGUUAUUUCUUAAUGACUGCCGAUCGAUGCAAAUAUGACGUCGGCUCAAGGAUAAAUGAUAUCUCAUCGGCACUUAGCCGAUCGGCUAUCGUUUAUGGAUUUAACCGCGAUUUUCUUUGUCUUAGUUUCCUGUUGAUUGUAGGAUCAAAUCAACUGGCACGCUCACACACCCAAAGGCAAGUUUUGGACCUGCACUGGAGUUAAGCAGAUCUCCCAGGCCUCGUGUUUUUACAUCAACAAUUAUAAAAGUAAUUUGUAAGUUUUCAUCAUAAUAUAAUCAUGUUAGAUCUUGUUGUAAAGAUUUAAUUGCAACGAACACAAUGGUGUAAUCGGAUUGUAGACCGGAUAAGUAAUUUGAGAGAAAAUUUUAUAAGAAGGGAAAAAAGACAUGGAUGCCUAACAUUCUGAUGCUUCUCUCAAAUUCUAAACUCUGAUGCUUCUCGACUAAAUCGGAUGGCCGCGCCAGGUAUCACUGCGUAAGACCAGAUCAAGAGGCCUCUCGUUAUAGAUUUUACGUUUUCUUCUAUAAAAGGCAAAAUAUGGAUGGAUGCUAUUAUUCUAUAUUUUUAUAAUAAAAGAGAUAAAUGUGUUUCAAAUCUACAGUCCAUUUGGCUGUUAACGGUCGUUAAGUGCAAACUUUAGGUAUUAAUUCAUGCAUAAAAGAUAUCAAAUAUAUUAUCAAAACUUAAUCGUAGUAGUUUACUACUAAUCACUUCCAAUAGUUUUAGUAAAUAUAUGUAUGCAGGUCAUUUAAUGAGAAAAUACACUAGUCAUGCGAUGAAAAUGACCCUCCAACCAAUCAUGCACGAGUACCAGGAUUAGAGGGCCCACCUGACAAAUGAAACCGACUUAAAGUGGGGCCAAACCAUCCUAACCGCGAUAAGGGCCCACCAAUCAGUCUCCUAGUCAACAGAGAAGACUAGGAGGUGGAGCCCAGGGGUCACCCGAACCCCUGGUUCAGCUGAACCACCUCUGGCGCAUCUCAUCCUAGCCUUCCAUGUCUAGGUCCCAAAUGGCUUUCCAAUGAUGGUUAUGCCCGAUUCUCGGCCUGGAUAACUGUUACAACCGUCAUAUAGAGGCUAUAAAAGGAGGAGCUCAUGCACCUUCAACACACACAACUUGAGCUCAACUAGAGUAUAGCUCACUUGUAGUUUAAUAUUUAGUAUGUUGGCUUAGUAGAGAGUGAAGGGAAGCUCUAGAAGGAAUUCUCCAAAAUAUCAAAGUUCCUCCAAGAAUUUCACGAAGGAGUGCCGGAGUGUUAACAUUCUUGCAACGGAGUUUCGAAGAAAGUCGGAAUUGUCAGCCAUCUUCUCUCGCUUGUACCUCGACAGAUGGUUCUUUUGUCAAAGUAAGUGUUCGAGUUUCUUUAUGUUCUUUAAUUAGUUUAUUUAAGAGAGUUAUAUUCUCAUCGGUGCAGGUUUGUCGCUUAGUGUGCAAUUUAGUGCUCUAGUACUAGGACUCUGGAUAAAGAAGGAACUUCCUUUUUGAGUUAAUGCAAGCUGUUGGGUGUUGAGUCAAUCAGUGUAGAAAAACAAGGGUUAAUUGAAUCCAUGCCACUACAAAUGUGUCAAAUCAGAAAAACGCCACUACAAUUCGUGAUAUCCACUUGGUGCUACUGAAAUUUUGUAAAAUUAUAAUCAUUUCUUCGCCGUUCACUUUUCUGUCAUCCUCGUAAGAUCCACAUCCCUUCCCCAUCCGCUGUCGUGCCCUCCUUCUCCGGCGUACGCUAGAGAGACGAAGACGAGCAAGAUGCGUGGCGAGCGAGCGGCCGUACUGGCGAGCGGUGGGACCAGCAAGCGGCGGGAUGCGCAUCCCGCUUGCCGCCGCCCUCACCGACGAGCUCUCCUCCUGCUCCGCCCCUUCCCCAUCGCCAUCGUUCCCUCUGUCUCCUCCGGCACAGGCUGGAGACGAAGACAAAGACGACGAGCGGCGAGCGAGAGGUGGGACCAGCAAGCUGCGGGAUGGGCGUCCUGCUCGCCGCUGCCCUUGCCGAGGAGCUCUCAUGCCCUCCUGCCCCUUCCUCAUCGCCGUCGCGCCCACUUCCUCCUCUGGCGCAGGCUGGAGCCCAGACGAAGACGACAAACGGUGAGCGAGUGGCGGGAUGCGUGUCCCACUCGCCGAGGAGCUCUCAUGCCCUCCCGCCCCUUCCCCAUUGCCGUUGCACCCACCUCCUCCUCCGGUGCAGGCUAGAGCCCAGACGAAGACGACGAGCGGUGAGCGAGUGGCGGGAUGCACGUCCCGCUUGCCGCCGCCCUCGCCGAGGAGCUCUCCACCCGUCCCGCCCCUUCCCCAUCGCCAUCGUGCCCCCUUCCUCCCUCGGCACAGGUUGGAGACGAAGACGAAGACAACGAGCAGCGGUACCGGCGAGCGGCGGUGGGAUGCGCGUCCCGUCCUACCCCUUCCCCAUUGCCGUUGUGCUCUCCUCCUCCUCCGGCGCAGGUUGGAGACGAAGACGAAGAUGACGAGCGGCAGGACAGGCGAGCGGCGUGGUGCGCGUCCCGCUCUCAGCCGCCCUCGCCGAGGUGCUCUCCACCCGUCCCGCCCCUUCCCCAUCGCCGUCGUGCCCUCCUCCUCCUUUGGCGUAGGCUAAAGCCCAGAGGCGAAGACGACGAGCGGCGAGUGAGCAGCAGUACCAUCGAGCGGCGGGGUGCGUGUCCUGCUCGCCGCCGCCCUCGCCGAGGAGCUCUCCUGCCCUCUUGUCCCUUCCCCAUCGCCGUCGUGCCCUCGUCCUCCUUCGACGCUGCUUGGAGAUGAAGACGACAAGGAGAUGAAGGCACCGUGACAGAAAAUGUGACAAAAAUGACGGAAAACGUGAUGGAGUGUCAUGGUUCUAAUUUUAGAAGAUUUCAGUGGUAUCUACCCUGUCGAGGGAAGACCCUCAAUAGCGGGGAGUCGUGAGACCCUCCUUUCGUGAGUUCGGCCGGAGGCUCGUCUCUCGUUAGUCGCUUGCUCGUCCCUACGACUCUCAGGAGUGAAUGCACGCAGUCGGAUUAUACAGGUUCGGGCCGCUAUUGAGCGUAACACCCUACUCCUGUGUUUGGGAUUAUGGAUGAGUUUUACAAGGGUUUUUUUUCCUUGAGAGAGCGCACUUGCUUCCUCUCUUCUGGAGUUCGGGUUUUCUUUUUCUUUUUUUGGCCCUCUCCCCCCUCCUUUUCUUUCCUAGGUGGGCAGGGUCCUCCUUUUAUAGCUUAAGGGGAUACCACAUGUGCCACCUCUACUUCCCCUCCAUGGGGGGGGGGGGAAACCCCACUCCACCUUUUUGGGUUUCAAACCGUGCCUUCUCUCGGAAGCUAACCAAUAACCGAUUCUUGCGCGGAACUCGGCGCCGUCCCCCCUGACACGGGGGUCAGCCCUGUCAUUCCCUUAUAAAUGAACGAUGACAUGCAACAGCCCUUCCUCGAGUAGCGUCCGGAUGUGACGGGUCAUACCCACCCCCACUCCGCCGGGGACAAGGGCGACAUGAGGACAUGAUUGCCUUAUCCAUCGGAUGGGACGGAGACGGGCCGGUCACAAACCGGUCAUACCCGAUGGACAGGGGUUAGCUAGGCGCGCCGCACGUCUGUCCUGACCGCAUUAAAUGCGGUGAGGGACAGUUGGGGCGUCGCACAUUUAUGGCUAUUCAGCCUGCGCUCCCUUCUUGCUCUCUCUCUCUCUCUGCCGCGCGGCAGCCGAGCGAGGGCCUCGGGGCGAAGCCGCGGGAGAGCCCGAGGGGGUGACGUCAUGCCCCGAGGCCCCCCCCUCCCGCGCUUCUACGACUCGCGUGGCGCGCGAGUGGGGCCAACCUGCGGAGUCACGUGGCCGGAAGGAAAAUAAUUCUCCUCUACUCCACAUACCCCCGGGCCCAUAUCUCCGACAUACCCGAUUUCAUGAAUAGUAGUGGCAUUUUUCCAAUAUGGCAUAUUUACAAUGGCAUGGAUCCAAUUAAGGGAAACGAAUGGGCCAUAUUGUUAACAUUUGUGCUUGAGAAGCCUACGAGCCCAGGAGGCCGAAACUUCAUUUCAUCACAGAAAAAGUACACAGAAGGUCCCUCAACUUGUCAUCGAGUUACAAAAUCAUCCCUGAACCAUAAAACAAGAUAUCCGGCGUCCCACAACUAAUCAAAACCGGUCACUUUAGGUCCUUCGGUGGUUUUGACCCUAGAUUUAUCCAACGUGGCGUCUGAGUCAGCGUGGGACCCACGUGGGCCCCCACGUGUCAGUAUGCCACAUCAUCAUCCUCUCUCUCCCCUCCUCUCCACUCUCCCUUCCUCCUCCUCCUCUCUCUCUCUCACUCUUCUCUUCUCUUCUCUUCUCUUCUCUAGGCGAGCUGGCCAGCAGCUAGGGAGGAGGCCGCCAGGGCGAGGCAGGAGAGGAGGAGGCAGCGGGCGGCGGCUGUGACGCGGGGGAAGGUCGUUGAGCAGCGAGCAGCAGGGAACAACAGAGGCUGAGCACGUUGGCGCACACACGCAGCUUCAGCGCGUCGCGUGGGCACGACGACGACCCGGUGCUGGCCGCCACGGCCAUGGUGAGGAGGCUCACCGCUAGAACAAGCACCGCCUUCGCCGCCAUUGCUAUAGAUCGAGCUUUGCUAGGCUGCUAGCUUGUACUUGUAGCUAGCUCGAGCUUGCACUGCUACUGCUGCUUUGCUGUGUGCUGGGCCUGGGAGUGUUCAUGGCGAGGUGUAUUGUGUAUUUAUAGUGGCCUUGGAGAAGAAGAUGAGAGGAAGCGACGGCGCGGGAGCACCGGACCAGGAGGGCCUCCCCCCACGCCGCCCCCACCGCCACCGCCACCGCAACCGGCAGGUGGGAAGGAGGCCGACGGGGCGAAGCGGGGAGGCCGGUGAGUCUGCAAAGUCGCAGAUGAUGCCGCCGUGAUGAGGUGCUCCUCCUCUUCGACGGAAACGGGGAGCAGGCCCACGCCAUGGGCGUCGAGCUCGACCUCUCCGACAAGCCCGCCGGGCUCGACGUCCGGUCUCGCCGCUACGCGUUCCUGGCAGAGGACGGCGCCCACUGGGUCUAGCCGAUGGCUGCCACUGCCAACGUCAAGCUCCUCUCCGACGGCCGCUGCUUCUUUCCCCGCUAGUCUUCGCCAGCUAGCGUCGCUGCUGCCAACGAGGGCCAACACCGCCAAGUUUAGGAGGACGCGCGGGCGACCGCUGGAGUCGCCUCCCGUCGAGCAGAGCGGAGAGCGAGACGACGCAAGGCGAGGGCGAGGAAGAGGCUGUCGCCGGUGGCGCCGCCGCCGCGUCCGUCUCCACCUCCGCUCCUCUCCCCGCCCAUCGUCAGCCUAGCCCCGCUCCUUCCUCGCCGCCCGUCGCGCCGGCCCUCCUUUCCACUGCACUCCCCCCUGCUGGCCGCCAGCCACGCCCGCCGCACACGACCCUCCUCCCCUGCCGGCUGCUAGAUGCCCCCGCCGCACACGCUGGGCCAGGGCCUCCUCCCAUGCUGGGCACCGGCCGUGCCCGUCGCGCUGGCCCUCCUCCCCUGUUGGCCGUCGGACACGCACGCCGCACUCGCCGCGCAGGACCUCCUCCUCCGCCAGCCGCCUGCACUCAUCCCCUUCCGGCCGUGAUCCUGCAGAGGAGAAGUGAGAGAGAAAGGAAGGGAGAGGAGCUUACGUGGCAUCCUGACAUGUGGGCACAUAUGGGUCUCAUACUGACUCAGCCGUCACGUAGGAAAAAACUGGGGUCCGAGGGACCUAAAAUGAACGGCUCUGUGAGUUGAGGUACGUCGAAUACCUGGUGUGGUUCGGGGAUGAUUUUGUAACUGGAUGACAAGUUGAGGGACCUUCGGUGGACUUUUUCCUUUCAUCACCGGGCGGCAGUCCAACGGCCGGAAAAACCAGAGAGAGAGAGAGAGAGAGGAGGAAAAACAAAAACAAAUCAAAACCCUAACACAUCCCAGCGGCCUCCUCCGCCAUGCCAUCGCCGCCGCCGCCGCCGCAGCCGUCGCCGCCGGAGCUGCCGAUCUCGGAGCACGAGGACGAGAUCAUGGCUGCGGUGGAGGCGAACCCAGUGGUGGUGGUGAUCGGUGAGACCGGCUCGGGGAAGAGCACCCAGCUCUCCCAGAUACUCCACCGCCGCGGCUACACCCGCCGUGGUGCCAUAGCCGUCACCCAGCCCCGUCGCGUCGCCGCCGUCUCGGUUUCCAGGUAACCCGACUCCGUGCUUCGCUUGUCUUCCCCCACGGUGGCACGGUCGCACCUGCGCGCGCUCGUUGUUAUCUGCUACCUGGGAGUUUAGUACAACUUCCCCCUUUCUAUUCAUGUUGUUAUUUUCAAAUGUUGGUUUCCUUUUAGCUCAGGGUACAUUCUUACUGGGUUCGUGUGGGUCUGGUUAUGCCUGAAAAGCUCUCAGAUGUGUUGGAUUUUGGCCAUUAGCACUUAAGGGAUACGAAAAUUGCAGAUUCAUCUUGAAAUUUAGAAUCGUGAUGGUGGAGAUACGAGAACAUCGUUUGUAAAAACUGCAGCUGCUUUCUGGAUAGCCAAGCCAUUUAUUUUAAUUUAGAAGUGUUUUAAGGGGAGAAAACUUAAGAACCUGCUUGUUAAGAAAUUUUGAAGUGGUUCUUCCUGGCGAGCAGCACUAUGUUUACAGCAUAUGCAUAUUUAUACAUGUACAGAGAAGAAUAGUUUUCCAGUGUAGUCUUGUGCUAUGCCUAUAUUCAAGUGUGGAAAAUGUUUUUUAGGAUGCCAUUAUGAAUGCUGGCAAUCUGAAUAUUUGCAGGAGAGUAGCACAGGAGCUCAGUGUUCCCCUUGGUGAUGAAGUUGGUUAUGCCAUCCGAUUUGAAGAUAGAACUUCAGAGAAAACCUGCAUAAAGUAAGCCUCAGAGGGUGUUUAUGUGACUUGAAUUUCUUCUUGAACAAUAUGCGAACUCAUUCUAUUUUCGGAUAUGCAGGUACCUGACAGAUGGUGUUCUUCUGCGCGAAAGCCUUUCAGACCCUGAGUUGAAGCAGUAUUCAGUAAUUAUUCUGGAUGAAGCUCACGAGCGCAGUUUAAACACGUAUGCGUUUUAUAUGUUCAACUGAUCUAUAAGAGUUUGAAUUAAAGUUUAGCACUUUAUCAAGUUUGCUGCUUACUCUUCAGUUAUUCCACACCCAUUUCUUGUUGUUUGAAUUGAAAACUUGUGAUUUGAAAACAAAAUAAGAUAAUUACCGGGAAUGGGUCAUACACUACAUUUAGUUAUAGUAAUAUGCUAAACUUUUGUUGCUUAUACACUACAUAGAUUUACCCAAGAUUGAUUGCAUGCCUGUUGAACUUUUGUUGCUUAUGUGUCCGGUUUUUGGAACAGUGAACAAAACAGUGCUGGGAAGCCAUUCUGUGUGCCAUGAAACUGGGAGUCAACAUAAAUGUAUUGGUUAUAUUUGGUCUUCCUGUACCUAUUUUAUAUAAAUCAACUUAGCUUUGCCUUUUCUUCUGAUGCGUUCUUUCUCUACUGCUAGGAAUUAGUACCUAUACGAUAUUUUCACUCACAAGUAAUGUAGACAUCUAGUAUGUGUUCUCAAAAUUGACUUUGAUAUAAUCGAUAGUUCUCUAUAUUAGAUGUUUACCUGGACAACUUUGAAUGGGAGGGCCUCGGAUCGCAAAUGCCUAGUAACUAUUUACUAACUGUAGGAUGCAACUUUACUGUGGUUUUCGUUCUCCAUAUUUUGCCCAUAUUUAUUAUAAUUGGUUCUCAGAUGCUUCAAUUGUAAGCUAGCAAUUGUAUUUUUAAAGUGAUCGAUAGUCAGUACUAACUUUUUCUUGUUUGGCAUCGGCCACACGACCGCUGGAUUUUGUUGCUAUUUGUUGAAAGCUUUAGUCGCGUUCUGAUAUUUGUUUGUUUACAGUGAUAUUCUUCUAGGUUUAAUGAAACGAUUAAUUAAGGAUCGAGCUUCAGAUUUGAAAGUUCUGAUCACUUCUGCUACUCUUGAUGGUUUGAAAGUGUCAAAGUUCUUCUCUGGAUGUCCUGUGUUGAAUAUCCCUGGAACCUUAUUCCCUGUGGAGAAGUUUUACAGCACAGAACAUCCAACGAAUUAUAUAGAAUCUUCUCUGAGAACCGCUAUAGGUAAUUAUCAUUUUCUUUAUGUGGCUAUAUUUUAAACCUUGACAAUGACAUGUGAAUAUUGUUGGUGCAUCUCUAUUAAGUCACUAUGUGUUAUUUCACUACUGGAAUACAUCAAUCAUUGUCAUAACAGAUAAGCUAUGUAACAAAUGUCAUGGAUGGUUUUGAUAUGUGCCCAUGAAUGGGCUAGCAUUAUAGUGGCAAGAGGGUAACUAGGCCAGUUUCCCUUGAAUCUCUCUUACAGUAUUCGUCCUGCUAUGGUCAAGUUGGAUGGACAAAUAAUGUAAAAAAAAAAGAUGAAAUAAGUGCUGGACCUGCUACACCUAUGAAUAACCUCUUUAAAGCUCUGGCGAAUUUGGGAUGUGUCUGUAUCUGAUGGCUCUUAUUUAUGUUAAGUACACUCCGCACUGGUUUUACUAACAUUAUAAAACAUCAUUUUAAAAAACUACUUUUUUUAAAGCCAUAUCUUGGGAUACCAUCAUGGUUGUUAAGGCGCCCCUAAGGCGGUAAGGCGCUGCCUCCGCUUUACGGGAAAAACUAGAGAAAGGGCAAAAUCAAGGGGAUAAACCAAUCCUGGAGAAGGAGCGGCAGCAGGGGAAGGGGGAGGAAUGAAAAUAGCUGACCUAUGUGGUUGUCGCUGUCGUCCCCGACCACUGGCAAAGCCAGAUCCACCUUCCUCGAUGCCCAGCACCACCUGAUGAUGAGGAGCGGUGGCGGCAGGGGAAGAGGGAGGACCAGAGGGGAUGGACGCGACGGCUGCGGAGAGGUCUUGCCGUCGGUGGCAGUGGAGCGGAGGCGAGUAGGUGGCGCCGAUGGGAUUGAGGAUGGGGAUGGGGACGGGGAUGGGGAUGGAUAGAUAAAUAUCUGUCACCAUCUUCCAUUUUAGUCCUUGGACUCUAGAUAUUACAAAGAAGUCCUUCAUUUCCUAUUUUCAUCUUCCAUUUUAAUCCUUGGACUCUAGAUAUUACGAAAAAGUCUUUCAUUUCCUAUUUUUCUAUCUGUAUAAGGCGUUGCCUCGCCUUAUGCCUUACUGCCUAAGGUGUAAGGUGUGCUGGGUCCUCGCCUUACGCCUUACCGCCUUAACAAUACCAUGAUUUUUUUAACGAAAUACACAUAUUAGUGUCAGAGGAGUAUGUCUGCUGACAUAUGAUUUAUAUUCAUGCUGGAAAAAUCAAAUUUUUUAUUAUUUGAAAAUAAUAACAAUAUAUUUUGUUAAACUUUUGGGCCAUGGUGUUUCAUAUUUGCUUAACUAUUUGAUAUCUAUACUCCUUUAAAAGAAGACAAUGGUGGUGGCAGUGAAUCUGCCACCCACCAACUCUGUUGUAUUUUUUUACCAACUACUCCUAUGUGUACUUUAAUUUUAUAAAACAGUACUUCUACAUAUUGUUAAUAUCUUAUUUCAUCCCUAGAAUUUAUGUUUACCAUGCAAAGACAUCCACAGGGAAUCAGGGAUGAUAUUGUUCCAAAAAUCUUACAAUUAACUUGUUCCAAACAAUGUUAGCACAUGUAUAAUUCAUUUUUAUCCAUAGCAAAUCACAGGUAUUUAGCUAGUGUUUCUAACAGUUCCAAACAUUCUUUUUCUUCAACAGAUAUUCAUGUUAAGGAAUCCCCUGGUGAUGUCUUAAUAUUCAUGACAGGAAAGGUUAGCAGAAUAUAUAUUUUUUUUGCAUGCUUGAGCUUGAUGUUUCUGAAACUUUGAAGGAUAUUUUUUUUGUUCUAUUUGACACUAAGGAUAUCGUCAGAGAUAUGCUAUAAAAUCAGUAAUACUCCUGGAUUUUUGGGCUUUCAUCUAGUUAUAAUUUAAUGCCCCAAAACAGCCCCGUGUUUACUUUAUUGUAUAUCUCUACUACUUAAAAGCGGAGUCCUCCUCCUUACUCUUCUUCCAUCGUGUAAUCAGUUGUAUCUCGAUUCUCCCUCCAUCCCUUCUCUCACCCCACCGCCCAUAAGUGGUUGGGUCUCGAUUCACACUCCCAACCCAUCCCUAGUCAUAUGGGCCCAUGCAACCCAUUCUAAUCAUAUGGGCAUGUUGCAAUGCAUGGGCAUGUUACUAGUAUGGCAAAAAAACACAACGUUUACUGGUCUGUUUUUGGAACACUGAUUAACUAAACAUUUAUGGAUCAAUGGAUGAUCUCCAUUUCUUUGCUAAACUUUUCUCCCUUUCUUUUGUUGUACUCCGUACUUACACAGACCUUUUGAAUUAAUUGAAUGGUAUUUUGUCAGGAUGACAUUGAUAAGAUGGUAUCAAAAUUGGAGGAAAGAAUUCAAAAUCUAGAGGAAGGUUCUUGUAUGGAUGCUCUUGUCCUUCCACUUCACGGUUCUUUGCCACCUGAACAACAGGUAAUUCAUUAAUCUUCCAUUCUAGUGUAUUGUUAUAUUUGUUUCUUGCAUAUAUGACAUCCCAUGAAUGCUUGUAUAUGACAUUUUGGACAUGUAUGUGGUCUCCAAUAUGCGCCUUUGAAUACUUUGUUUGAUUAUGCUCAUGAAAAUUUCGUGGAGCUUUUAUAUUACUACCUCCGUUCUUUUUUGGUGACUUUUGGGACAUGACAUAGUCAUAAAAUUCAUUAUUGAUAGCGAUAUGAAAGUAUUCUUCAUGACGGGCCUAUUAAUUUCAUUUUCACCUAUAAAUCUUUUAGGUAUUCUUCAUGACAGGCCUAUUAAUGUCAUUCACCUAUAAAUCUUAUAGCGAUUAGGAGGUGUUUGCAUUUGUUUAUGAGUCAAGAUUCCAAGGUUUGACUGCACACGUUCUAAAACAUCAUCUGUUUGAGAAUAGACGGAGUGUGAAAUACUAUUAUUAACAAAUUUGAUAAUGUCAACUUCACCUGAAAUAUGUUUUUUAUAUACUGAUGUUUGAAUUUAAGGAAAUUUGAGUGUAUGUUUUAGAUUAUAAUACAAAUUUGAACAGAGAAUAUAUUUUAAUCUUUCAGUUACUUAAUCAAUUUAAUUUUUCGUAUAUGAGCUUAUCUAGUGAUCCAUAGCUACUGAACCUAAUAAACACACCUGGCCAUGUUUCUUCUCCAUUUCUCUAAUUGAUCAAUGAAGCUUGGCAUUGCAAUGUACAGUUCCUACACUAUUGCAGCUAAGUGAAAUUUCUUAGCAGGCAAAAGUCUUCUGAACAAGCCUUACAAUUACUUAUCUAGUAGUAGAUUAUAUUAAAGCAAAAUUUGUAAGAUUUUGUGAUGUCACUGAAAAAAAUUGCCAACUAGGAAUAUUUCAAUGUUUAUUUUUCCUUUUUUGUUGUGUGUAUUGCUUGCUGUUGAUCGACUUUCUUGGGGGACUAGAGUAUCUUUUUUAUUCUGUGCUUGCUGCAUUGCUGCAACAGGAUAACCUUGGAUGAUAUUUAACCAACCCCCUAACAAUAUAUGGCUAUGAUAGCAAAAUUUAACUACCUGGGGAUCACGUUCUAACAAAUGGAUGCACUGAUGGAUGCGAAUUAUAAUAGGCUCAACUGAGAGUUGAAAAGCAAGGUCGAUCCCGAUUUGUUGCCAAAGCUGCUGUUUUGGUCUAAUCUUUUUGGGUUUAAGCACACUUAUUAGUAUUUAUAUUCAUUAAUUGUCCUUCAUUCCAUUUGUUGGUAAAUGUUUGAUGCUCUAUAGUAUCAUUGCUGAUGUAUUCCCUUGUCACAAUAGGUCCGGGUAUUUGCUCCAGCACCUCCAAAUUGUCGACGCUUCAUUGUUGCAACAAAUGUAGCUGAAACAUCUCUUACUGUGGAUGGUGUUGUGUAAGCAGCAAACUGCAAACAUAGUCAGUUAAAGUGCACAUAUACUUUCAGUUUCCAUCUUCAGCCUUUUUUAUUUAUUUAGUGAUAGAUUAUUGUGUUUAUGAUGUAUUUAGCUGAUUUUGUGGAAAAGUAUAUGCAAAUAAAUACUUUUUUUAGAGUUAUGCAAGGAAAUGGCUAGAAUUUUUGUUAUGAACUACUAGUAACAUGCUAUUAAAUUUAUGAGAGUUACAUCAACUGAUCUGCUAGUAUCAGUUUUUGAAGUGUAUUUUUGUAAAAAAAAAUGGUAGGAGCAAAUGGCUAUAAUAUCAUUAAAUUCACAUGAAUGCUUAUAUUCUUAAACUUAAAAGGAAAAAAAUAUAUGGUUUAUAUGUUGAAUUCACAAACUAAUUAUCUAUUUGAUUUUAUAUAAAAGAAAUAUGCAUAACUUGGAGAUACCUUGUACAUGUCUAGGAGGAAAAAGCUUGAAUAUAGCUUUGCCACUCGCUCUUUAAUGUACGUACGAAGUUGUGAUUUGAGUAUGAUCUUUCAUCCUGAGAAAUUAGUGUUACGAUUAAAAUAAUGUGCUGAUGAACAUUUGUGAUUUCAUUAGCUGUUUUGUUAAUAAAUAAGAAACUGCUGAACUGAUAUUGCGUUAUCAAAAUUUGCAAUCUUUCUAUUACCCUGCUGAACUUGGAAUGGCUGCAAUUUUGUUCUUGGAGACGUGUUUUUUCCUUUUUCUUUUGGGUUUGUAUGCAAAUCACUAAAAUAUUUUUUUAUGCACUAGGUUUGUGAUUGAUUGUGGUUAUGUAAAGCAACGCCAGUAUAACCCAUCGUCUGGAAUGUAUUCACUUGACGUAGUUCAGAUUAGCAGGUAAAUACUAUGUUGCACACACUGUGGUUAUCUGUCUACUGUCUUCAUCUGUUCAACUAGAUCAUGAUCCUGUUCAGAGAUAUCUAGUUAUGAUCCAUAAUAUUUACCAUACUACUUCUUGAAUAACAAGAGUGCAGGCUGACCAGCGAGCUGGGCGAGCUGGAAGAACUCGGCCUGGGAAGUGCUAUAGGUUAUACCCAAUUUCCAUUUAUCAAAAGGAGUUUCUCGAGGCUACAAUCCCAGAAAUCCAGCGUUCUUCUCUUGCCGGAAGUGUUUUGUAUCUAAAAUCGUUAGAUCUACCUGAUAUCAACAUACUGAAGUUUGAUUUCCUUGACCCACCAUCUCGUAAGAUAAAACUCCAGAAUUCUCUAUUCUUAAUUAUAGCUCUUCAAUCUUCAUCCAUCUUUAAUGCUUUUUUGUUGUUAGAAAUCACUUUAUCUAUUGGAUUAGCUCCAAAAGGCAAACAUAGACAACGGCCAUUGGCAAAGGAAAACGAGAAGAACACCCUAAUCUACAGAAACUAGAUAUAUACUCCCUUCGUAUAUAAAUAUAUGAUCCCAUUGACUUUAUUCGUUCAAUUUUGGAAAGUUUUACCAUCAAUAGCUCUCAAAAUAUUUAUUUUGAAAACAUAAAAAAUCAUAUCGGUAGGUUUUUCUUUACAAGUACUUUUACAAUAUUAUAAUUUGUUAGAUAUUAUCGUUAUAUUCUAAUAGACAAGUAGUGGUCAAAGUUGCACACCAAAGAUUGAAUAAAGUCAAUUGCCAUAUAUUUGAAUACAAAUGUAGUGCUAUUCACAACAUAAGUAGCUGUUGGUAAAAUCUUGGUUCUGCAUGGUUUAACUUAAGUUAUUACAUUUAUUGUUCUAGGUCCAGCCUCCACCCAAAUACUUUCAUGGUGGCUGGACGAGCCUAUUUCAAAAGGCAUAUGACCUACUCCUUCCGUCCCAUUUUAAGUGCAAUCAUGAGGUUUCGUGCCCAACUUUGAUUGUCCGUUUAUUUGAAAUUUUUUUAUAAUUAAUAUUUUCAUUGUUAUAAGAUGAUAAAACAUGAAUAGUACUUUAUGUGUGACUUAUGUUUAUAAUUUUUUUUCCAAAAAACUUUCAAUAAGACAGACGAUCAAAGUUGGACAUAGAAAAUCAUGGCUACACUUAAAAUGGGACAGAGAGAGUACUAACCUUACGCUCCAUUUGGCACUGUGGUGGAUUAUGAUAAUAUCUUUUGAUGCACCUGUUUUAGGAGUUGAUGCCCGCUAACUCCUAAAGCCCAACAUGCAAGUGUGCCACAUGAUCACCCUCUAGCAUUUAUUAUCUAGAAUAUUUUAAAUCACAUGCAAGUGUACCACAUCAUCAUCCAUAGCAGUUAUUAUCUAGAGUAUUUUAAAUGUCAUGCAAACAUGACAUAUCAUUUACAAUUUUGUUGUAUUUUUAGAACUCAAUAUGCAAGCAAUGUCAAAUCAUUAUUUCCACAUCAUUUUUACAUUAUUUAAACAUAUACAUAUACCAUUUAUACAAUGUACAAUAUGCAUUCAUCCACAUAUCCCGCAGCAAAGCGCGGGGAUAUCAACUAGUAGCUUACUAUUCCUGUUUGGUAUCAGGAGAUCCUCAGUGAAACUGCAUCCACUUCUUUGCCUGUACAAAUUGUCUUGUGAAAUAAAAACUAGUAUUGUCUAUCUCUUACCUUUGAUGCACAAUGACCUGCAGGUGAAUCAUUAGAAGAUGCUUUGAGGCAAUUAUACCUCAUCGAUGCAAUUGAUGAAAAUGGGCAAAUAACAGAUGUAGGACGAAUUAUGGCAGGUAUUCUCAGCUUGCUUGUCCCAUUUCAAUUGAAAUGAAAUCAGGUGGUUAUUUGAGUUUGUCUUCACUCUUGAACAAUGUAUGCAAUUAAAGUUUGAUCAAAUCACGAGCAUAUCUGGUUUCUUUUUCUUUUAUUUGAACUUCACAUGGUCUAAUUUUAUUUGUUGCAUACCAAUAUAAUAUUGUUGUAUCUUUAGUUCAAUAUGUGCAUGUGCGUUUUUGAUGACUCUGUUAGCACAUCCAGCACAUGAAGUAACUGUUGAUGUGUGGAGCGGCAGCAUGAACAGGGAUGAUCAUUUUCUGUGUUUGUCAUCUUCUUUUUGUUAACCUUUUGGCUUUAUUUUAAGAAGUUUAUACUCUUAAAUAUGUAACGGUCUAACCUCUAAUGUUCUAUAUAAGGAGGCCAUACCUGGCAAUGUUUUGAUAUUUCAAUUCAGAAAUGUCUGAUAUAUACAACUGUUAAGAGGUCUAAUGUUUUUGUGCAAAGCUUCAGGCAGUUUAUGUUGACAUUGUUGUUUUAUUGGUAUUUCUAACAGGAAUACUUACCUAGUAGCCUCCGGUCAGAUUACUGCGUUUUGGGGAUUUUUCUUUUUUUUUUACCCCUCCAGUGUUUGCCGCGUGUUAAACUGUUUUCUUUCCUAGCUGUGACUGGCUCUUUUUUCUCUUAAUGACGUAGCUGGUGUCCAGUUUUGUUUGUUGACGUUUCUACAGGGGUUUCGUAUACGUGCCGGUCUUUGGGUUUUUACAAUUUUUGUAGUUGACUUGCUUACCUGGUUAUUUCUGCUCUGCGUGUUUUUUCCUUGGUGUGUUCGGCUGCUGCUUGUGCACGGCUUGUGUUUGCAUGCGUCCUGCACGUGGUGCCAUGCGCUUGUGUGUGUAGCCUCGUGGGUGUGCCCAUGCUGUCUUACGUGGCUGCUCCCAACCCUUUUGUUUCUACUCCUAUUUCUUAUUUUCUUUUUCCCUUUCAUAUAUUUAGCCUUGAUCGUCCCAAAGUUUUUCAUGCUUGCUGUAUGUUACGUUUCCUUAAUCAACGUUGUGUUGUCAUCUUCGGUUGCUAGGUCGCGUUGUGCUGCUGUUCGGUGCCGUUCUUGUUUUGAUCUUCAAGCUGGCAAUGGUCUGUUUAUUGUUUCUUGUUUUACUUUUAUAAUUUGUACAGUUUUUUUUCCUUAUACUACAACCGUGUGUUUUUCCUCCCGUUGACUCAAAUCCUUUUUGUGUUCACACUUCACAGUGUGUUCUCCGAUAGAAUUGCUAUCGUUCUCUUAAUUUUGCUUUGCACUUAUGCGGGUAUGCCACUGGUUGCUUGGCGCUACAUAUAGUUUGUGCUGGAUGAUUCUGAUGAUUCUAUUGUUGCCUCUUCAUUGAGCAUGAAGGUAGCAGCAGGAAUCCGUCCACAUAUACCCCAUGCCAGGUAGCCUGAAAUGUCUACAGGGCUAGAAAUCUCAAUAAUUCUCAUCUCAUCCAUGAGCUGAAGGAAUUUAAAAGAUUAUGAGUUUGGGUUUUUUUGUACCAUCCUUGAGAAAUAUGUUGAAGUACCAAAAAUUUUUAUGUAAAAUUAGUAUCUCGAGGUAUCAAAAUUUUACACUACAAAAUAUAGUAUCUCGAGUUUUGUCUUUUCCACUGGUUUCCAACCAGAAGCAGCCUUCAGGAGUGUAUAGUGCACUUUUUUCGGUUUCAAGGUAGUGCCAUGGUUUCUUACACUUAUCUAAGUGCAAUUCCAGGUCAAGGAAAACUCCAUUCCUAAUCUGUUAUCUGAUCAACUGAUAAAGCAAUGAACCAGAUGGAUUUGUUCUCGCAAGAUGCUUGUUGGGCAUAGACUAGUUUACUAAGCUAGAAAACGUACUAUAUCUAUGCUUGCUUUAAUGCUUUGAAGUGGAACAACAGGCUAAUAUGGAACCACAUGAGAGCGAACGGAAAGCAUAUUUGGAUUUUAGGGGUUUUUACAACAAAGAGUGAAUUUUUUAGUUAAUCACGGCACAUAUGCAUGUUUACAAGUUUCUAUAAGCAAUAUUAUAUGAUAGUUGAUAUUAACCUGUGCUGUGAUCAUCAUGUGUGGAUGUGCGAUCAUCAAGUUUCUAUAAGUUGAUAUUUUAUCUUACAUUAGCCAUGUGUGGAUUGUCAUCAUGUGUAUAAAAUAUUUUUAGUAUUCUUUUAGGCCAAAUAAAACUGAAGUGAAACGAGUAAUUGCCUGAGCGCGGCGUGUCGCCGCGUGGGCACGUCUAGUUUUUUAAUGUCUGGUGAGUUUUUGUGUAGUAAGAUUUGUUCCCUGUGCAAUGGCCAUAGUUUUCCUCUUGUUUUGUCUUGAGUAUGAGCCGUUUACAUGUCUAUAUAAUGUUUGGAAUUUGAAUAUCUCCACAAUGUUAUAGAACCUGUCUUGGGAACAAGCUGUUGCUUUUGUAAUGAUCUGGAAAUUUCCACAGUUUUGUACUAUCUGCUUCUAAUUUUCUAGAUAUAUGAUAUUUAUUGGGAAAAUUUUGUAUUUGCAACUAGUAACUUGUCUAAUACUCCCUCUGUUUCAUAUUGUAAGAUAUUUUGGGUUUGUCAUAAGUCAAACUUCUCAAGUUUGACCAAGUUUAUAGAAAAAAAGUAAUAACAUCUACAACACCAAAUUAGUUUCAUUACUAUUUGUAUACUAUAUUUGUUUUGUGUUGAAAAUAUUGCUAUUCAUUUUUCUGUAAAACUUGGUUAAACUUAUAGAAGAAUAGAAGAUUGACUUAGGACAAACCCAUAAUGACUUAUAAUGGAAGGAAGAAGUAUCAAGUUGUCAACUAUAUAUUCGAAAACCAUUCUUUUCACAUGCCAGUGUUCCAUCAGGUCACAUUCUUACAUGACUGGUAUAUGAGAAAACUGUUGUGAGAUUUUUACUUGUAAUUCAUAACUUCUUAAAUCCUGCAAUAUGUUGCUAGGCUUGAUAACCAAUUGUUUACCUAUGUCAUCUGAGCCCAUUAGUUCCCAUAUAAAAGCAGUGGUCAAUAUCUCCAGGUCCAGCAGCAUUGCGCACAUGAACAGUACCCGCGUGGUUACUGUUCAAACGUAUGAAGCUCACGUGAUUGCUUUAAUUUAGAUUAAUGAGUUAUUUAUUACCAUGAUCUUAGAUAUAAGUUUCUUAAGAGGCAAUAUAAGGAUGGGGCUGUAUUUCUGUUCAUUAAGCAAGAGAUAAACAAGUGUCUUUAGUCUCGCCAUCUUCUUGCCUGCCCUUGUGGUACACAGCCUCCAUGGUGCCAAUGUGCCACUUGGGUCAACUAUGCCUAAGGCCCUUAUCUUAGUAAUGCCCAUUACAUGCUAUUGUAUUUUAUGAUUGUACGCGACAUGAUUUGCUAGACUAAAUAUGGUGCUUGUAGUAGAUAUAGGAGUAUGACGUGGGUGUGGGUCACUCUGUUUGUACCUGUUGACUGACUCUGGUUCAACAAAACCAAUUUUACUUUUGUUGAACUAGAGUGGGUCAACGGGUACCCACAGAGUAAUUUGUACCCAUCUAAAAGUAGCUAUAUUAUUCCUACCCCUUUACUAGAAAUGUUGCAAUUGCUUAUCUGUACUGGAGUACAUAACAGAACCUAGUGGGUACUGGGUAGCGAUGAUGCUGAAAUUGUGAGUGUGUGAUAAAUUAUGAUGGCUUCAUGAUGGACUGUUAUUCACAUGUGAUGAAUUCUGUUUGUUGGAUAUGAUUUGUGUGUAUGCCACUGAUAGAUAAAUUAUUUGUGAUGGACACAAUGUGCAAGGGUGAUGCCAAAUUUUUGUGGCAGCCAACGCACCCCCUUCUGCCUAAAAAGACUUGGUGCCAAUAACCCUUGGCUCCAGUUACCUGAUGUUGACCCAUGGCCACGUCGGGAUCCAGCGUCGCACAGCUGCACCAGGGUUGAUGGUGCUGGAAUGUUGUUUAGAAAAGAACCAGUACGUCAAAAUUCUAGUGUCAAGUAACUUAUGGACUUAUGCAAGAUAUGUUGUCCCGUGAUAUGUGUGCAGAGCUCCCUCUUGAGCCUUCUCUUUCAAGGACUUUGAUUGAAGCAAACGAAUUGGGAUGUCUAUCUCAGGCAUUGACUGUUGCUGCAGUUCUGUCAGCUGAAAUCACAUUCCGGUCAACUAGAAGGUGGGCAUUUUGUUUUGUAAUUCAUCUAAGCUACUGUAACACAUUGAAUUUUAUGGUGAACUUAUUGCACCCUUACAGCAAAGACAUGGAGGGAAAGAGGAAAAGGCAAGAGCUUCCUGAUGGUUCUGGUUGGGGCGACCAUAUACAGUUGCUUCAGAUAUUUGAAAGUUGGGAUCGAACAGGCUAUGAUCCAAGAUGGUGCUCAGAUCAUGAGUUGCAGGUGAAUGAAAAUAACAUUUUGAUUCUAAUAUGAUACAGUGAAAGGAAUAAAAUUAUUAAGUACUAGUGUUGCAAAAAUAAAUGCAACUGUGUUGGACCUUCCUGCAUAGAACAAGCCGAAUCACAAAGCAUGAUAUAAUACCUGAAUUUUAUUUUAAAUAGGUCAUCGAAGCAUGUCAUGUUAAAUGGGAACAUAUCCUAUGUACACAAGUUUCUGAUACACACUCUGUGCACAGCAAUUAACAAAUGUCUUCGAAAAUUCUAGAAAAAAUUGGACAUGCAAUCCUAAUAGUACUCCCUCCAUUUGGAAUUGAUAAGUGCAAAAGCAAAACAUUCAGAAUUGAUCAGUGCAUAAGAGCAGGUACAAUAGCAGGCUAUUAGCCGGCUAUAAACAUAUUUUAAUGAGAUAAAUGAUGAGAGAGAAGAGCAGCGGGCUACAGAUUUGUAGCCAGCUGCAGCACGGACUCCAAGACACAAUGUGUGUAUGACAGGUGGGACCAUAUAUUAAUAGUAUAGUAAGCAACUAUUGUAUGAAUUGGCUAUUAGAUUGGCUAUAGAUGAAUUGGAGCUAGUAGUGAGCUAUACUAUUGAACUUGCUCUAAGGAUGUGGUAGCUGUUCAGUUUUGCAUGUAAAUUUAUUGUUUUCCCAUGCAAGGAUUGGGUGGCUCUUUGAUUUACAUGCUAGCCAAUCAGUUUUGCAUGCAGAUUUAUUGCUUUGGCAUGCAAGGAUUGCCUGGCUCUUCGGUUCUCAUUCAAGCCAAUCAAUUGAGCAAAAAUAGGAUGCUUCAUUGAAUAAAAAUUGGCUGCUCGUCUUCUCAUUUUGCAUGCAAGUGUUCCUUAGUCUGGAGCCCAGGUGAAAUAGGUUGAUCAAAUUCGAAUGGAGGGAGUAUUACACAUAUGUGUAAAGUCUCAUCUGAAAAUUCAUUAUAUUUUAGCCGUAGCAAAAAAAGAAAAAACUGUCAGGUAUAAGAGUAUACUAUCAGAAUUUUGUCUUUUAUGUUACGUCUAAAAAUAAUUAAUUCAAACAUGAGAUUUCACACAUAGGUGUAAUACAAUUGAGAGUACAAGUCUACUUUUUUCUAGAAUUUUUGGAGAUAUUUGUUAGUUGGUGUGCAUGAAGUGUGCACCGGAAGCUUGUGUGCAUAUGAUACGUUCCCAUCUUAAAUUGCCUUUUAGCAUUUAUAGUUUUCAUGCUAGCAAUGCAAACUUUGAAACAUAUAACAAGGAUAACAUUGUGUGAUCAUCAUAUCUAUAUGCCUGCAUAUACUGUUUGUCAUGAUACUUACAGACUUUAUACCCCCUAGAUAGUUUUCUAGACAUUAGAUUACAAUGUAGAUCACAGAACUAUCUUUUGCAGGUGAGAGGCAUGAAAUUCAGCAAAGAUGUGAGAAACCAAUUAAGUCAGAUUAUUCAAAAAAUUGCAAAAGGUCGGUGAUCAGUAAUUCUAGUUUCUGUUUUAUUGUGUACCCACCCUUUCAAAAACCUACUACCUGUUUGCUUCUUCCUUUCCUGGGACACCUCUGUUGUUGAGCUGUUUUUUCCUCUUUUGUCAAUUCGUUGUUCUACUUUUUGAAUUUUAACUUCUAGGAACUACCACAAAGAUAUUGUUACAUAUGCCCUCCAUGAAGAUGUACGUCCUACCUCUAGAACCUCAGUAAUAUCCAUGCAGUGCUCGACUACAGAUGCAAUAUAACCUGAACUCAUCUUGCUCGUAUUGCAACCAAAAUAUGUAAUAGAUCCAGAGCCCAGCGCAUUACGUAUUCCAAUGUUCACUCAACUACUAUGUUUAAGUUUGGCCCGUAUAUCAAAAACUACUAAACCUACCUCUUUUUUUGUAAAUUUAGGUUCAACAGAUGUGCAAGCAAAGAAAGAGCGGAAGAGUGACCCUGAUUAUAGAAAAUUAAGGAGAGCUCUAUGUGUUGGAUAUGGUAACCAGCUCGCUGAGAGGAUGCUGCAUCACAAUGGUUAUCAUACGGUUGGAUACAGGGCACAACUAGUGCAGGUAUUGACUUCUGCAAUCUAUCAGAUUAGUUUUGCUAUAGUGUCAAGCAUAAAUGGCAAGGGUAAAUUGAGAUGAUUCUGGCGAAUGAAACAUUAGCCAGCUUAACCAAACCAAAAGGUAGCAGUUUUUUGUGCCAAACUUUUUACUAGAUGUAGAAGCCAAUGAAACUUUCAGUUGCUACUUGAACUGUUUAGAUAUGCUGAAUAUGCUUUGCUGAGAGUAUGCAGUUUGUUCUCGGGUAAUUGUCGACAAAGUAUUUUAGAUAUGCUGGAUAUUAGCUGCAAAUAAUAGUUGUCUCAUGCAACAGGAACGCAUGAAUCUCACAGUGACUGGUUUAAGCUGUUUUUGUAGAAUUUUGUCAUUUUGGUUUUGACUACAUUCUUUAGUUUACAAACUUAAUUACUGUUGACCCUUUACAGUUUGUUAUAUAUUCUUUUUGCAGGUGCAUCCAUUUUCCGUACUGGAAGGUGAUGAAUACGGGAAACUGCCGGUAUAUGUUGUCUACCAUGAGUUAAUAAAUACUACUCGUCCUUUCAUGAGAAAUGUUAGUGCCGUGGAUCAGUCUUGGGUUAAACCUAUAUUGAAGAAGCUUGAAAGAUUGGACAUGAACAAAUUAAGGUAUGAAAUAUAUGGGUUAAAAUAAUUACUAUUUCUAACAUGGCAAUUUAUGCUACUACAGUAAUAAUCUCAAUUAUAUUACAGUGGUGGUUCCAGCGGAUCGAAAGAUCCAGAACCUCUAGAGGAUAAACAAGUAAGCUCCCCAAAGAAAGCAAUGGAUGUUAAACAAUCUGACGUGGACAGUAAAAUACAGGCAGCUCGCGAGCGCUACCUGGCUCGAAAAGGCAAGAAAUGACAGUAUGUGCUUAACCAAGCUAUUCUUUGGAGGGUAGGUCCCAUACGUAAUGAGAGGAACAGGGAGUGAUAACAUGACAAUCUUCAGUAUCAUAUUUCCCUACCUCUUAUUACUUACCAUAGCAGAAGUACUGUAGGUACAAGCAGAGACAUUUAUGUGAGUCUAAAUUUCAUCAUAUCCAUCCAUUUGUCAAGCUUGAGAACUUUGUAACCGUUUAAAGGCCUGUUUGGCUGGUGUCUUGGUGCCAUAUGCCUGAGGAUUUUGCAUGCCAGAGAGCCACCCGAGAUGAUGAAUUUUGCCUAGUCAGGCAGCAUGUCUCUUUUGAUUGUUUGGUUUCGCACAGCUGUCUGAGGAAAAAUUGGGUUAGGCUUUAGAUGAUUACUGCUAAUCAAAUGUUGAUCGGAAGAUAAUCUUGCUACCAUUGCAAUCAUGCAUCGCCCCUUCAAACAAAAUCCAUCCACUGCCAACUUUCCGUAAACAAAUAAUUUGCAUACUAAAAUCUAUCCAAAUAAGCUCUUGAAUCUAUUCAGCGAAGUGGAAGCUGCAGAGAUGACUGGCGGUUCACAUGAUGGCUACAGUGCAGCGGCGGCGCUGGCUGCAACAGCGUUGGCAGCUUCGCGCAACGGCCUUUGCGGCGGCAAGAUCCUGUGACCGAGGGUACCAAUCAAGGGCCACAUCUUUUACCCUACAACAUAUAUGUUGAUGAUAUAUGUUGAUGCUAAAAUGUGAAUCUUAAAAUUUAAUUUUCGAGUUAAUUUUGAGGGUUUUUUUUAUCGUAGUUUCAUUUUCAACAUUGGCGUUCAAGUCAUUAAGAACACAUGUAAAAGUUUUAAGAGUAAAUUUCACAAAACUACAGGUAUUUUGCAUAAUUUAUCAAAAAAACUACAUAUUUAAGAUUUAAGAGCUUGUUUCAUAAAACUACAGAUUUAGUGUCUCAAUUUAUCACAAAACUACAGAUUUAUACAAACUAUCACAAAACUAUAUAUUUAAGAAUAUGUUUCGCAAAACUAUAAAUUUAGUGCAUUUGUUUAUCAUAGAACUAUACAUUUAGUGUCUUCAUUUAUCACAAAACUACAGGUUUCACAAAACUAUAAGUUUAGUACUAAACCUGUAGUUUUGUGAUAAAUGAAGAUAUUAAAUUUGUAGUUCUGUGAAACAAGUUCUUAAAUCUGUAGUUUUGUGAUAUAUUGUGCAAAGUACAUAUAGUUUUAUGAUAAAUGAAGACAUUAAAUCUGUAGUUUUGUGAAACAAGUUUUUAGUCCUACGCUGAGAAAAGAUAGGGGAAAGAGAUAAGGAGUUAGAGGAAGGAAAGAGAUAAGGAUAGAGGAAAAAGAGAUAGUGGAGAGAUAAAGAUGAGAAAGUCUAAGUCUAUGGUGGUUCGAUAUAUUUAAGACGUGGGAGGGAGAUAGUUGGUGAUAUCAACCGGGAUUAAAGAUCUAUUUUCUCGGUGCUCUAACGUUGUCUAACACAAAUAGAACCGGGACUAAAGAUGAUUUUUAGUCCGGGAUUAAGGGCCUGUUUGGUACAGCUCCAACUCCUAAAUAUAACUCUAGGAGUUGAGUCUGGAGUGGAGUUGUGGAGCUGCCUAAACCCAGCUCCACAACUCUAGUACAUUUUGUGAGAGUUUUAUCCAACUCCACUCCUAGUUUUGGUGGAUCUGAAACUGUUUGGCUGAGCUCCUGGAGCUGGAGAUAGAGCUGUGCCAAAUAGGCCCUAAAGAUCAUGAAGUCCCCGUGCACUUUUAAACUGAGACUAAAAAUGGUUUUUAGUUCCGGUUUUUAGUUGAACCGGGACUAUUGUGGCUUUUUGGCAACCGAUCAAAAAUGGUUUCUCCAGUAUCUAGAUGUGUUAUAUUACACAUUAAUGUUACUGUAAUCAUACUAAACUUCUGCACGAGGUUUCAUCUACUAAUAUAAAAAAUAUUUCGCCCGAAAACUACCAAUGGAUAAAGAAAGUCACUAUCGGUCCCCUGUGAUCGCUCCCGCCUCCUCCCGUGUGUCACUCUCAUCAUCUCGUGCGUGCUACUAGAAACCGGCGUGCUCCCCAUUAGUGAAGAAUGAGAAGGAUAGGGAAGGGGAUUUCAUUUGCAAGUUAGUGAGGGGAACUGUUGGGGUGUACUUAAAACAACCAAAAUUUUGAGAUUAGAAGCCAUGCUGAGCAUCUGUUGGCGAUGCUCUUAGAGCACCAUCCAAAAAUCCAGUACCAAAACUAUUCAUUUACUUUCAUCUAACCAAACCUGGAUUUUUAUGAUCAUUUUUUUUUACAUAAAAUGGCAUAUAGGUGUUGAUGCGAAAAACACGAGGCCUGAGAGAUCUGCUUAACUCCAGUGCAGGUCCAAAAAUCUUGCCAUUAGGUUCGUGAGCGUGCCAGUUGAUUUGAUUCUGCAAUUAACAAGAAAUAAAGUGUUUGGAGAGAAAAAAUAAAUUUUCGUCCCUCCGCACAGGGAAAUAAAAUAAAAUAAGAUGCGCGGGCGUGCAGUGUACUAAGUACACAAAUAAAAUAGACGAAGGAAAAUGCAUUUAUUAUAAUUCUCAAAGAAUUAAAAAAUACAAAAUCCUUGGUCAAAUGCUCUCUAUGGCCUGUAGGCAAGGUGGAUCUGAAUUGGCGAUUGUGUUCUCCUGUUUCCCAGGGUCUCGGAAGACACCUGGUUAAUUACUCUCGCGAGUUAAACUCGUGAGAAACCUCUGAUUAAGCUGUGCUGGUCGUCGUUGGUCUUUGCUUCACAUUCUCCCACUAGAACGGAUACCCUCAUCUCAAUCGGGCGGUAAGCCCCAUCUCAAUCGGGCACAGCGUCCGUCACAGGCUAGAAGUCACUGAUGUGAAGAGUUAUCUCAAUCGGGCAAACGGCCGUCACGAAUGAAUAUAUCUCAAUCGGUUCCUAAGUAAAGCCCAUCACUGAUAGCUUUGACCCAGACGACCAGUCAAACUAUAGCCCGUCACAGAUGACCUAUCUCUAUCGGGCCACAACUAGCGCCCGUCACAGAUGACUACUAACCUUUAUCGGGCCUAAACUAGAGCCCGUCACAGAUGAUACUCAUCUUAAUCGGGCCUAAACUAUAACCCGUCAUAGAUGACUGAUGACCUCAAUCGGGCCUAAACUAGAGCCCGUCACAGAUGACUGCUGACCUCAAUCGGGCCUAAACUAGAUCCCGUCACAGAUGACUAGUGACCUCAAUCGGGCCUAAGCUAGAGCCCGUCACAGAUGACCUCAUCUCAAUCGGGCAUUUAGUUGUGGCCCAUCACAGAUGACUAUAAUCCACAAAAAAAAUAAAUUUUGUUUUUUGGCUAGCCUCAGGCCUUUGCUAGCCAUGUCCGCUGCAAAAAUGACAGAAACAAACACAGAUAUCCAAUAUCCCCAGCUCCCCAGCAUCACCCAUUCAUACAUAUGCAUUAACAUACACAGACAUCAACAUAUUUCACACAACCACACAUUCACCGCCAUCUCAUAUUUCACAUCCAUUCACAUAUUUCACAUCCAUUCAAAUAUUUAUCAUAUUUCACCUGCAAAACCGAGUUAAUUGGAUCAAAUAUUUAUUUAGCAAGUCUUAACAUAAACAUAUGAAAUAUAUACAUAAAUAUAAGCAUCACAGUUACAUCAUCACAGUUGCAUAAUAAGUGUUCAUCAUUGCCUAAACAUAGAAGUUCAACAUUGUUCAUCAUUUUAGUUUAAGCCUAAACAUUCCUUUGGGGUUAAUUAUUUCGCGGAGGAUGAAGCUGGCUAUCUCCUCGCGAACCUCCUCAAAGCUGGUAGUCAGAGACUUGGUUAUUGUGCCCUACAUUGUCAUAAUUCCAGAUUAGUUGAUCGAUCAUAUAUAAGUACUAAAAUGUAGUUAGUCUAUCACAAUUGAGACCACCGACCUCAAACUCAGCCAAAGUCUUCACCUUUUCUCUAUACAGAAGUCGCAUGUUGUGGCACACAUGGAAUUCGCACUGGUCACCUAUUUGUUGCUUCACCGGGAAGUCUUUUUUGUGGAUGAGGGUGUCAUGUCCUGUCUUCCUGAGGCCUCCUCUUUGCACGUAUUGGGCCCACGCUUCAUCUAUCGCUAGUUGAAUUGGGGUCCAAUCAUAUGCGUUCUUAUCAAUUCUGGAGUUCAGGUAAUGACAUGUACUCCAUUUAGGUGUUAUGACCAGAAGGAUCCAAUGGGCACUGCGGCAUUAAUAUAGUGAAAGUUAAUUAAGUACUCAAGCAAUAUGUCAUGCUGUUGUGUAUAUUUAGUUAACACACUUACUAUUGAUUAUAGGCACACAUAAUGUACUCCUUGUCUCGGCGGGACCACAAGGUGUCGUAGAUGUAGUUGACCAUUCCUUGACGGUCAUUCUGGAGAUUUGUGACAGUGACCACUUGUGGAUCAAGGAAGGCAACUUCCAGUGCAUGCUUCUGACACCAUUGACAACUUAACCUACACACAGGAUCAACAAUCUUGUAAGCAAGUUAAACCGAUUGUUAUUACCAGAAUGAGUUGGGCGACAAUAUUUACAAGGAGUAGCACUUAAGGAGGCUUGUGUCCACCGCUCGGAGCCUGUAGAGGUCGAAAAGAUCCUUAAAGUCGACCACGACAUAAUUUGUUGGACCAAGGAAUGGCUUUCCAUCGUGCUGUCCAAGGAUAUCGGUAGCUUUACUUGGCUUCCUGGCGUUAGAUUUCUCCAUGUAGUAUAAGUGAAGGUCCUUGCAAGCGGUGCCCAUUGCGGCAAGCACGUCAUCUCCAACCAAUGGCAUGCCUAGUUGGAACUCCUGUGGAGCGACGUAUUUCUUCUUGACCUCUUUGCCCUUAGUCUCUUCCUGGCCCUUGCCCAGAUCUAGCUUUCUUGGAGCUAGAAGCGAGGCCUGCACCUUUCCUCCUCUUCCUCUCCCCUUUGCUUCGGGUUUAUCGAGAGUAAUUCUCUGAGGGGAAGAGUGUGCCUUCCUGCUCUUCUUCAUCGGUGGGGGUUCAUGAAUCGUCUUGCUGUCGGCCUCCGUUCGGUCCUCCCCAAAAUCCGUGUCGUACUGCAUCUGCACAUCGUAAGAUUGUGCAUGACGAUCUUGAGCAGGAGGGGCUGAAGGAGCAGAGGCGGGUCUCUUUGGUGGACGACCGCCUGGUGCAAUGGUUGGCCUCGCUGUAACCCUGAUCUCAAUGAGGUCCUUGGGCCAUUGGAUGAAGGUACCACGGGCAUUUCCUAGUGAGAGGACCUCGUCGUUCGGUGGAUACUUCAGAGGGAACAGCUCGUAUUUGGGCUUCACCGAGUCGACUUGAACUUUUGCACAGUCGGCCCUGAGUUGCGCUCCAUGCACUCUUGUCUCUGGGGUUGGCUUGUACGCAAGUCCCUCGGCUGCUGGAACAGUGAAGGUCAGCAUCACCCUAACUAUGAGGGUGCAGCUCGUUGGUUUCUGCGAUAGAUUAAUCAAUUUUUUUAGAAUAUUAUAUAUCAUAUGGAUUCGUUAUGUCUUUCAUGUAUUGAGUAAGUUCACGGUUACCGUUAUGUGGUCGACGGUGCUGUCGACCGAUGUUGGAUUUUCCGCCAACUCAGUUGAUGUGCAACUGCUGCGUUUUUCGAUGGGACUUCCUAACUCUUUGUGCGCAGCAGCAGUGGCGGCCUGGGGGAUCUGUUGCUCUUCUCGGAUCUCUUGCCUAAUCUUGGCCCUCAUCGACUCGAGCUUUUCGUCGAAUUCAUAUGUCAGCUCAGCUCAUAUCGACUCCCGGAUCUUGGCUUCAAGGCGUGCAUCUUUCUCCGCCUUGUUGGAAGUCCGCUUCUUGUACUGCCACGCGUAGUCUGGAAAUCCAUACUUCCAGGGAACAGAAGACCCAACGCCCCGUGUCCGUCCACGGUGUUCCUUGUUGCCCAACGCUUUCGUGAGGAGGUCGUCCUCGCAUCUUUGAGAGCAGGCCUCUUGCGAGGCUUGUUGCUCGGCAACCAACUCCUUCUGCAUUACAAUUUAGUGGGGUCAAAUAAACUGCACGAUGGGAAACAAUGCGAACAUCUAGUUUGACUAGACACUUACUAUAGCUUCGUAUACUCGUUGAUCUUCUGCAUUUGGCAUGAAGAUUGUGCCAUCAUCAUGUUUCUGGUACCUAGCCCUGGCCCAGUUCCUAGCCCGAGGGUGUGGGAUAUCGCCAAACACGAGCGGUGUGCACGAUUCCUCCGCUUCUUCAUCCUCACGCUGCCAUUCCUCUUCCUUACCGGCAUAUCCGGCGGUACCAAGCCGGUGCGGAUGCUGGUUCUUGGUCUGGAGCAAGCGAUAUGCCUCGCUUCUAGCUUUGGACUCGGGGGUCGACUUCUUCGCAUGGAAUUCCUCCCAGACCUGUUCUGUGAUCCAAGGAAAUUUCUCUCUUGGAUCUGGAUUUGCCGGGUUGUAGACGAACUCACCGACUAGCUUAGUCUUGAAGUUCUUCCAAGCAGUGCCCAUAACCUUGAAAGCAGCCCGCCUGAGACGGUCCUCAUGCUCCGCAGGAUAAUCAAAGCUCUCCUUGAACGUUAGCCAAGCAAUGUCCUUCUCUGCGACCGGCACGAGCUUGAAGUCGUCUUGCAGAAUACUGAAUUUCUGCCUCCCUAUGACCCCGCAGAUAGACCUAAAUCGGCUCAAUAUUUUCCUUGGAGAUGUCGGCAACCCUACGGCGUCCACCGCUGUUAUGCGGAACCGUUCCUUAGGAAUUUUGUUCCCUGUCCUAGGAGUACGUGCCCUUGAGGACCCACUAGUUGUCGUCGACAUUGGUUCGCCUUGCUGAGACAUUGUCUACUUUUUUCCAAAAAAACAAAGAAAACACAAUUGAGUGCUACAAUCUAUUACAAUCUAUUAACCACAUUUCACAAUAAUUUCAUUCAUGCACCACAUUUCAUCCCAACAUAAAUAAACCACAUUUCAUCCCAACAUAAAUAAACCACAUUUCAUCCCAACAUGAAUAAACCACAUUUCAUCCCAACAUGAAUAAACCACAUUUCAUCCCAACAUAAAUAAAUCUCAUUUCAUCCCAACAUGAAUAAACCCAACAUGAAUAAACCACAUUUCAUCCCAACAUGAAUAAACCACAUUUCAUCCCAACAUGAAUAAACCACAUUUCAUCCCAACAUGAAUAAACCACGUUUCAUCCCAACAUAAAUAAACCACAUUUCAUCCCAACAUGAACCACAUUGCAUAUAAAUAAAGUUAAAUGAACUACAUUUCAUCAAUCACUACAAUCAUCUAUCACAAAAUUCAUAAAUGCACCACAUUUCAUCCCAACAUCGACAUGUCUCACUCACAGUUCAAUCACAUAUCAUCCACAUCCACAUUUCAAUGACAUGUCAUUCACAGUUAGCAGAGGGCGGCGCGAUGGAGGACUCACCUGAGGAUGGCCGGUGGGGCUCGGUGGCGGCGGCGCCCGGGCUCGGUGGAAAGCGGCGCCGGUCGGAGGAGACACCGAUCGGGCAGGUCGGCACCGGGCGGGCGGCGUCAUGCUCAGUGGGGGUCGGCGACGUGGGUCGGUGAGGACGCGGGCGGCGACGACGAGGAAGGCCAACACCGGUCCGGUCGGUGUAAAGGCUCGGUGGCGGCGGCGGCGGGCUCGGGGGCGGGGGUCGUCGGUGAGGAGGCUCGGCGGCGGAGGUCCAAAUGGAGGGCCGAGGAGGCUCGGUGGUGACGGCGGCAGGCUUGGCGAGGGAGGACGACUGCGGCGGCGGCGGGCUCGGUGGCGACGGCGGCGGGCUUGGCGAGGGAGGAUGACGGCGGCGCUAGGGUUCUAAGGAGGCGGGAAACUGUAGCGGGACUUAGAAAAAUUUUCGAUCCACUCUGAGAAACCCUAGUUAUAUUAGAGUGAUGAGUCAUCUCAAUCGGGCUUUGCCGUAGGGCCAGUCACAGAUGACGCAUCGGUGACGGGCUCCAUACUAAUGCCCGAUUGAGAUGACAUUCAGGCCCGUCACGGAUGACUCAUCUGUAACGGGCCCUAAGAUAAUGCCCGAUAGAGAUAGAUUAAUCUCUAUCGGGCUUGAACUAAGGCCCGUCACCGAUGACUAUUUUUCCAUUUCCCAGGUAAGUCUUUAUAUUUGUGAGUACAAAAUAUAUAGCUGCUGUAUAAUAAUUUAUUUUAUUAGUUAUAACACAUUUUCGGAUAGUAAAUGAUUUCAAAUCGAAAUAUGGUCAACAACAAAAUUGUAGAGGUUAUCAAGAUCUACAACUUUUAUUUUGGUCAUUUGUCUAUAUAACUUUGUUUCCAACAGCUUGAAAUUGAUUUUGACAAUAUGACAAAUAUAAUCAACAUUUGUAAAUACUAAAUGAUUUGAAAUGGAAAUAUGGUCAACAACAAAGUUGAUCCUCUCAUCAAGAUCUAUAACUUUUAUUUUGGUCAUUUAUCUAUAUAACUUUGUUUCUAACAGCUUGAAAUUGAUUUUGACAAUAUGACAAAUAUAAUCAACAUUUGUAAAUACUAAAUGAUUUGAAAUGGAAAUAUGGUCAACAACAAAGUUGAUCCUCUCAUCAAGAUCUACAACUUUUAUUUUGGUCAUUUAUCUAUAUAACUUUGUUUCUAACAGCUUGAAAUUGAUUUUGACAAUAUGAAAAAUAUAAUCAACAAUUGUAAAUACUAAAUGAUUUCACAUGGAAAUAUGGUCAACAACAAAGUUGAUCCUCUCAUCAAGAUCUACAACUUUUAUUUUGGUUACUUCUUCAUCCGACAAAGUGAUAGUUAUAUUAUUCAUAAAAAUCACAUUUUUCUCAUCUGGUUUACAAAUAUCAACACAGAUAUGUUAAUUUUGUAAACAUUGGUACUAUCACUUUGUCAGAUGAAGAAGUGACCAAAAUAAAAGUUGUAGAUCUUGAUUAGCUGUACAAGUUAGCUGUUUAUGGCUUUCCCAUUUAAAGUCAUGUAAUAUUUACAAAUGCUAUUUAGAUUUGUCAUAUUGUCAAAAUCAAUUUCAAGCUGUUGGAAACAAAGUUAUAUAGAGAAAUGACCAAAAUAAAAGUUGUAGAUCUUGAUAAACUCUACAAUUUUGUUGUUGACCAUAUUUCGAUUUGAAAUCAUUUAUUAUCCGAAAAUGUGUUAUGACUAAUAAAAUAAAUUAUUACACAGCAGCUAUAUAUUUUGUACUCACAAAUAUAAAGACUUACCUGGGAAAUGGAAAAAUAGUCAUCGGUGACGGGCCUUAGUUCAAGCCCGAUAGAGAUUAAUCUAUCUCUAUCGGGCAUUAUCUUAGGGCCCGUCACAGAUGAGUCAUCCGUGACGGGCCUGAAUGUCAUCUCAAUCGGGCAUUAGUAUGGAGCCCGUCACCAAUGAGUCAUCUGUGACGGGCCCUACGGCAAAGCCCGAUUGAAAUAGAUUAAUCUCUAUCGGCCGUAAACCAAGGCCCGUCACCGAUGACUCAUUUUCCAUCUUUCAUUUGUUGUGAGUGCAAAAUAUAUAGCCUAUAUAAUUUUUAUUUUGGUCAUUAUUCUAUAUAAUUUUUUUCCCAACAGCUUGAAAUUGAUUUCGACAAUAUGACAAAUCUAAUUAACAGCAUUUGUAAAUACUAAACGAUUUCAAAUUGAAAUAUGGUCAACAACAAAGUUGAUCCUCUCAUCACGAUCUACAACUUUUAUUUUGGUCAUGUGUAAUAAAACAAAAUUAGCCAUAUUAAUGACUACACAUAUCAAGUCUUUGCAAUAAAACAAAAUACUUCAUUCAUUACAAUAGAUAAGUACAAAUGCAUCAGUCACAAGGUUAUGCCUUCGGUAUGAUCUGAACGAGCAUAUGCCACAGGCUCUUGGGGAUCAUCGUCAAGGUCAAUGUGAGGUCUUACAUGAAGAUUAUGGUUGUAUUCUUCUUCAUCGACGAUGUUGUCAACUGCUACAAUUCGGCGCUUUCCAUCCCUCACGAUGUGCAUCUUCUUGUUUGAAGGGUCUUUUAUAUAGAAUAUCUGCUCGACCUAUUUCGCAAGUACAAAUGGUUCAUCGUCGUAUCCCACCUUAGAUAGAUCUACUAAAGUGAAACCUUCCUUGUCGGCUUUGACACCAGUGCGUAGAUUCACCCAACGGUAGCGGAACAAAGGAACCUUGAACUUGACGUAGUUUAGCUCCCAGAUCUCCUCAAUGCGGCCGUAGUAUGUGUUUGACCCAACUUGAUCCUGGAAUGCAUCUAUACGGACGCCACUGUUUUGCACUGUGCAUUUGUCAUCUUGUUUGACGGUGUAAAAUGUGUAUCCAUUUAUAUCGUAUCCUUGCCAUGUGUCUAUGGUCCAAGACGGUCCCAUCCCCAACAACUGUACUGUCUCAUUUGGGACAACCGUGGACAUUGUCACACGAUUCUUGAACCAUUCGUUGAACCGAGAAUUAUGUUCUCUGUUAAUCCAUGCAUCAGAUGGCCCCAAGUUCUCAUCUCGGAUUUUCGCUAAGUGCUCCUCAAAGUAUGGGCCAACUUCUGUCAUAUGUUGGAGCACAGCGUAAUGAGCCUGCGCGUACGACGCUUGAUCGGGCUUAAUUCUUUUCCUUCCGAUUGUGCCAACACCUGACAACCUUCCCUCGUGACGAGACGCUGGAACUCCGAUAGGAUCGGCAUCGGACAUGUAAUUGACACAGAACUCAAUAGCCACCUCGGUCGUGUAACCUUCAAUGAUGCUCCCCUCGGGUUUAGCUCUGUUACGAACGUACGACUUCAGAACUCCCAUGUACCUUUCAAACGGUCACAUUUCCCUUAGAAAAGCUGGACCACAUAGUUUUGUUUGCUUCACCAGAUGAACAGGGAGAUGAACCAUUAUAACAAAGAAAGACAGUGGGAAAAACAUCUCCAGGUGACAGAGGGUAUUCACAAUAUUGGUCUGCAGCCCAUCUAGAUCUUCUGGAUCUAUAACCUUCUGUCCAAUUGCAUUGAAGAAGGCGCACAGACGUUGGAUCGUGUGACGCACUUUCGGUGGUAGAAUGCCUCUGAUAGUAACUGGCAAGAUUUGUGUGAUUAGCACGUGGCAAUCGCGAGACUUCAUUCCAACAAGUUUUAGAUCGUCCAAUUUAACAUACUUACUUAUCCUCGCUGAAUAGCCCGAUGGAACUUUAAUAUCCUUCAAGCAUGAUAACAUUGCGAUCUUCUCAUCCUUCGACAGUGUGUGGCAGGCUGGAGGGAGGUACACUUUACCUGUCUCUGCAUCUUGUAUGGGCUGGAAUUCGCUGCGAAUAUUCAUGUCCUGUAGAUCAAGGCGCGCGUUCAACCCGUCCUUUGUCUUCCCGGGAAUAUUCAACAUCAGGCCAACCAAACUCUCACACACAUUCUUUUCUACAUGCAUGAGAUCAAUGCAAUGACGGACAUCAAGAUCUUUCCAGUAAGGUAGCCGCCAAAAUAUGGAUUUUUUCUUCCACAUACCCUUCUCCUUUGUCUUGCUACGUUUUCUUUUCUUCCCAAACUCAUUGCUUAUGUCCUUGACCAUAUUGUGGACCUCAUCUGCGGACAAAUCUUUGGGAGCAGGCUGAAGUUCUCUCUUACCAUUAAAAAUUUUCUUCUUUCUUCUAAAUGUGUGACGUAGCGGGAGCCACCUCCGGUGACCCAUGUAUACCAUCUUUCGUGAUUUCUUCAGCCACCGGCUUCGUGUAUGUUCCUUGCAAUCGGAGCAUGCCUUCUUUCCUUUUAUAGUUUGUCCGGAAAGAUUACCGAGUGCAAGGUAGUUAUUAAUGGUGCAAAACAAUAGAACUCUUAGCUUGAAGUUCUCCUGACCAUAUGCAUCCCAAGUUUCCACACCUUCUUUCCAAAGAAUCUCCAGAUCGUCGAUAUCAUUGCCGGGUUGCCUUGGACCUUGGAUUAACAAGCACAACAUAAUAUAUUUCCGUUUAAAGCAUAACCAUGGUGGGAGGUUAUAGUUCGCAAUAAGAACUGGCCAAGUGCUGUGAGUACUACUCAUGUCACCGAAAGGAUUCAUGCCAUCCGUACAAAGACAUAUCCUCAUGUUUCUAGGGUCAGCAGCAAAGUCUUUGUGUUUUCGAUCUAUAUUCCUCCAUUCAAUCGAAUCCGCUGGGUGUCUAAGCAUACCAUCAUUCCUUCUUUCCGUGGCGUGCCAACGUACUAACUUCGCUUCGUUCGGGUUGGCAAAGAUUCUCUUGAAACGAUCAAUGAUAGGUAGAUACCACACAACCUUUGCCGGACCACCCCUCUUUGACUUAUUUCCUUCGUCAGCACUUUUCUUUCGCUUGUAUCGAGAAGCCUUGCAGAUAGGACAAGCAUCCAAGUCCGCAUAUUGCUUGUGGUACAAUAUGCAGUCGUUGGGACAAGCGUGAAUUCUACGGACCUGCUUUGCUUCGUAUGUCGUCUCGGGCAAUGUGUUCUCAACAGGAAGCAUAGCCUUCAAAAUUCCUAAAAGAUCUGUGAAACUCUUGUCUGUCCAUCCACUACUUACCUUCAGCUUCAUUAGGUCCAAGGUAACUGACAACUUAGUGUGUUUUGCUUUGCAUCCAGCGUACAAAGGCGUCUCGGAAUCACUUACCAACCUGCUGAAUUUCAUUCCAUCUCUCUCAUUCUGGGCUGGGUCCUCAACGUCACGUAACAUGUCUUGCAGCAGAUCGUGAUCCACAUCAACCAUUUCACCGCCCAAUGGAGAAGGUAUAAACAUUUCAUGCUCAUUUUCAUCUUCCUGAUUAUGCGCACCACUUCUGUCUGCUGCUGCUCCACUUCCUGAUUCUUGCUCUCCAUACUUCACCCAACAUGUAUAGCCCUCCAUGAAUUCUCGUUGUAUCAGAUGACCGUGUACGUCCUCUCCGCUAUCAAACAUAUUCUCGUUCUUGCAAUCUGCACAUGGACAACACAUAUAAUCACUGUUUCUUCUUAUCCGAUCCUCCUCCGCGGCGUUCAUAAAUUUUAUUACGCCAUUUCGGUACUCCGUAGAAUGACGUUUCAAAUUUUUGGCAUACAUCCAACUUCGAUCAAUUGCUACAAAAUAAAAAAAACAAAUUAGAGGCACAUAUUAUAAGAUCAGUAUUGCAAAAGUAAGACGUGAUGAAAUUGCUCAAUUAAUGAUUUAUAUUACUCACUUGAUUGAUCCAUUUUGAUCACUUUUGGGAAUUUAAUUUCUGUUUUCCUUGGAAAAAGGACAAAAAAUGCCCCCAACAGCCUCCCACCAAAAUAGUGAACAGUGGGAUACAGUUACACUAGGUGGUGGGGGGUAUUUAUACUGUGCAACAAAUAUCUGUAACGGCCCUAAAACAAUCAACCGUGACGGGCAUACAAGUAAUCUCUAUCGGGCCUUAAUAAAAGGCCAUCAAAAAAUAGUGUCAUCUGUGACAGGCAAUAAACUUAUCUCAAUUGGGCCUCUAGUUGGAGCCCAUCACAGAUGACCCUCAUCUGUGACGGGCUUCUUUUAGGGCCCGAUUGAGAUAUGGAACCCUCAUCUCAAUCGGGCAUCAACUAUAACCCGUCACAGAUAAGUGUCAUCCGUGACGGGCUUUAGUUUUAUGCCGAUAUACUAUGGCUGUGCGACCAUAUCUCAAUCGAGCGAAACUUCGGCCCGAUUGAGAUUACUUCCUUGUGACGGCCCGCAAAUUCCAGUCUUGUUAUGGGCCGUCACAGAUGGAAGGAUCUGUACUAGUGUCCCAUGCAUGACGGUGAUGGUGGUGUAGAUGUGUGUGGGCAUCGACAACGGUCCACGGCCUCGUUGGUCCGUGCGCCGGUGUUGGUGACGUCAUCUUCAUAUAGACUCUUCCCGCCCUGCCAUUUAGCCUCGUCGGUGGAGGUAAAGAUGGUGCUCGUAGUGGGGACUAGCAUGGCAUUGGCUGGGGUGAGAAUAAGAUGACGGUGUCGGUAGUGGUGCUGAGCUCGAGUAUGUUCAUGGUGGCCAUGAAGAGGUCAUCAGCGAAAGCACAAAUGACAUCGGUGGUCACAAAGAAGUCAUCUUGAUAUUGCUAGGAGUAACAGAGACACCAGUGGAGAUUCCAAGCUUGUGGUCACUUGCGGUUGGGGUAGAAUCACCCAUCUAGCCUAGAUGGCACUGGUCGACCAUUAUCAUGGUACAUGAGUCAGCCUACUGAUCGCUGCAGCACGCACUUAGUAUUGAGUGGUUUUAUGGGAUGUUAGGGGCAUAGCCUAGCCUGGGAACGAUGAGAUGCGUUCCAGGAGCUGGGUGGCCCUCUUGUAUAUGCGCCGACAAUCGGGGCUGAACUCAAAUGAUGUUGAGCCGUCUCCGAUCGUAGUGACUUGACUCGGGAGUGCGCCGAUGGCGGCCAUGAAGAAGCCGUCAUGUGUAUGGGCGCUGCGGAGUGAUAGAGGCACCGGUGGGGAUGCCGAGUUCGUGAUCACUAGACGGUGAGGUGAGGAUUCAUGUGAGGAUGACACUGGUGGCAGCAGCGAGUCGGAGGACUUCGCCGGCAGCAGACGAACGGUGGCGGGGCAUACAUAUAUAUAACUGUUUCGUUCAUCGAACGGAUGAGGUUGGCGAGCGUGACGCCAUCGUCGUUGGCGUGAGGAUGACUCCGGUAGUGACGAUGGACGUGAGGUCAUCAUUAGCCGGCGGAUACUCCAAGCACGUUGGUGAUAACAGUCGGCGGAUCCAAACUUGCACGUUGGCGACGAAUGCGCGAUUGGCACCGGCAACGGUAACAAGGCCGAGCUUGUCAUCGGCAGAGAAACGACCGGCGCCAGGACGAUGACCAGGGACAGGUUCGCCAUUGGUGGCAGCCAGGAGUAUAGACGCCGAUGGUUGAUGACCACACCGACGGCAGCUCCAAGCUUGAGAGACGGUCGGCAGGGGAGAAACGGUCGGCGCCGGCAACGAUGACCAGGAUCAGGUUCGCCAUCGGUGGCAGCCGCGAGGAUAAACGAUGAUGAUUGAUGAUGACACCAGCGCCGACUCCAAGCUUGCGCCCGUUGUCGGUGAAGGCACGGUUGGCGCCGGCGACGAUGACGGGGUCAAGCUCAUCAUCAGUGUCAGCCAUGAAGCGAACACAGGAGGUCGACGAUGCGCGAGCACAUCACCGGUGGUGACGGCAGGAGUGAAGACGCCUUGACCGUGCGGGCCGGUGUGAUGACCGACGGCAGCGAUGCCAUGAUAUCUCCCAACAGACCACCGAACCUCGUCAUCACCGAUGAUCCGCCACCCUUGCGUGUAUGCUAGCUGAAAUGGAGAAGACAAGAGACAAAGAAACAAAUAGCAUUACACAUGGCAGGUAGCAGCAUCACCGCCAUGUGCUGCCGAUCACGACGUUCCACCUCUUCUUCUCUGUAUGUGUGUCUGCUCUCGGCGGCGAUAUGGCGGCACAACUUGUGCUGCGUGUGUGUCAGUCUCUCUUCUCGUAUGCCUCUGCGUUUCUGUCUUCUCCCCUCCUCCUUAGCACGCCUCCUCGCCGGACGCCGAGAUACUGCGGCCAACGUCACCGGCCGCCGAGCACACGCGUUCCCGCCGGACGCCGAGAUACUCCGGCCGAAAUGGCGUGUGCCUCUCUCUCUCUCUCUCUCUCUCUGUGCCUUUUCGUGUGUGUGUUCUGUCUCUGUGUGUUGUGUCCCUGUGUUUCUCCUGUCCCCCUGUAAAAUGAAAUGGACAAUCUUUUAUAGGGGUGAUAAGUCGGUUCACAGGCUAGCUCAUACAUGGAUUAGUAUCUGCUCAACCAGCCAGCCGCUUCCAUCUAUAAGCCAAAUUUCCAUUUAGCAAAUAUCAUGAUUAUGAUAAUUCCAUUGUAUUGUGAUAUGAUUAUUGAAGCUUCCAUUCUAUGGUGAUACGGAGAGUAGUAUUUCCAUGUGAAAUCUCAGGUGCUUGCUGCUAUUAUCUGUUUCGUUUCCAAUCUGACGUGAUAUGGAUCAAUUUUCCUUGUAUACUUAUACGCUCACGCACUGCUCAUAGAAAGAAACUUUCAUAUAGAGCUAUCUUGCCCUUUUGAUUUCCUUGGUUUCCAUGCAAGCAUGUACGUGGUUUCCAUGCAUAUGAUGUGAGAGAUUAACGGCCGGCAAAUCAUGUGAUUAACUUCCUCUAAUGACAGUGAUACAGUGGCAUAUGCUUCCAUUCCCAUGAAAACAUUCACACCUUUUUCCUUCCAUCAGCCAACCAUGAAAUUGGAUCGAUCACCCUAUAUCAAAAUGUCGCGAGUACGUAUAUACUAGAGCAGCCGACGGCAAGUGUCUCACAAUAUUCAUACGUAUACGCCAUGUACGCCAGGUUGUGUUAUUAGUGAUAAUUAAUCACCAAUUUCGUUAUUAUAUCGCCGUUCCCGAAAUUAAUACUUUGACACACUUCAUUUCUUUCAUUUAUAAAAAAAAUGUACAAAAUAUCGUCGAACAUAAAGACAGAAAAAUAGCAGUUAAAUCUAUAAAUGAUAGCCGAUCGGCCAGUUGCCGAUGACAUAUCAUCUAUCUUUGAGCCAAUGUUGUAUUUGAGUCGAUCGCAAAUAUAAAUAAACAAGAACGAACUAAAUCUAUUCGAUCAGCUGUGGUUAUUAAUGAAAUAUAAUCCUAAUAUCGAUAUAUACUUAAAUCAAAUGAUUGGGAUAGAUCGGUCGCCAUGCCGAGACAAUAUAAAUCACUUAGAUCGAAAUAUAUAUUAACAAGAAGAUUAUAAGCAUUCAUAGCGUAGUCGAUUAGAUAGAUCUAGCAUGUAUCGGCUAAUACUUCGAUACAACUCUAUAUUGAGAUACUAAGACAAGCAGAAUAUACCAAACAAGAAGCUUAAUAUACCUAAAUGCAGUAAUAUCUUAACAUAAAGGGCAGAUAUAGCAUAUCAAUUAAGCACAUAAAAUAUGAAGCUAAAUCAGGUAAGAUCGGUUGAAACCCCGACACUACCCUAAUCGGCAACCAAAAGCAGGCUAGAGAUUAUGAUUCUAAUCACGACUUAUAAGAUCAAACUCAACUGAUACAGCUAUAAGUAUGAAAAGAACAAUAAAAAUCUAGACAAUCAAGCCGUUGGUUGUUUCAUAGGAUGGUAGAUACCCUAUAUAAUCUAAGUUAACAUUGAUAUUUAACCUAAUCGGCUGCCUUCCAACGAUAGAUGUUAGCCGAUUUGAAGGUUAGAUAACGAUAUUGUCAGAGAUUAUAUAGAGCAUAUGAUAACUCGACGAAUUACAUAAACAAGAUUAGAGUAUCAUAAAGAUGGAAGCACUAAUCCUGAGAACGCAAGCCACCAUAACAAGUUUUACCUCUGGUUGAAGAUCGAAACCAAUGCAGCUCAACCCGAAAGCAAAAACUCGUCGAAAGUAAACGAAAAGUAAAGGGUAGCGAUGCGCCGAGAUUGUUAUUGAACGUGUGUUAUUUGAUUACAUGGGUUCGGGUCAUAUUUAUACCCAAGAUACAAAAUAUGUCCUUGUCGGACAUGACUCUUAUCUCUAACAAACUCUAAGAUACCAUAAGUCUUUGCGGCAGACUUUUGCCUAAACUUAUCUCUAAGGAAAUUACAUAAAAUAUCCUAAUUAAUAGAUACAAUUGCCUCCUCAGGACUCAAUCCGUGCAUGGCAAUCCAUAUGAAGCACAUUAACUCAAUCCGACAACGUGAACCAAGUCAUAUUGCUGGAAUAGGCUUAAUCGGCUAAUCCUUGUUCGACUCGAACUCUGCUGAUCCUGAUUGCAGCCGAUUCAGACUUUAGCCGAUCCUCGCUCUGUUUCCGUAACGAUCUCCAUCCUGGAUUCUGCUUUGGUUUUAUCUUCAUCUCCGAUACUUGAAUUAUCAAAUUUGGUUAUUAACAAUAGGUCCAAGGGGAAUUCGAGUUUUCUCCAUUUUUUAAUGGAAAAUCACCACAGAACUUCAAGCAAAAUGGAAAUUUCUUUUUUUUUUGAAAAAGAAAAGAAAAGUAGCUAUUCCUCAACGCACAAUCCCAACCUUGUAAACAUUUAAUUAGGAGAGUAACUAUACAUCGCUAGAUAUUUUUUUAAAAAAAAUACUUUCAAUAGUAUAAUUAGUGUUUAAUUAUAUUAAAACUAUCAUGUAACCAAUAUAUAACUCGUAUAUAACUUAAAAAAACACGUUUGUACUUAGUUGGCUAGCACCUUGAGCAUCCACUUUCAACUGUUGCAAGUUUUUUUUCCCACCCUACAUGACUCGAAGCAACCCAACAUUUAGAAAUUUGAAAGUUCUAGAAGACCAAAAAAUUUUCUAAUGUUUAGUGAUUCCGAUAACCAUCGCAAGUCAUCAAUAAUACUUUAUGUGAUUGAUCAUUGAUACAAAACAAAUCCACCCGACAUGGUGUCAGAAAUGUUGUAGCCAUAAAAUUGCUUCCUCAUUUUUUUUGCAUAUGGUUCGUAUCGCCGAUCAGACAGAUGACAUAAUAGCGUUGCUUAAUUAUACAAAUAGCACGAAUACACUAACUAAAUUAUUUACCCUACUAUAGUUUAUCAACUGCAGUCCUAUAGAAACUUUAUUCAUUAAAUCCAACGACCUAUAUCGUCCAACCCAACGCUCCAAAUCAUCUCACGUUCCCCCUCCCCUCUCUCCCACUUUGCCUGCACGGGUCGCACGCCACCCCCACCAUGCGCCGUAUCUCGCAUGCGUUGCACCAAAUCCUAGCUCAAGUAUGCCGCAGCCCGCAGGCGCUGCCGCGCCAUGCCCCCCGACCCUCUUGCCGGUCUCCUCAGCGCCACCGUCGCGCUGACCACAUCCCCUUCUGUACCGCGGCACCACCGAAGACUGUGUCGUGGCAGGCGUAGUGCUGGGGGACCUACACCCACACCCAGCCAUCGAUGAGCUCCUGGAGGUGGAGGGCAUCUCUCUUGCCAGUGGCCUGACUUCUCCCUCCUCGGCUCCUCACCUACGCCGACCUCCUUUCCUCCGCAGCCUACCUCGGAGUCACAGAUUGUCACCACCAACAAGGUCAGUUCCUAUCACCCCUGCUCCACUUCUUGAAGAGCUGUUCCAUUUGAUGAUUUUUGUGGCAGCAGAGCAUAUAUGUGAGCCUGACAGGGAAGCUCGAGGACGUCAUGUGGCAGCCAUGCAGGUGGCCAACUCGACGAUGGCAGGCACAUCAGGCACAACUACAAGAGAUUUUAUGAUAAGUGACGUUUCAUUUACGUCACAAACAGUGAAAUUUACGUCAUGUUAUGUAAUCUGUGACAUUCGUCACCUAUCAUGCGUCUCUAAUGGCGUUCUAUGACGAAAUCUUAUUUUUUGUCAUUAAUCUAGUGACGAUUCUUCUGUCGUGAUAGAGUUAUGACAUCCAUUUUCGUCACCAUCAAGCCUAAAAAUCGUAAUGAGAUUCUAUGUGGCCUAUUAAGGUCCAUAUAGUGAGCAACUUGUUUAUGGGGUAGACCUAUUGUAAGUCCAAUUAGAUUUUAAUAAAUUCAGCCCAAUUAUACUAUAUCCAUCCAUAUUAAGUGGGCCAUACAUAUUCAAAAGGGCCAAUAGGCCCAACCAUUGCAAUGAAAUUGAAUCUAGGCCAUUGUCACGCCCAGAAAUUCCCGAAUAGAAUUCCAAGCAGAAUGUGCAUUAGAAUCCCCGUCCAGGACCGGCCGAGGUACAUAAACGACAAAGUUUACAUACAGAUCCACGUCUUACAAAUAUUAUAAAAGUCUUACAUAAAUGCAGCGGAAAAUUAAAAGGCAAUUGGAGCUAAGCCUCGACUUGGACUGCAGCGGGAACACCACUCCACAGGCAUCCUCGACGGCACGGACGGAGUCUACUCCUCGGAGAAACAACCAUCUGACGCAUACUCAAACUCUGGGGUUUGGGGAAAAUAGAGCAAGACUAAGUACAAUCACCGUACUCAGCAAGUCAUACCGGAAUAGGGGUAUGAUGCAGGGAAUUAUCAAAGGAUAGCCAUAGAGGUUCUUUUGCAUAAAGCGAGCAUUUAUAAACAGUAGUUGAAAGCAGAAAAACAGUUGUAGUAAUUAAUCAAUAUUAACCAUCCACUGUCCAACGCUACACCACGUUGCAACAGGCCCAACCAUCCACCUAGACUAUUCAAUUCCAUUAGACUAGACUAGGGUGAGACUAAUCACGGUGAAUCUGGUUGACCGCCCAGAACCGCGGGCACGGCUAUUCGAAUAGUUUUACUCUGAUCAGAGGUGUACAACUGUAUCCACAAGACACAGCCCCACGACACGUUUCCGUGCGCCGACAUGCCACCAUGACAUAACGAAUAGAGGCCGUGACAGGACCCUUCGCAUAACCCCCUCUAACCAAGCACACCACACCUCAGGUUUCACCCCCACUCCUCGCAAGGCAGCGGGCAGUCCCCUCUCGUGCCUAGGUGAAUCCGGAAGCCGCAUAGGCCGUCGCAGGGCCCAUCCAAACUCCAUCACGCCCACCCUUGCCUGGAUGCGUCAGCUAGAGGAAAGCUACACUACAAGCCCAGCCGUUGCCCACGCUGGAUUGUGGUAAGUACGAUAAGUUCUUCCACGGCAUCCCGCGAACCGGUCCUUAAAUGCCAUGGGCGCGACCAGUAAAACCAUGCACCCACAGCCCACCAUAUGAUUUAUUUUAAUUAAGCAACACCAGGACGGUGGCACUAAUCCAACAUUAACAUUAGAACCUACAGUCUAUACAUUAAUAUGAUUUCCCCCAUUGUGUGCUAGUUGAACUAAGCAUGGCUAAGCAAUCCCUGGUCCAACAUCUAGUCAUGUCACAUCCCAAGCUAACAAAGGAGCAUGGUACAAGAAUAGCAUGGCUAUAACAGUAGGUAAACAUUCCAUAGUAUUAUUGCAAAACAAUGCAGUAUUUGAAGGAAAACAAUAGACCAUUUGCAAUAUAGGAUCAACAUGUUCAAGUGACAAGCAUGACUUGCCUUGCUCUGCUGCUGGAGGAACCUCGGCGACUAUUUCAAAGUACACCGGAGCGUCGGGAGAGCCGGAAUCUAAGCGACAUACAAAGCAAACAAUAAAAACAGGCUAUAAGACUAUUGAAAUAGAGAACAAAACCAUUUUUGAUGGACUCUACAAAUUUUUCUUGAUUUACUGAGACUUGAAUGGGCUUAAACGGAGCUCGGAUGAAUUAGAUAUGAAUUUUAGAAGAUUCACUGUGUUUUUACUAUAAACAGAAAAAUCCUUAAUUGAAUUAUUGCGCAAUAAAUAAAUCCCGGGAGAGAGAGAGGGGCGGCGCCGACAUGCGGGCCCCACAUGGCAGUGACUCGGGGGGGCGGUUCACGGUGGACCGAGUCCACGGACCGGGGAAGGCGCGGUGCACCAUGUGGCGCUGACGUGGCGCCGACGCGGCGGCCACGCGGCAGCCACGCGGGCGGCCGAACGGACAGCCUCGAUCUACCGCGGACGGCGGAUACGGCUCGCGGCCGGCGCGCGCGGGCACGGCUCAAGCCGGCCCGGCGGCCAUGGCGCUUAUAGCGGCGACGCGAGGCGGUGACCGGCGGCGACCGGGGAAGGGGUGGCGCACCACGUGGCGCUGACGUGGCGCUGACGCGACAGCCACGCGGGCGGCCAAGCGUGGAGUGGGUUCCGGUGGCGGAUUCCGACGGAGGAGGGGUGGACGGGACGGCCCGCACGACGGCGUCGACGGCGCGGCUCGGCACGGCGGCUAGCGGCAGCUAGUGGCGACCGGAGCGGCGGCGGCGGCGGUGGAGAGGAGGGCGACAGCGCUAGGGCGAUAGAGGGCAAGGGGAAGCUUGGCGAAAUGGGGAAAAAGAGAGAGGGGAGAGUGGGGAUGCUUAAAUAGGGGAGAGGGAGCUCGGACGUGGCUGGGAGAGGCGGGAAUCGCCGGCCAACGUGGGGGUAGUGGGAGAAGGGAGAGAGGCGGGAUUCGAAAAUCGAAUCCCGGCCGUCUCGAGCGCGGGCGUGGGCGGGAGAGAGAGGGAGUGGGCGCGGGAGACGCGGGCGCACGCGCGGGCGUGGCCGACGUGGCCGAUGUGGCCCGAAGGAGGCGGGAGCGUGGGCGCGGCGGCGGCGGCUGGAGGUUGGGGGAGGACCCGACAGGUGGGCCCCACCUGUCGGCGACCCCGGGAGAGAGGGAGUCGGGCGGCCGGUUCAGCUGGGCCUCGGCCGGGCCCAACGGGAAAAAGGGGGCAAGGAGAGAAUGGGCCGGCGGCCCAUCCCGAAAGGAAAAAGGAAGGGAAAAAGAAAGAAAAAGGAGGAAAAGAAUUUCCAGGGAAUUAAAUAUUGCUUGUAAUCAUUUUUAAUUGGUUAAAAUUAUUUCUAGAGCUCUGAAAAUUCCAUUAAAAAUCUUGUUAGCGUAUUUUGACAUGUAGAACUCAAGAAAAAUUCCACAUGCCAAUUCCGAUUAUUAUUUACAUUAAUUCCUUUAGGGUUUCACUCUUGCUUUUACACCGGUAUUUUCUUGGGACCAUUUAUAAAUUCAAUUUAGGCUUGGGAGAAGAACUUCAGAGUGUGACAAACCUACCCCCCUUUAAACAGAAUCUCGACCCCGAGAUUCGGAAGAGCUGGCGAAGAGGUGCGGAUGGGCGGCCUUUAACUCAUCUUCCCUUUCCCAAGUUGCCUCUUCUUCUGAGUGGUGGCUCCACUGAACCCUGUACAACCUGGUAACCUUAUUUCUGGUUCUUCUUUCUCUGGUCUCAAGAAUACAAACCGGCUUUUCCACAUAAGUCAGAUCUUCUUGAAUGUCGAUGUGCUCCGAAUCGGCUUGUUCUUCGGGUACCCUCAAGCACUUCUUUAACUGGGACACAUGGAACACGUCAUGGAUGCCGAUCAUGUUGGAUGGAAGUUCUAGCUGAUAAGCAACUUCUCCUCUUCGUUCCAAGAUUUUGUAUGGUCCCACGAAGCGUGGUGCUAACUUGCCUUUCGUCUGGAAACGGUGCACUCCCCGGAGCGGAGUAACACGAAGGUACACGUAAUCCCCUGCUUCAAAAGUGAGCUCCCUUCGGCGGUUGUCCGCGUAGCUCUUAUGUCGAAACUGGGCAAUUCUCAGCCUCUCUCUGACGGUUCUGACUUUCUCUUCUGCUUCCGUUAACACUUCUGUUCCAAACAGUUGACGUUCGCCUGUUUGAUCCCAGAAGAGAGGUGUGCGGCACUUCCGGCCAUACAACGCUUCGAACGGCGCCAUUUGUAGACUGGCCUGAUAGCUGUUGUUGUAAGAGAACUCCGCAUACGGCAAGCUUUUGUACCAUGUUCCACCAAAAUCAAGCACACAAGCCCUUAACAUAUCCUCCAAUAUUUGAUUGACCCGCUCGGUCUGACCAUCGGGAUGGUCUGCGGGUGGUAGGCUGUGUUGAAGUUCAGCCGGGUUCCCAAUUCCUCUUGCAAUUUCUGCCAGAACUUUGAAGUGAAUUGGCUCCCUCAAUCAGAUACUAUCUUUUUGGCUACUCCAUGCAGACACAUGAUUCUCGAGAGAUAGAGCUCCGCCAACCUUUUGCCCGUAUAAGAAGUAUGCACUGGAAUGAAAUAAGCAACUUUGGUAAGUCAAUCCACGACUACCCAGAUUGAAUCAUGGCCCGAUGAUGUCCUGGGCAGACCUGUUAUGAAAUCCAUUUUAAUUUCUUCCCAUUUCCAUUCCGGGAUCUGAAGAGGUUGUAACAAUCCUGCGGGUCUCUGGUGUUCUGCUUUAACUCGCUGACAGACAUCGCAGAGCGUGACGAAUUUAGCUAUUUCCCUCCUCAUGUUGGCCCACCAAAAUUUUUCUUUGAGAUCUUGGUACAUCUUGGUACUACCCAGAUGAAUGGAAUAUUGAGCCUGAUGAGCCUCGGUGAGUAUCAGAUCUUUCAGCUCUUUGUCAUCAGGCACGCAUAAUCUUUCUCCCAUCCAGAUUGUGCCAUGUUCAUCCUCAAGGAAGUCCCGGGCUUUUCCGACCCUCAUAUUUUUUUUUCAGUUCAGCUAUCUCCGGAUCAUUUACUUGAGCUGCUCUGACUUGAUCCACGAGCGUAGGCCGUGCCUCUAGAGCAGCUACGAACCCGUGUUCUACGAUUCCCACGUUGAGCCGUUCAAGCUCCUGCUGCAAUUCCUUACACACGUCCUCGGUGCAUAAGGCAUUGCAGUAGCUCUUCCUGCUUAAUGCAUAUGCCACCACAUUGGCUUUGCCCGGAUGGUAGUGAAUGCUCAUGUCAUAAUCUUUGAUUAGUUCCAACCAUCUUCGCUGUCGGAGAUUUAGAUCAGGUUGGGUGAAGAUAUAUUUCAGACUCUUGUGAUCCGUGUAUACUUCGCAGCGGUUGCCAAUCAGAUAGUGCCUCCAGAUUUUCAAAGCAUGAACCACCGCUACCAAUUCCAGGUCAUGCGUUGGAUAGUUCCCUUCAUGUGGACGCAACUGCCACGAGGCAUAAGCGACCACUCUGCCCUCUUGCAUUAGAACACAUCCAAGCUCGUGGCGGGACGCAUCACAGUAGACCUGGAAGUCCUUUGUUUGGUCGGGCAGAAUCAGAACUGGAGCAGACACUAAUCUCUUCUUGAGUUCCUCAAAACUCUUGUCACACUCGGCCGUCUAUUUAAAUUUCUCGUCUUUCUUAAGCAACUAAGUCAUAGGUCUGGCAAUCCUGGAGAAAUUUUCAAUGAACCGACGGUAACAACCCGCAAGUCCAAGAAAACUCCGAAUCUGUGACACGGUCUUAGGUGGGGUCCACUUGGUAACUGACUCCACAUUCGAUGGAUCGACUACCACGCCCUGAGCUGUAAUGACGUGACCCAGAAACUUGACUUCCGACAACCAGAAGUCACACUUGCUGAACUUGGCAUAUAAUUGGUGCUCCUUCAACUUCUCGAGUACCAGACGGAGAUGUUGCUCAUAUUCUUCUUCAGAUUUUGAAUAGAUGAGUAUGUCGUCAAUGAAUACCACAACAAACUUAUCCAGAAAUUCCAUGAACACCUUGUUCAUCGGGUUCAUGAAGAAUGCAGGUGCGUUGGUAAGUCCAAAAGACAUAACCAUGCACUCAUACAACCCAUACCGAGUGGUGAAGGCUGUCUUGGGGAUAUCCUCUUCCCGAAUUCUCAACUGGUGAUAGCCUGAUCGCAGGUCUAUCUUAGAAAACACUUUAGCUCCUUUCAGCUGAUCAAACAAAUCAUCAAGCCGCGGUAAAGGAUAUUUGUUCUUGAUUGUGACCUCAUUGAGUGCGCGAUAAUCAACACACAUUCUCUUCGUCCUGUCCUUCUUCUUCACAAAAAUGACCGACCACCCCAAGGUGAAGUACUUGGUCGAAUGUACCCUUUCUGCAGUUGCUCAUCAACCUGCUUCUUGACCUCUGCUAGCUCAUUGGCUGCCAUCCUGUACGAUCUCUUGUAAAUUGGAGUGGUCCCCGGUGCCAAAUCAACCCGGAAUUCAAUCUCUCUCUUGGGUGGCAUGGUAGUGAGGUCUUCGGGGAACACUUCUGGAUACUCGCAGACUAUGGGGAUAUCUUCCAAUUUCCGCGAACUCUUCUCCUCGGUGGCCACAAGGUUUUCCACCUCAAUCUGAUUUAAGGAGAUUCCUUGCUUCGGUGAGACUAGUGACUUGUACACCACAGUUUCUCCCUUCUCAUUGGUCAAGGUGACUGUGCGAUUCGCACAAUCAAUGACUCCCUUGAACUUGGUCAGCCAAUCCAUCCCAAGGAUGACAUCUAGAUCUUUGGAUUCAAGAAGGAUGAGGUUGGCUAGAAAUCGUGAUCGGUGUAUUUCUAUUAGCACUGAAGGGCUAUAACUGAUCGAGGUUGAACUAUUUCCCGGGGUAUGAACCCUCAUUAGUGUACUAAUCUCUUCUUUUCUUAACCCAUGCAUCCCAACAAACUUCUUUGAAAUGAACGAAUGCGUUGCACCAGAAUCGAAAAGUACGGUUGUAGGGAUUGAGUUAAUAGGAAACGUACCCAGUACGACCUCUGGUGCUGCUUGCGCCUCUUCUGCGGACGCGUGGUUGGCACGAGCUUGGGCAAACCUUGGCCCGGCACGCCUUAGCUUAGGGCACUUGUCAGCAAAGUGACCAUGCUCGCCACAGUUGAAACAGGACCUUGGCUUUGCUCCAGUCUCCUUCUUGGCUUGGGCUGAUGGAGCUGACUAUGCUGGUGCCAUUGGCAGGCGCGGAGCUGCACUGCGGUUGGGCUGACUUCCCUGGUGAUUCUGGCUGCCACUGGCGCCCUGGUGGAAGCUGCUCGAGUUGAAAGGGCGAUGCUGGCGGACGAUCAUGGUGGUAGGUCCACCCUGCUGUCCGGGAGUGAAGCGCGGGCGCUGGUGGCUUCCUUGGUUGGACCGGAACUGCGCUGCCUUUCUCUUCCUGUCCAUUUUGUUGCGCUGAUCCUCCUGACAGAUUGCCUUGUCAACCAGCUUCUCAAAGUCGGCAUAGUCUCUAGAGAUUAACUGGUUGGUCAGCUCGUCAUCCAGGCCUGCUAGGAACUUCUCCUGCUUCUCGGCGUCGGUGCGGACAUCCUCCGGUGAAUAUCGCGCUAGACGAUUGAACUCAUGGAGAUACUCAGUCACUGUCCUGUUGCCCUGGUGGAGUAUCCGGAAUUCCCUCUUCUCCUGUGCCACAACCCCGUCUGGCACCUGCACCUUCCUGAAGCUGCGACAGAACUCCGCCCAAGUGACUUCUGUACCUGGCGGGCGGGUAGCCAUGUGAUUGUCCCACCAAGCUGACGCGGGGCCCUGGAGCUGGUGUGUGGCAAAGGCGACCUUCUCCUGAUCAUUACAUUGCAGAAGGUUUAGCUUCUUCUUUAUGGCAUGGAGCCAGUCAUUCACCUCCAUGGGGUUGGUGGUGCUAGAGAAAGUGGGUAGCCUGACGCAUAGAAACUCUGGUAGCUUGGACUGAGGGGGAGGGGGACCAAACUGCUGCUGCUCGGCUUGCUGCUGCAUCCUCUGGUGCAUCUGCUGGUGCUGCUGCUGCAUCUGCUGCAUCAUGGCCGCCAUCAUCUGAGUCUGAUGGGCCAUCACUUGUGCGAGCGUCGGGUUCUCGGGGAGUGGUGGUGGACCGUGGCCAGAGGCGCUGUUGGGAUGCCCACCGUCGGUGCGUUCUUCGCCGUUGCUGCCCUCACCUACUGCACGGCUGCCAUUCCUGGUGUUGACCAUCUGGAGGGAGAGCAGACGGAGGGGGUGGAAAAGAAGAAAAACAGAUGCUCAGGAACUAAGCUUUAUUAUAUAGGAAUUUAAACUGCAAUUGUUCUGAUCUGAAUUAAAACACUUAAAACAGCAAGCAAAUCCUUAUUAAGAUAGCCAUAUCAUAGGCACAUGAUAUCGACCGUCGACUGACCCCCAAGCGAACAGACCUAAACACUCAAACUAAUAGACAAAUACUAAGCAGUCGGUAAACUAAGGGAAAGCGAGCCUAAUGCUCGGAACGGCUCCUGCGGUCGAUGGAGUCGAAGGCGUCCUCCUGCUCGUCACCAGGUCCCUCUGAGCGGCUCCUGGAGUCUUGCAGAUAUGUCUCGCCGCUGCCCGGCUCUGUGCCACUGGAACUGCUGCUGCUGUGGUCGCAGCUGCCACUGGGAGUAGCAGGCAACCAACCUCCAUUGCCACCGGCUGGACCCCUGGCGACUGAUGCUGGAGCGAAGGAGAGAGCGGACGCGGGAGCUGACACAGGGACGGGAGCCGGGACUGGAGCUGGAGCUACGGGAACUGCUGGAACUGCGGGAGCUGUGGGCGGAACUGGAGGAGCUGCGGGAGCUGCGGGCGGAGGUCGGUUCCUGGGCGCAAGCUGAAUGCGCACGGGUGUAGUCGUCGACUUGCGGGGCGUGGUGCGGAUCCGGACUCCUCCUAGCGCUGGGAGGCCCUUCAACUGAGCGUUCUCCUUCUUCAGGCGUGCUAUCUCAUCCUUCAAAGCUAUGAUCCUCACGAGCUUCCCAUCAUUCAAGGCCUUGGACAUCUUGUGCAGAUCCGAGUGCAUCCUGUCCAUUCCCCUCAUCACGGCGCACAUGUGACUGAAGGUGGUGUCGUUCUCACCGGCUGUCAGGCGAAAGGUGUUGACAUCGUCACCACUUGCUCGGCGAGGGUGGAAAUAGUACGCCGUGUUGCAGAAGAUGUAGUUGUGGCGCCCACGAAGUCUGGCCAUCAUCCGAUAUGCUGCCUCUUGACAGGCGUGAUCUGCGGUGCCUCCAGAUGCUUCAACCACCAUGUUAGCGAGGCAGGUGCCCACAUAGCCAUGAACCUCCAGACGAACACGGUGAGGAAACUCGCCACUGAGCGGCGGAACAGUCGAGUACUCUGGCGUGUUGGGGUAGCCCACCACUAGGGUCAUGUGAGCCAACUCUGCCACAAAGUCGUCCACGCCUUCUCCGCGGUGGUUGGGUGGGUGGUCGGCCAUCUAGAGAAGACAAAGGGGUAGGAUCAAUGCAUGCUCAAAUCCAAUUUAAAUAAAGCUGUAAAGGACUCAAAUAAAAUAAGCGAGUAAGAGCGGAAUUUUAUGCAUAGAUCAUUUUGCAUGAGAGCGAAUAAAUAAGACAGACUUACAUAGCGAUCAAAUAAUGAGAAAUUAUAUACUUACUAAUAAUAACAAUAAGAGCAUAAAUACCUAGCAACCCAUAUUCCUGAGUUAGGACCUAAUGCAUUCUUCCCAUCAAAUCCCGACUGACUGUCAAAUAAAUCUCAAAUAAUUUUACUAAAACCCUAGACUGACUUGAUUUGACAAAUCUCACUUAAACUAGCGACCAAGAUUUUUCCCUUGAACCACAAGAAUAGAUCCUAAUUUUCCUGGAACAAAUCCAAUUGCAAAGAAUAUAUGCAAUGAAAAGGAUUCAGAGGGCUCUUAGGUUUUUCCAUUUGGCUUGUCCUACGGUCAAGGUCGGCUCUGAUACCAACUUGUCACGCCCAGAAAUUCCCGAAUAGAAUUCCAAGCAGAAUGUGCAUUAGAAUCCCCAUCCAGGACCGGCCGGGAUACACAAACGAUAAAGUUGACAUACAGAUCCAUGUCUUACAAACAUUAUAAAAGUCUUACAUAAAUGCAGCGGAAAAUUAAAAGGCAAUUGGAGCUAAGCCUCGACUUGGACUGCAGCGGGAACACCACUCCACAGGCAUCCUCGACGGCACGGACGGAGCCUACUCCUCGGAGAAACAACUAUCUGACGCAUACUCAAACUCUGGGGUUUGGGGAAAAUAGAGCAAGACUGAGUACAAUCACCGUACUCAGCAAGUCAUACCGGAGUAGGGGUAUGAUGUAGGGAAUUAUCAAAGGAUAGCUAUAGAGGUUCUUUUGCAUAAAGCGAGCAUUUAUAAACAGUAGUUGAAAGCAGAAAAACAGUUGUAGUAAUUAAUCAAUAUUAACCAUCCACUGUCCAACGCUACACCACGUUGCAACAGGCCCAACCAUCCACCUAGACUAUUCAAUUCCAUUAUACUAGACUAGGGUGAGACUAAUCACGGUGAAUCUGGUUGACCGCCUAGAACCGCGGGCACGACUAUUCGAAUAGUUUUACUCUGAUCAGAGGUGUACAACUGUAUCCACAAGACACAGCCCCACGACACGUUUCCGUGCGCCGACAUGCCACCAUGACAUACCGAAUAGAGGCCGUGACAGGACCCUUCGCAUAACCCCCUCUAACCAAGCACACCACACCUCAGGUUUCACCCCCACUCCUCGCAAGGCAGCGGGCAGUCCCCUCUCGUGCCUAGGUGAAUCCGGAAGCCGCAUAGGCCGUCGCAGGGCCCAUCCAAACUUCAUCACGCCCACCCUUGCCUGAAUGCGUCAGCUAGAGGAAAGCUACACUACAAGCCCAGCCGUUGCCCACGCUGGAUUGUGGUAAGUACGAUAAGUUCUUCCACGGCAUCCCGCGAACCGGUCCUUAAAUGCCAUGGGCGCGACCAGCAAAACCAUGCACCCACAGCCCACCAUAUGAUUUAUUUUAAUUAAGCAACACCAGGACGGUGGCACUAAUCCAACAUUAACACUAGAACCUACAGUCUAUACAUUAAUAUGAUUUCCCCCAUUGUGUGCUAGUUGAACUAAGCAUGGCUAAGCAAUCCCUGGUCCAACAUCUAGUCAUGUCACGUCCCAAGCUAACAAAGGAGCAUGGUAUAAGAAUAGCAUGGCUAUAACAGUAGGUAAACAUUACAUAGUAUUAUUGCAAAACAAUGCAGUAUUUGAAGGAAAACAAUAGACCAUUUGCAAUAUAGGAUCAACAUGUUCAAGUGACAAGCAUGACUUGCCUUGCUCUGCUGCUGGAGGAACCUCGGCGACUAUUUCAAAGUACACCGGAGCGUCGGGAGAGCCGGAAUCUAAGCGACAUACAAAGCAAACAAUACAAACAGGCUAUAAGACUACUGAAACAGAGAACAAAACCAUUUUUAAUGGAUUCUACACAUUUUUCUUGAUUUACUGAGACUUGAAUGGGCUUAAACGGAGCUCGGAUGAAUUAGAUAUGAAUUUUCGAAGAUUCACUGCGUUUUUACUAUAAACAGAAAAAUCGUUAAUUGAAUUAUUGCGCAAUAAAUAAAUCCCGGGAGAGAGAGAGGGGUGGCGCCGACAUGCGGGCCCCACAUGGCAGUGACUCGGGGAGGGCGGUUCACGGUGGACGGAGUCCACGGACCGGGUAAGGGGCGGCGCACCACGUGGCGCUGACGUGGCGCCGACGCGGCAGCCACGCGGGCGGCCGAACGGACGGCCCCGAUCUACCGCCCGGUAGAUCGGACGGCGGAUGCGGCUCGCGGCCGGCGCGCGCGGGCACGGCUCAAGCCGGCCCGGCGGCCAUGGCGCGCGGCGGCGCGGCGCGCACACAGCGGCGACCGGCCCGCGGCGGAAGACGACGGCGUCGCGGCGACGCGGGUGGCGAUAGCGGUGGCUAAGCGGUUAGGCGGCGGCGCGGCGGCUAAGCGGCGCGGGAGAGAGGGAGAAAGGGGAGGAGGGGCCUCACCGGCGACGAUCGGCGACGGCGAGCGACGGAGGGCGACGGCGAUGGCGGGACGAGCUCUGGAACCACCUAGCGAACAAGAUGAGAGGGAUUAAAGGGAGAGAGGAAAAUGGGAGAGGGCGAGGACGCCGGCCAAAGGCGGCGGCCAUGGCGGUGCUCACCGGCGCACGGCAUGGAGUGGAUUCCGGUAGUGGAUUCCGACGGAGGAGGGGUGGACGGGACGGCCCGCACAACGGCGAACGCAACGGCGCGGCUCAGCACGGCGGCUAGCGGCGACCGGAGCGGCGAUGGCGGCGGCGGAGAGGAGGGCGACGGCGCUAGGGCGAUAGAGGGCACGGGGAAGCUUGGCAAAAUGGGGAAAAAGAGAGAGGGGAGAGUGGGGAUGCUUAAAUAGGGGAAAGGGAGCUCGGAUGUGGCCGGGAGAGGCGGGAAUGGCCGGCCGACGUGGGGGAAGUGGGAGAGGAGAGAGAGGCGGGAUUCGAAAAUCGAAUCCCGUCGUCUCGAGCGCGGGCGCGGGCGGGAGAGAGAGGGAGUGGGCGCGGGAGACGCGGGCGCACGCGCGGGCGUGGCCGACGUGGCCCGGAGGAGGCGGGAGCGUGGGCGCGGCGGCGGUUGCGGAGCGCGGUGGCGGCGGCUAGAGGUUGGGGGAGGACCCGACAGGUGGGCCCCACCUGUCGGCGACCCCGGGAGAGGAAGUCGGGCGACCGGUUCUGUCGGCCGGCCCAGCGGGAAAAAGGAGGGAAGGAGAGAAUGGGCCGGCGGCCCAUCCCAAAAAGAAAAAGGAAGGGAAAAAAGAAAGAAAAAGGAGGAAAAGAAUUUCCAGGGAAUUAAAAAUUGCUUGUGCUCAUUUUUAAUUGGUUAAAAUUAUUUCUUAGAGCUCUGAAAUUUCACUAAAAAUCUUGUUAGCGUAUUUCGACAUGUAAAACUCAAGAAAAAUUCCACAUGCUAAUUCCGAUUAUUAUUUACAUUAAUUCCUUUAGGGUUUCACUCUUGUUCCUUUAGGGUUUCACUCUUGCUUUUACACCGGUAUUUUCUUAGGACCAUUUAUAAAUUCAAUUUAGGCUUGAGAGAAGAACUUCAGGGUGUGACAGCCAUGCACACUCAAAAAGCCCAUAUAUCAAACAGAAUUAGCCCAAUUAAAAUCUAAAUCUGACAUCUUAUAGCCCAAUUAACAAAAUUCAGCUCACAUUUAAUACAUAAUCACAAAACAGGCUAUCAUAAAUUCAGAAAAAAAAAAGAUCACAGGUUAUCCGUAAAUCAGUUACAUGACAAGUCAGCUAAUUACAUCCACAAAUCACUAUCCAAAGCAUGUUCAAUUACAUCACAGGUUCACUGACCAGAUAUAAUACAUCACUAGUACAAGUCACUGACCACCAAAUCCAGCCAAAUGCCAAAUAGCCGUUCACACAUUGACCUAAGCAAAGUCAUAUCCAAAUCACACGAAUCAAAAGAUCUUGAAUUAGCAAGGUAACAUUAAGAGAAUAGACAAAAACCUUAUUGAGGCUGACCUGAGUGUUGCGGCCAAUCAAACGACAAAAGGGCAUAUGCUUCCUUGUUGCUUCCGAUUCAUCUAUCCAUAGCAAAAGAGGUGUUACUUAGGCACAACAAAAUCCUGAUGUUAUAUAUAGAAUUAAGCUUUGAUUAUGUGUAAAUUAAGCAAGCAAAAUGUGAGAUUGUCUAAUGCCAGUUGAUGUGCAUGAAUACUACCAUAAAUCCAAGAUUUUCCUUCAGCUAUCACGUUUUAUUUUGCUGCUGCAAAACUCUAAAUCAGCUACCGAAGCUAGCCAUUUCAUCAUAAAAAAACAAGCUCGCUGCGCCAUUGGCUGCGUAACUACAGAACUGAAGAGGUACAAUUUCAUGUAUUACACAAACACAUACAUCUCAUAAGUGCCCUUGCCUUAAUUAGCAUGAUAACUUCAAAGAGAGAAGCAAUAGCAGCUCCAUUUAGUAAUAACCCAAUUAUGUGGGACUUUUUGAAACUUCCUGAAGGUUCCUUUGAUGCAUGACAACCCAAAAUCAUCAAGAAUGAGGGUCCUACUGAAUUUAUGUCACCUUAAGCAAUUCUAUGACAUGAUGGUCUAAAUUUUAACAAUUGGAAGCUCUACAUGUACAAUUGCAGACACACCAAUAAUCAUUCAGAUCAGGAUACAAUUGUAAGCUCUACAUGUACAAUUACUUUCCAUGAAAUGAACUAAUAUUCUAGCCACCUAUGCAUUUGUAAUGCUUAGCAUAUCCAACUCUGUAAGCAAAGCUACUACUUCUACAGUUGUACUGCUUGGUUCGACACCAUCAGAAAUAGGACUAAUCAACAUGGCAAUAAUUCCCAACUACACGUUUCAUCCCAGAUUUGAUUGAAGGGUUAUUGCAGUUAUCUGCUACAUGGGAAUCACUGACAUUCAUUGUAUCAGUACUUACCAAAUUAUACAGUUCUUUAUAUAACAUCGAGACUGUCUAGAUGUAGGAAUUCAUGAUACUCAAUCUUCAAGAAUGAUUUUCCUCCUACAGAACAGCUUUUAUAAUCUGCACAUAGCAUUUACAAAUAUUUUGGGAUAAUGAAUAAUUCAUGUACCAUAUAAGAAAAGGAAAGAUAUUGUGCAGAAUUAGCCUUUUCGUACGUGUUUAAAUCAGCGCAUUACAUGCUGCAUUUGGCCUUCAUGUACUCCCGGCUGCUGCCCGGAGAGGUGGCGGCGGUAGUAGGUGUCCAUGCCACAGCCGCGUGCCUCCGCUGCGUCGCCAUGGUGGUGAUGCUACACUGGGGAAGCGGUGAGGGGGGACGAGACCCUGCGCCCUGACGAAGUCAAAACACUCCUGCAGCCUCCGCCUCUCGAACUUGGCAAACCGCAGCUCCGCGCCUCCGCCACCGCAGCUCGCCGUGUACACCAGCUUUAUCAGAGUCCCUGCGAACAAAAAGAAAAAAAACCCACGAGUCCAUCCCUCCACCACGACCGAACUACUUCGCGCGUGAGAGAGCGAGGAAAACCCGCGAGCCGAUGUCGAGCGCGAGGAGCAGGGGCGCGGCGGGCUGGCGCGGGAGGUACACGGGCGGGAGGGGAGCCGCCGCCGCCUCCACCGGAUCUGGGAGGAGGGAGGGGAGCCGCCACCGCCGCCGCCUCCACCUUCCGCGCAGGAACCGCCUGGAGCCGCCGCCGCCACCGCCCUCCGGCAGCUGCUCCGGCCGGAAUCCGCGCCGAGAGAGGAGAGGUGAGAGGGGAGGUGAGGGAAUGGGAGGGAUACCUGCCCCGGCUCAGACGCCGCCGUGAAGAGGCGGAGACGGAUGCCGGCGCUGUCGGCGGCAGAUCCGCCGCUCCCGAGCCUGGCAGCGGCAGAGACGGAGGCGGCGCGGUAAGCGGUGAGGGGGGGAGUAAGCCGGAGAGGAGAGGAGAGGAGAGGAGAGGAGAGUAGAGGAGAAUGGAUGGUAGUGUGGCGGCUGAGGGUGGAGAGAGAGAGAGGGGGGAGGGGUGGAGAGGAGGGUUUUAUAUGGGGCUAAGGUUAGGGAUGGCGAUGAGAACUAUUAGAUCGGAGAUGGACGGUCAGAAAUAGUUGGGCCAUUUGGGCCUAAACAUGAAUGAUCUUAUGGUAUUUUUAAUUUUAAUUUAUGAACAACAUCAAAUUUAAUUUUAGGCUGCUUUUUAUGUUUCAAAUGCAAAAAUCACAAACAACAAAAUUUUAGAACUCAUCGAGAUCUACAACUAUUGUAUUGGUCUUUUUUACAAAUAAGUUCAUUUGAACAAUUCAAAUUUUGAAUUUUUAGAAUUUGACAACUUCGAACAAAAAUUGGGGUUAAUAAAUGAUUUCAAAUGGAAAAGUCACCUAAAUUAAAGUUGUAGAACUCAUCAAGAACCAAAAUUUCUAUUUUGGUAAUUCCUCAAUCUAACUCUAUUUAAACAAUUUGAAAUUUGAAAUUCAAAGUUUGAGAACUUCAAAUAGAAAAUUUUAUUAGUGAACGACUUCAACUGAAAAAAGUCAUCAACAACAAAGUUGUAUAAUCCAUCUAGAUCUACAAUUCUUAUUUUGGUCAUUUGUUCAUCUGAUAAAGUAUUUUUUAACAUUGUUCAUAAAUUUUACAAAUCUUCCAUAUGGUUUCAUAAAUUAUAAGAGAGGUGUGUAAAUUUUGUGAACAAUGUUACUAUCACUUUAUCGGAUGAAUAAAUGACCAAAAUAAAAGUUAUAGUUAUUAAUGAGUUAUACAACUUUGUUGUUGAUGACUUUUUCAGUUGAGGUUGUUUAGUAUUUGAAAAUGUUGUUUAAAGUUGUCAUAAUUUGAAAUUCAAAUUCAAAUUAUCGAAACAAAGUCAUAUAGCAAAAUGACAAAAAUAAAACUUAUAGAUAUUGAUGAGUUAUACAACUUUGUUGUUGAUGACUUUUUCAAUUGAAAUCAUUUAGUAUUUGAAAGUGAUGUUUGAAGUUGUCAUAAUUUGAAAUUCAAAUUCAAAUUAUUGAAACAAAGUCAUAUAGAAAAAUGACCAAAAAAAAGUUGUAGAUCUUGAUAAGUUAUACAAUUAUUAUUGACAAUUUUUUCAUUUGAAAUCUUUGCUACCUGAAAAGUUAUUUGAAUUUAGAGGAGGGAGGUAAAAUGGACUUUUCGGCGAGGGGUAGCAAAAAGGCUGGGCCGGCGGCCCGAAGAGGGAGGAAGAGGGAGAGAUAGGCUGCGGGCUGAGGGAGGGAUAGAGUAAUACUUGGGCUGAAAAAGGCCCAAGUACAUAGAGAGGAAUUUUAAUUUGUUUUCUAUUUAUUUUAAUAGGUUAAAUAAGUUUUGUGGUAUUAAAAUUAGUUAUUGAGCUCUGAAAAUUCACGAAAAAUUUAAAAUAAUAAUUUAGACCACGUAAAAUAUUACAAAAAAUAUUUCCGUCCAUGAUUUUUAAAGGAAAAUUUUAGUUUCCUCAUUAAUUCACUUGAUUAAAUUGCGUUAACUUUUAAUACUCCAUCCAUCCCAUAAUGUAAGGUGUGCACAUAUUUCAAGAUUCAACUUUUAAACAUUUGGCCAACACUUAGUAUAAUAUAAAAUAUUUUAUUUGUUAAAAAUUAUAUCAUUAGAUUGAUAUUUAAAUUUACUUUCAUAUGAUUAUAGUUUUGUUGCUAUAAAUCUUAUAGUAUAUGAGAAAUUAUAAGCUAAAUAUUAGUUUUGGAGACCGUGCCAGCUUUUACCGCGCCUUAUAUUAUGGGAUAGAGGGAGUAUAUUUUUUUCAAGAAAUGCAUUAUAUAUAUCUAUGACAAAUUAAUAUUCGUCACAAUGUCCCAUUGAAAUACUUUAUGACGAUUUCUAGUUGGUGUUAAUGACGAACACAUUUUUUUCGUCACUAAGCCAUCCUCAUCUCAUACUAAUCGUCAUAAAAUGGAAUGUGCUAAUGACGAAGAGCUCCGAUGUCACGAGGAAUUCGUCACAGAAGAUCAUAUUUCUUGUAGUGAUGGCAAGGCAUGCAAUGGGGUAAUUGAGGAAUUGAAUCGUGAGUACUGCUAGCUCCAUGUAUAUGUAAUUCGCUUUCCAGUUAGCAGCACCAAAUUUUGGUCUCCUGCUGUCCUAUUUAGCAGCACUACUGAUUGUACUUUAGUUCCUAAUGAGAGUGCACACUAAUUUUGUUGAGGAAAACAAUUGCAGUUCCAACUAUAAUCAGCUGAUUAUUUGUGUUUAUUGUGUUGAGUGCAUUACGAAACAAAUUGAUUUCAUUUGAUCUGAAUAGUUUUUAAAGCAUAUCGAACAAAAAAAAACUACAAAACUGCUUUGAUUGUUUGAGAUUAGGCUAUAAUAUUACUUCAUAAUGGAGCUUUUCCUGACACUUUGACUAUCAUCUUCCGGUGUAGACAAAAAAAACCUUCUGUCGACUAGAGUUUGAUGUCGAUUUAUCCACACUUCUAUGACUUUUAGAGGAAAUGUGCUGCUUCAGUUCAUCACAAAUUAUAUGUGUUUGGAAGACUUAAAUUCAGAAUGAUGCGGUGCCCUAAUAAUUUUCUACAUUUUCUCUCAGGAUUGACCUUUCAAUUGCAUCUUAGACUUUUGCAUGGUCUACAACCGGUAAUAAUCUUCUGGUAAUAUCUACAUUUCAGGUGACCAGAGACCAUAACAUAUGCAAGGCAUAGACUUUUGUAUACUUUGGCAUGCUGUAGACUUUGGCUGGUUCUGAAACAUAUAGUCAUGAGGUAACCUAUCUGAUUAUUAAGUUUUAAUAUUUUCAAUUGGUGAUUUACGGUGUUGUCGUUGUCCACAUGCCUCCGCAGACGAAAAUUGUGCCUCGCCCGAGCCCCACUCUUUGUUAAUCACCACCACAGUCCCCUCGGCGCCAAGACGGACACCACCUGCUAGUCCAUAGGUUGCUGGUGGAUCCAGUCCGCCGGUCAUAGAACCCAAACCUUGGACUAACGCGGAUAACCUUUUUUUAGGAAAACUAUCAGACAUUUGUCCACAGUAUAAUUUUAUGAAAGUGAAUCAAAAUGUUAUUUACAAGACAAAAGAAGAAACACAAAUAACCUUUAUUGGGGCUUGAGAAUUUUUUUCCCCGAGAUAUUGGAUAACCAUUGCGUGGGCUUGAGAAUUCUUUCACCGGGCAUAUUGUUUUGGUAGGUACAUCUGUUAGGAUGUUGCCGUUUUCAUCGAAAGCACUCUUAAUGCUGUGCUUUGUGAGGGCAUAUAAUAACAGGUGAAUCUUCCCCUUAUAGAUGUUUUUGAGGAGCUGAAUACAUUUCACAAGGGGCUUUCAUCAGAAGAUGCUGCAGAAUGCUUGCAGCUGUCUGGUGCAAACGGAUUGGAGAAGUGUGUAAAUUGACUGCCUUUUUCUGAUCAUCGUUUACGUACAUUCCUACAAGACAAAAUUGACUGCCUUUUUCUGAUCAUCGUAUAAUUUUAUGAAAGUGAAUCAAAAUGUUAUUUACAAGACAAAAGAAGAAACACAAAUAACCUUUAUUGGGGCUUGAGAAUUUUUUUCCCCGAGAUAUUGGAUAACCAUUGCGUGGGCUUGAGAAUUCUUUCACCGGGCAUAUUGUUUUGGUAGGUACAUCUGUUAGGAUGUUGCCGUUUUCAUCGAAAGCACUCUUAAUGCUGUGCUUUGUGAGGGCAUAUAAUAACAGGUGAAUCUUCCCCUUAUAGAUGUUUUUGAGGAGCUGAAUACAUUUCACAAGGGGCUUUCAUCAGAAGAUGCUGCAGAAUGCUUGCAGCUGUCUGGUGCAAACGGAUUGGAGAAGUGUGUAAAUUGACUGCCUUUUUCUGAUCAUCGUUUACGUACAUUCCUACUCUGAACUUCUAGUCUUUUUCUUUACUUCAUUUUGGAGUAGAAGAAGAGCAUCACGUUCCUUAGCUUUAUGUGGAACCAUUUGUUGAGAUUAUAAGCAUAUAAUGAUUUAAUCUAUUCCAUAAAUAAAUCAUGACAUUACAGAUGAAAACUAGCAUGAACGCAUCAUUAGAUCUACAUAUAUAAACUACACAGUAUAACAUGAACAGAUCAAAUAUGCGCAACAUAUUGAACACGUACCGAGGUGGCGGAAAGACCGGCUGCUUGGUCGAAACUUUUCGCAGGCGUCUACGAAGGCAUGCAGCACGCGAGCGAAGAGGAAGACGAGCCGUCGCGGACGAACAGGGAGCAGUUGCGCAAAGCGCUUCCCAAAAACCUUAUUGCCGCCUUCUCCCGGUGCAGGACGUCGAAGGCAGAGGUUCCGGAGACCUGCUCUCCCGAUCGCCGGUGUACGCCGGCGAGCGGGAUGGAGUAAUCUACGAGCGACGGCGCAGCACAGAGUAGGAAGGCAAACCCUAGAUUGAUUUCGCGUAUAUUGCGUGAAGACGGCGGGUUGGUUUAUAUAGAGAAGGGUCGCUUGAUCAGGGCGCCCGCACGAUCUCCACUGCGCGUAAUCGAAUCGGAUAAGUCGCGCGUAACUUAUCCGGACUCCACGCCGUUUGCACGCACCGGAUUUUUCAGAACGUUUCCAAAACAAAAACGAAUCCGAAUUUGCAGCAAAACAAAACUGCAAAAGGAGGCUGCAUCUGCGCAAGGUGAGGAACCUGCCCUGCCAGGCGAGGCGAGGCGAGGCGAGCGAGUGCGCGCGUGUGUUCCCCCCUCUUCUCUCCACCACACAUGCUUCAAGUGGCUAGGAGGGCAUCCUCCCUUUUAAGGAGGUCCCCCUCUCCUAGAAUAAGCAAGGUGGUACUAAACUCCACAUGCAUGUCAUCCCAUGAGGUGGGCUUUUGUGAUUUUCCAAAUAAUUAAUCUUCGAGUGAGCUAAGGCUCAUUCAUUAAUUCCAACAAUCCCCCACCAAAUCUCAAAAUCCCACUGAGAUUUGCCUUUUCCAAUGUACUGUUUAUAUACCAGCGGUUCGAUGGAGACCGAUUAAGGUUGAACAUCCACCUAGAACUCCAAGCUACACUUACUCACAAAUUGAACAAUGGACUAUGCCUUGAAUUGCAAGUCUUAUGCAAGCAAGUUUCACUCAGAGUCUUAUCUGGUACUAGACCGUUUGUAGACUACCCCUCGGGUGGAGCGUAUAAGUCAUACUCCUAGGUCUAUAGUAAGCUUCCUAGAAGAUUCAGCCAAAAUCUCCAUAGACUGCGACCAACAGUCAAGCUCACAAAGGUGAGUUCUUUCAAGAAUGCUAUGCAGGACAACAUCUUCGCUAAUUAAAGCCAACAGAACUCAUUAAGGCAUAGCCAACCUGCCUUGCAGCUCACGAGAGUACAUGCAUCUUCACUUAGAGAGGGUAUAGAUUGGUACUCUCCUCUAGUUUACUAAUGGUUUGUUCUUCCCAGAUUCUAAUUCACGGGAUCUCCGAUCACAUAGACUGGGUUACCACCAUAGUAUAACUCACAUGGGUCUCAAACCCAUCUCCUUCGAUGCAUUGUCUAUCACAUUUCGUGAUAGUCCCUUCGUGAAGGGAUCUGCUAGGUUUCUAGCUGUUUGGAUGUAAUCCAACGUUAUAACUCCGGAGUUUCUUAAUUUCCUGACAGACUUCAAUCGUCUUUUCACAUGUCUAGACGAUUUCAUAUUAUCCUUAGAACUAUUCACUUUGACAAUUACCGUUUGAUUGUCACAGUUCAUAAGGAUAGCCGGCACCGGUUUUUCAACAAUAGGCAGAUCCAUUAAUAGAUCACGCAGCCAUUCUACCUCAAUAGUAGCAGUAUCCAGUGCCGUCAGCUCUGCUUCCAUGGUUGACCUCGUCAAAAUGGUCUGUUUGCAAGACCUCCAUGAAACAGCACCACCACCCAGUGUGAAGACAUAUCCACUAGUGGCUUUUAUCUCAUCCACAUCAGAGAUCCAGUUAGAAUCACUAUAACCCUCCAGUACCGCAGGAUACCCAGUAUAGUGAAGCCCCAAUUCCACAGUACCUUUCAGAUAGCGCAUUACUCGCUCAAGCGCACACCAGUGAUUAUCUCCCGGAUUAGAGGUAAAUCGGCUCAACUUGCUCACAGCAAAGGAGAUAUCAGGCCUAGUUGCACUAGCCAGGUACAUCAACGAGCCAACGAUUUGGGAGUAUUCUAGUUGAUUCCUAGCAAUUCUCUUGUUCUUGCGAAGCAACAAGCUAGGAUCAUAAGGUGUUGGAGAAGGCUUACUAUCAAUGUAGCCAAAGCGAUUCAAGAUCUUCUCCACAUAAUGGGACUGCAAGAGUGUAAUCCCAUUCUCACCUCUAAUUAGCUUAAUGUUUAAGAUAACAUCAGCUACUCCUAAAUCCUUCAUAUCAAAAUUUUGAGACAAGAAUGAUUUAACCUCAUUUAUCACCUCAAGGUUUGUCCCAAAUAUUAGUAUGUCAUCAACAUACAAGCAUAAAAUAACUCCCUCACCUCCACCAUGGCAAUAGUACACACAUUUAUCUGCCUCAUUGACUGCGAAGCCUGCAGAUGUCAAUGUUUUGUCAAAUUUCUCAUGCCAUUGCUUAGGAGCUUGUUUCAGACCAUACAAAGACUUCAACAAUUUGCACACCUUGCCUUCUUGACCUUCAACUACAAACCCAUCAGGCUGAUCCAUAUAGAUCUCCUCAUCCAGCUCUCCAUUAAGAAAAGCUGUCUUAACGUCCAUUUGAUGAACGAGAAGACCAUGUGAGGCUGCUAGGGAAAGUAGCACACGAAUUGUGGUCAAUCUAGCAACAGGUGAGUAAGUGUCAAAGAAAUCUUCGCCUUCUUUCUGAGUAUAGCCCUUAGCAACAAGCCGAGCCUUGUACUUUUCAAUAGUACCGUCAGGCCUAAGCUUCUUUUUGAACACCUACUUGCAUCCCACAGGUUUACACCCAUAGGGUCGCUCUGUCACCUCCCAAGUCCUGUUAGCGAUAAUAGAAUCUAUUUCACUACGGACAGCCUCCUUCCAGUAGUCUGCAUCAGGAGAUGCAUAUGCUUCUGAAAUUGACUUAGGAGUGUCAUCCACAAGGUACACAGUGAAAUCAUCACCAAAAGACUUAGCCGUCCUUUGUCUCUUACUCCUUCGAGGAGCUUCACUGUCAUCCUCCUCAGUGACAUGUUCAUGUGUAUGUUCAAUUUGUUCUGGUGGUGUGAUUGAACUGGGAAUUAUUUCAGAUGGUUGGCUCGAACUACUAUGUGUAUUCUUCAUUGGGAAAAAGCUCUCAAAGAAGGUAGCAUCACGAGACUCCAUAAUUGUACCAACAUGCAUGUUAGGUACCUCAGAUUUAACUAUUAAAAAUCUAUAGGCAAUGUUGUGAUAAGCAUAUCCCAGAAAGACACAGUCUACAGUCUUAGGUCCAAGUUUGUGCUUAUUCGUUAUUGGUACAUUGACUUGCGCCAAGCACCCCCAUGUGCGCAAGUAAGAAAGUGAUGGUUUUCUCCCGAUCCAUAUCUCAUAUGGUGUUUUGUCCUUAUUUCUGUUAGGAACUCUGUUUAACACAUAAUUUGAGGUCAACAAUGCCUCCCCCCACCAUGCCUUAGGUAGUCCCGCAGUGUCCAACAUGGCAUUCACCAAGUCAGUCAGUGUGCGGUUCUUCCUUUUAGCAAUCCCAUUAGACUCGGGAGAAUAGGGGGGCGUCCUCUCAUGUAUGAUGUCCUGUUCCUCACAGAAUAAGUCAAACUCGUUUGAGAAAAACUCUCCACUACGAUCAGACAUAAGUCUUUUUAUCUUUCUGUCAAGUUGAUUUUCAACUUCUGCCUUAUAAAUUUUAAAAUAGUCUAGAGCUUCGUCUUUCGUUUUCAACAAGUACACAUAGCAAAAUCUAGUAGCAUCAUCAAUCAAAGUCAUGAAAUAUCGUUUUCCACCCUUUGUCAACACCCCAUUCAUUUCACAAAGAUCUGAAUGUAAGAGUUCUAGUGGUGCCAAGUUUCUUUCCUCGGCAACCUUGUGAGGCUUGCGAGGUUGCUUCGAUUGCACACAACUAUGGCACUUAGAACCUUUGACAAUGGAAAACUUAGGAAUUAAACACAUGCUGGAAAGCCGAGACAUCAAGCCAAAAUUAAUAUGACAUAAACGUGAGUGCCAAACAUUAGCCUCAUCAUCCACACUGCCACAAAUAUGGUUCACAGACUUAUUGCAGAAAUCAGAAAGGGAAAAGCGGAACAGGCCUCCGCACUCAUAACCUUUACCAAUAAAAUAUCCAUGUUUGGACACGACUACUUUAUUAGACUCAAAAACCAACUUAAAUCCAGCUCUAGUCAGACGGGAGCCACUAACAAGAUUCCUGUCGAUAGAAGGGACAUGCUGCACGUUCUUCAGCUGCACGAUCUUUCCCGAAGUAAACUUCAGAUCUACCGUGCCAACACCAUGAACAGAAACAUGUGACCCAUUCCCCAUUAGGACGGUGGAACCCCGUGCGACCUGAUAAGAAGAAAAUAAUGAGAUGUCAGCACAAACAUGUACAUUGGACCUAGUAUCAACCCACCAAUUAGUAGACUGAUUAACUGAAAAAAUAGCAGGUAAAUUACCAUACCCGCUUCCAUCUCCAGUGUUGCUAAUGGUCACAUUAGCAGACUUAGAAGUCUGCCCUGUAGGUGCCUUCAUCCCCUUGCGCUGUGGACACUUCCUAGCCAGAUGACCAAGUUGGCCACACACAAAGCAAGUCCUCUCAUCCUGAUUAGGAUUGUUGUUGUUCUUCUUCUGCUUCUUGAAGUUGGUGGUCUGCUGAGCUUUGUAUUUCCCCUUGCUCUUGUUCUGGGCCUUGUGCACAACAUUGGCACUGGACUGCCCACCAUCGCCCUUAGACGCGGCAUCUUUUUCCCGAGCUUUCUCCUCAACAUCAAGAGACGCUAUCAACCCCUCAACGGAGUAUUCCUGUCUCUUGUGUUUGAGUGCAGUACCGAAACUUCUCCAAGAUGGAGGUAGUUUCGCAAUAAUGCACCUGGCCACAAAUUUGUCGGGUAAAACACACUUAAGGAGUUCAAGUUCCUUAGCCAUGGUUUGUAUCUCAUGAGCCUGUUCGACUACAGAACGGUUGUCAGCCAUCUUGUAGUCAUGAAACUGCUCCAUGAUAUACAGAUCAUUGCUAGCAUCAGUAGCACCGAAUUUAGUAUUCAGUGCAUCCCACAACUCCUUUGCGUCGGUCAUAUGCAUAUACACCUCGACCAGACGAUCGCCAAGAACGCUAAGAAUGCAUCCUACACAGAGAGUAGUGGCUUCCUCGAAUUGCUUCUGCUGUUCAGCAGUAAGAACUCCUUCAGGUUUGCCAGUACUCACCCAGAAGCAUUUCAUAGCUGUCAGCCACAGAGUGACCCUGAUCUGCCAUCUCUUAAAAUGCACACCGGUAAAUUUAUCCGGCCUCAGUGCAUCGGCAAAACCAGCCAUAGUAAAAUCACAGUGCCUAUAAUAAGUUUUUGGAUUGUUGAGAUUAUAGGCAUAUAAUGAUUUAAUCUAUUCCAUAAAUAAAUCAUGACAUUACAGAUGAAAAUUAGCAUGAACGCAUCAUUAUAUCUACACUUGUAAACUACACAGUAUAACAUGAACAGAUCAAAUAUGCGCAACAUAUUGAACACGUACCGAGGUGGCGGAAAGACUGGCUGCUUGAUCGAAACUUUUCGCAGGCGUCUACGAAGGCACGCAGCACGCGAGCGAAGAGGAAGACGAGCCGUCGCGGAUGAACAGGGAGCAGUCGCGCAAAGCACUUCCCAAAAACCUUAUUGCCGCCUUCUCCCGGUGCAGGACGUCAAAGGCAGAGGUUCCGGAGACCUGCUCUCGCGAUCGCCGGUGCACGCCGGCGAGCGGGAUGGAGUAAUCUACGAGCGACGGUGCAGCACAGAGUAGGAAGGCAAACCCUAGAUUGAUUUCGCGUAUAUUGCGUGAAGACGACGGGUCGGUUUAUAUUGAGAAGGGUCGCUUGAUCAGGGCGCGCGCACGAUCUCCACUGCGCGUAACCGAACUGCCAGGCGAGGCGAGGAGAGCGAGCGCGCGCGUGUGUUCCCCCCUCUUCUCUCCACCACACAUGCUUUAAGUGGCUAGGAGGGCAUCCUCCCUUUUAAGGAGGCCCCCCUCUCCUAGAAUAAGCAAGGUGGUACUAAACUCCACAUGCAUGUCAUCCCAUGAGGUGAGCUUUUGUGAUUUUCCAAAGAAUUAAUCUUCGAGUGGGCUAAGGCCCAUUCAUUAAUUCCAACACCAUUUGUCCUGAAUGAUGGAGGAAGCAACAGUGAUGGCAUUGGUCUUAACCAAUGGUGGUGCAAGUGAUCCGAUUUGUUUUCUAUGGUGUAUAGGAUAUAUACAUCCAUGGUUGUUCACAAAGGCAAAAUUCAAUGAGAGCAACCCAUAAUGGUUUUUUUCAAUAUUCAUUCACUCACUGUUUUUUUUCUCAAAGCCGAGGUCCUGAUUGGGAAGAUUUUCUGGGAAUUGUUUGCGUCAUGAAUCAAUUCAACAACCAGAUUCAUUUAGGAAAACAAUGUAGGCAAUCUUGCUGCUACACUCAUGGCCUAGUUGGCACUAAAAACAAAUGUUAUUUUGUAAUGUCGCACUAAAUUCCUUGUUUGGGGUCAUGCCUGCAGCUUGCAAGGAGUUUGGGGAAGUCAGGCUCACACUUCAACACAAGCAGUCAUCUGUUUCAACCAAAUGAUAAGAAGGAUCUGAUAACAUCAACUGCAUCUUGGCUAGCAAUGGGUUGGAUUCUCAACGGUCUGACCUUUGUGAUGGGGCCUCUUAAAAUGUUAAAGCUCAAUGGUGUUCCUCACAUGGUAUUAAUACAUUCUUUUGAUACACUCUUGCUUUUAGGCUACAAGGAAAGUAUUGACUGACAUAGCAUAGGCUACAAGGAAAGUAUUGACUGACAUAGCAUAUGGUACAGAGCAAUUAUGUAGUGUGCCAUAUACUUGUGGGAUACAAUUACAUUGUUUCAAACAUGGUAGAUUGAUUUCUGUUUCAAAAAUAUAUGAUGAUGUUCUCAACAUACUACUCAGUGUUGGUACUAUAUUGAUUUUUUUUAUAUAUAUUAACUUCUCAAUAGGUAACCAUCUGGUAAUGAGAUAAUGCUUCAUAUUUGAUACAUGAAUUGCAUUAUUUUCAUUUUUUUUUCAUUGGUAACCAUAUCUGUGUGUGUGUUGUUGAAGUCGACAAAUAUUGCUGGCACACACACAGGUCCUCUUUUGUUCCGUCCUUAUCAUUGAUGUUUAAACGCACAUGUUCAUCAUAGAUAUCGAGACAUUGAGUAGAGAAUGCUAAGUUUUUCGGAGACAAAGGUCUUUUGCAAGAUGACAGAAAAGUAAAUGAGAUAACAAAUUCUAUCAUAACCCAAGCUAAAUGAUUUGGUCUUCCAAAACCAAAGUGCUUUCAUAAAAAAAAGGGCUAUUCAUGACAAUUUCCUCUACAUGCAAAAUGUGAUUAGGCUGCUUCAUCGAAAGAAAAAAGGCACUCUCUUCAUCAAGGUGGACAUAUCGAAGGCCUUCUCGAAACCCUGCAAAAUCUGGGGUUCGGUCAAAAAUGGGGAAACUGGAUCUCCAACCUUCUGGGAACCUCAUCUUCCAGAGUGUUGCUUAAUGGAAUCCCAGGGGAACACAUCAAUCACGCGUGUGGGCUCAGGCAAGGUGAUCCUCUAUCACCAACGUUGUUUAUUCUCGUGAUGGAACCUUUGCAACAGAUCAUAAAGAAGGAGGAAGAGUCCUUUGUAAUCACUAAUCUUCCUCAAAGACAGGCAAGAUUCCGAUGCUCCUUAUAUGCGGAUGAUGUUGCUCUCUUCAUGGCACCAUCACAAAAUGACCUUCAAGCACUGAAGAAGAUCCUUUCCCUCUUUGCUCAAAUAAGUGGACUGCACACAAAUCUCACCAAAACUGAAAUCUUCCCAAUAUCAUGCUCUGGUAUUGAUGUUGAAGGCCUUCUCCCUUCUUUCACAGGAAGCCUGAAAUCUUUCCCCUGCAAAUACCUCAGUCUCCCCCUGCACUUCAAGAAAAUUAGGAAAUUAGACUUACAACCACUAAUUGAUAAGGUGGGGGGGGGGUCAUAUUCCAGGGUGGAAAGGAUGUUUCUUCACAGCUACAGGCCGCAAGGUCUUGGUGAAAUAAACUCUCUCAGCUAUGCCAAUUUACCACAUAUUUGUCAUUCCUUCUAACAAAUGGCUUUACAAAAGAAUUGACUGCUUUAGACGGCAUAUUUUGUGGAAAGGGGAAGAUCCGGAAGUGUUUCCGUGGGUUGUAGCCUGCUAAAUUGGAACUCGGUUUGCAAACCAAAGUAUUUGGAGGGGCUUGGUAUUCUAAACCUAGAAAAAUUCUCGAGAGCACUCAGGCUUCGCUGGCUAUGGUUUGGAUGGAAAGAUGAAACUAAGCCGUGGGUUAACAUGGAGACACCCUGCGAAAAAAUCGACCAUGCCCUUUUUCAGGCGGCAACAUAGAUCUCGAUAGGAAAUGGGAACAAAAUCAGGUUUUGGACAGACCAUUGGCUCGAUGGAAGAGCACCUCAACACAUUGCGCCCUCUAUUUUCAAGCUUGCCAAAAGAAAGGGAAAUAAUCUCCAGGUGGAACUGCAAGACAACCAUUGGAUUGCCAUGCUUAACCCGAUUACAUCUGUUUCGGAGAUUGAGGAACGGGUUCAGCUAGGGAGCAAAAUACAGGGUGUCAUUUUAGAUGAACAAAGAACAGACGACAUCUCCUGGAAGUGGACUGCAAAUAGAGAAUACUCGGCAAAGAGUGCAUAUCAAAUGCAAUUUCAAGGGGAGAUAACACAUACAAAUUUCUCAACUCUUUGGACAACGCAUUCUGAACCAAAGCAUCGUUUUUUUGGCUGGUUGAUCCUGCACCAAAGAACACUAACAACUGAAAACCUUCUCAAGAGACAUUGGCCAUGUGAUUGGAUAUACAGUCUCUGUAGAAGUGCUUUUGAAGAUUCAAAUCACCUAGCUAAAUAGUGUCCUUUCACAAGCAGAGUUUGGCACCACGCCUCAAGUUAGAUGGGCUAUAGUUCUUUCUUUCCUCAACAAACGACUCAUGAAAGCACAACAGAUUGGUGGGAUAUCCUAAGUUCUGUAAUGCCAACCGCUAUGAGAAAACAAAUCCUAGGAGCCGUGCUAACUACCUGGUGGAAUGUCUGGUUGGAGCGAAACCGUAGAAUCUUCCAACAUGUCUCACAAAAUGAGUUGCAGGUCGCCUUUGCUAUAAAGGAAAAUAUAGGCCAUCUUAUUAGCUCUAGACUCUCUUGAGCUAGAGAUCUGUUUAGGGGGGCUCACAAUCUUUGUAAUAUCGUAACACAGGCCCCUACUACAUGAGAGUCUGCGAUUUUUUGUAACCUUUAUUUAUUUCUUCUAAUAUAUCCUGCAAGUCUUUUGCCGUUAUACGUUUCAAAAAAACAUUAGAGUUGAUGGAUGGUUUCGAUUUUUAUGUCUACGCACUGAUUGUGAAGUUGUGCAUUAGGAAUUAUUUCCUCUGUUUCACGGUAAUAAGACGUUUUGGAUUUUGAAUAGAUUCAUAGAGAGAUCUACAUAUAUGUUUAAUAUAUUUGUCCAAAUUGAUAUGCAUAUCACUGAAUCAAGACAAGGAUGUCAAAAUGUCUUACAGUGUGUAACAAAGGGAGUAUAUGUUUUCGAAACAUGAAACUUUUUUACAAACAUAUAAUAACUCAUGUUUAAUUUUGAACCUUCUAUUUUAUGCUUGUUUGACAAAAACAUAUAUUGUAUUCCUUUGAUUAUUUAAUUUGUAUUACUAAAUAUUACCGUAGCGUUAGCACGAGCAAAUUACUAGUAUCAAAUUGUUUCUAUAUACUCCGUAUUUAGAAGUUUUUCUUCUGUCACUUUUGCAAGCAUGAAUUUUGAUAAUUUACCAUCUAAUUCGUGCGUCUUGAUCUUUUUACCACCUAAUUGCAUGCCUUCUAUAAUAUACAAUCAGGACUGCGAAUUGUUUUAUUUGACACCACUUUUUCCUUUUCUUUUAUGUAUUUCUGAUUUUCUAAUUCCAUUUUUUGUUUCCUUGUUAGAUUGUCAACAUUUUUGCCCUUGUCCCACAUGUCAUAUCAAAGAAAUGUUCUCUCCCAAAUUCACAAUCUUAGUCUGUCGCCGCCGAGCAUCACCCCAGCCACUGUGCGCCCUGCGGUGGUGCUGCCCUAGCCACUGAGCGCACAGCCCGACGUCGCUAUCCCCAUCUCAACGCCUCGUCCGUCGCAUCAUCAUGCAGUGGCCCUUGGUUGAGAAGAGGAGGCGAGGAGCAGGCCCCAAGGGCAAAGCAGCAAUUGGAAGAGAAGAUAGUGGCAAAGUUGCUGGUUUCUUUUCAAUUUUUCAAUAGAUAGAUUUUGGUCUCUGUUGGUGUCUCACGGUGCGACACGUCUUCAUUUCUUUUUCCUUAUUUACAUCUGGGUGAGUUAUUUACCAUUUCAUCAGGUUGCUCAUCGCUGCUUUACCAUCACGUGCAGAUGCCGGUUUGUUUGUUAGUUGGAACUUACUACUCCCUGUGUUUCUCUUUGAUUGGCUAGUCCAGUGGCUAGCUUAGAUGAGGAUGAGUUACCGCCUUUGUGUGCUGUCACAAUUUUGUUUGUUCUUCCUUCCUCUCCUGGCGUAUAUGUUUGCUUGUGUUUCCUUACACACAAAGGUGAGUUCCUCCACCGCGUCUACCUUAAUGUGCCUAUCUUCCAAGCUUUACCCUAGAGCUUGGGGCUAUCACUCCAUUUGCAUCGGUGGUUUGUAGGAUCGUGCACACCUUCGUCGUCGGUGUUGACGAUGGAGGAGUACUCCGACCAACAUUCACCACGUCGUAUGAGAAGAUGUUUUCUCAGUGUCCGCGUCGAUUGCCACGUGAGUGCAGCGUCUGACGAUGAUUGUUCAUCUCUGAGUCCGAGCUCGCCUACACAAUUAUAAGCUUCCGAGGUCGUCGAUUUUAUUGCUGGCUUUCACUGUCACCCAUCUCUGACGAUAGUGACUAUGGGUAUUGCUGGUGUUCACUAUCACCCAUGUACCACGAAUUUUGAUCUCCUUGAUGUUCCCUGAGCCAGAGUCCCACCGUUGUUUGGGGUUCAAUGCUAGACAACAAACUUUGGCGACUCUGGUUUGUGGCAGAUGGUAACACCGAUGCAUGAGGAUCAGCGGCUCUACCAUCAUUAGAGGACCAAGAAGCCUUUUUACGCCUCUAGCUGAUCUUGCAAGAUGGCCACAAUGACCACUUCGGCUAUGUCGUGCACACUGCAUUGACAUAGCAUCUUCAACAUUGGUGAAGAGCUCACCAAACCCCCUAUCGCUCACCUUAUUGGCAUGGACUUCAUCAAGGUUGGUUCGAAGAUCAUCGGCAUCACCGGAAAAUCCAACGGCGCCAACAAUGUUGAGAGCGACAUCACUGACACCAGCUCAGGGAAAGUGUUCACCGGUUCGCCAAGUACAACGCUAUCAAGCUCGAUAGCAAGAUUUACCACAAAGACAUAAUUUGCAAGCUUGCUUACGGAACCGAGCUUAGAGGUGGUUGACUAGGCCAGGGCUGGCAUUGGCGAGACAUGGUCACCCUUACCGCAACCUUUUGAGCUGCCACAUCAUGUCGCUUGGACCAUGCACCACAGGUCAUAUCACCAUGGUCUCCUCCUCUCCACAGGGGACUACACGAAACCUACAUGCUCGACAACGGCCGAACGAUGUCACAACCUGGGUGAAGCUCCACGGCGAGCCAAUGUCAUUCGAGGAGCGCGCUGUGUAUACCGACGACUACAUGUGGCCCUCUCUGUGCACACUGAUAAUUAACCUCCUCUCACCAAUUUGUUCACAUUUUGUAUACAACUCUUCUCAGUCUUUGAAAAUUUAAAUGGCUGUUCAAUCUAUGUAUGAAACUUUAUCGGUCGCGCAGCAUGACGCCGCAUGCUCUCUUCUAGUUGCUCCCAAAAUCAAUUGGAAGAGAAGAUGGUGGCAGAAGGAAUUGCUUGAUUUCAUUUUUGCUCAUUUGCCCUGUGUACAUGAUACCCUUUCAAGCUGAUGUAUGCAAUUUUCUGGUAGCAUGUAUAGUGUAACCAUAUGUUGUACAGUGUUGCUCUCAAAUGCAACUUUUUGAUAGCAUGUACCUGUAAAGAAAUGGGAACUAUCUAAAUGCAAUGAUCAAUUUUUGACAGGAUAUUGCAAUACUGCCAGCUACCUGAAAUGAGAACUAAAAUGUUUAGUUCUUGAUAAUAUAACAUAUAUGUCAAUUAACUAAAGAAAACCUAUGAAAACCUUUGGCAGCUUGUAUCCGUAAUAUGUAUUCAUACAUGAAGCCAAACAAGUUGAAUAACCAAAUUUGAGAAUUCCAUCUAGAUUACUUAACCAAAUAUGAGAAUGUGACCCAUAUUAUACAUAACCAAGUCAUACAAGUUCAGAUUUGCGACAACAUCUUGUCGCCGGAAGGCCCCAAGCUAGUGUUUGUACCGUUGCCCCACUGCCGUGAUGUCCCCCACAAACUUCGCCAUUUCUUGAGCGCAAAUGCACAAUCGUUCCAUCGCCUACGUCUCUGGUGCCAUCAAGUUCGUCGCAUUGGUUGGCUACGACGAAGCUUCUUGUCCCGAGAACAAGGUGAAGCUCAAACACUAGAAAGAGGAAACAACAAUGGGUAGCUUGACUAUCAGAGACAUUUGGACGAGCGAGAGCUUCAACGCGAUGAAAAGGAUAAGAACAAUUCACAGUCCCGACAGUAUAUUAUGAGCAUAUUGUCCGUUUUCAAAUGCUUUAUUUUCAGCGAGAGCUUCAACAAAUAUGUGGAUAUCCUCUUUCUAAACAACUAGGGAUAUUUUGGUCUCAAAACUCAAAGUGGCAAAGUAUUCUAAAGGUAACCUAUUAAGUGACAUUUUAUCCUUUGCUUUUUAGUGGGUGGCAUUUCAUUGAAACCCCACAAAUAGAGUAGCAUAUUGUCCGUUUUCUCCAAAGAAUGGGGCGGAUGGAUGGAUCAAUCGAUCCAAAGAGAGGAGGAUAUCCUCUCUGGAUCUGACAGGUGGGGCCAAGGGCAAAUAAGUCCAGAAACAUGUGAAAAAUAAAUAAAAUGGAAUAAAAAAAGGUGAAAAUACAGUAAAAGUAGAGAAAGUGGUACCAAAUAGAACAAUUCGUAGUCCCGAUAGCGUGUUAUGGGAGGCACGCGGAUUAGGUGGUAAAUAAAACAAAGCGGACUUAUCUUUACUUUAUAAAAAUUGAAGAUGUUUUUACCGGUACUUUCGUACGUCGUUCGUGCCCCAGUCUAAUUCACAUCCUCACACAUGCCGUGUAUAACCCACCACUUUGCCAUGUCUCCGAUUCGAUCGUUCUGUUUUCGUGCUUGAGCUUUGGUACGUCUUACGAUCACUUGUGUCCGUAAGUCCUAGUCCAUAACCAUGUGGAACGAACGGCCAUGCGUUGAUCGUCGGAGGAGUCAAUUCUCCUUACGUGAGCCUGCUGCACCUAGCUGCUCACACAGCCACACAUAACAUGGUCAAAGCCAAAGCCCAACAGGCUACAAACCUAUGGCCCAGCUCUCAAAUUGGACCUUUGUUGACGGUCGUUAUAUACCAAUUUCGACCAUCAAUACAUAUGGAAAUAAAGGAGAACUAGCAAUGCUUGCAUGCAUAUUGGUUUAAGCAUAAUCUAUUUUUACUUGUACUUGUCAAAGUAUUUGUAUACAGGAGAUUUUCAUAUAAAUGGAGGAGAAACGAUGGAAAAUAAUCGUUCAAUCAAUCAUAGCUCGACGGGUGGCAGACUUAUGGAUGAAUGGGCCCACAAACCCACUAGAACACCUGCAAUUGGGCCCAACCACCAUGCCACUGAGCUUAGGAUCCAUCAAGCGAGGUACGGGAGAAAAGAUGGGCCAACCCAGGUGAAGCAUCUAAGCCCCCGAUGUUAAUUUUGGUAAUUAAUGAUAAACACAAAUUGUGGACUAACUGUUCUUUUGAGCUAUAUAUUUUAAGUUAGGUUCGCAUUAUGUGUGCGCAUGGAUGUCUAUCGAUGGAUUAAAAUUGACGGCGCAAAGCAAAAGGAAGAGAAGACGGUAAACUAGUGUUUUCAUUUUAAAUUGAUCGAGGUGUUGGGUGAUCAAAAUUGUGCUUGUUUAUUUAUAGCUUUGCCAUACUAUUAAGAGGGGUAAUGACCUAGCAAAGAGAUGAUUUUAAUUGUCACAUUAGGUCAUUAUGCAUCUAGACUUGUGCUCACAUUUCACAACACACACCUUUUCACUAAGUUCGCCCUGACCAGGGCCGGUCUGACCACAGGUCAGAGGCUGGUUUGAUCGGCCACCUAGUGGCGGUCUGACCGGCAUGAUUGGCCAGUCUGACCGGCGGCACUUGUGCGGCCAGACCGGCCGCCUGGAGGCUGGGAUGGUGUUGCUCUGGUUUGGACGAUACAGAGCCGACGGAGCCGUAUUCGGUCAGACCGAGCCGAGGCCAGUCUGACCGGCCACUCAACGUCGGUCUGACCGGCUAGGGCAAUGGGGCCCAAUGACAGGCCUACAACGGCUAGAAAACUAGAAGUUGUAUUCUAGCUGUUGUAGACUAGCACGGUCUGACCAGCCAUACACCUCAGGUCAGACCGGCAGAGCACUGAGUUGGGGGAUUUCGCCCCCAACGGCUAGUUUUGGUGGGUGGGAGUAUAAAUACUCCCCCACCAGCAGCAAGGGGUCUCUCUUGGCACCCAAUUCAAUUGCAUACACCCCUUGCACCUCUCUCACACACAUUUGAGCUUAAUGUUCAUCCAUUGUAGUGGUUGAGGGUUGAUUUAGCCAAGAGUCAAGUGCAUUGCUUCAUUGUAGAGCUAGUGUGGCACUUGAUCUUCUCCGAGCCGCGUCAUUGCUUGUUACUCUUGGAGGUUGCCGCCUCCUAGACAACUUGUGGAGGAGUUUCCCGGUGACCUCUCUGGGAAGAUUGUGGAGGAGGCCCUGGCGCCGGUGUUGACUGGUUUGGAGUUCACCACCUUCGGAGUGAAGGAAGAACUACCCCGAGUGAUCGAGGCUUGGGUAGUCCUCUCCGUGGGCUGGCUCCCGCCUUGCCCACCCCUUGACGAAGGGGGCGUGCGGUGGCUUUGUGGUUGAGCGGUGGAGUUGGGCUCGCCUCAACGGGGAGUAGGAAACCGGCGAGUUUCCGAACCUCAGUGAAAAAUCUACUGUCUCCUUGUCUCAUUUAUUUGUUGCAUUUACAUUUGUGCAAUUUACAUUCCUAGAGACAUACUUGAGAUCAUAUCACCCUAGGAUUGCUAAACUAGACUUAGGAAUUGUGAUUUACUUUUAUUUGAGCCACUUUCACCCUAGGAUUGCAAAACAUAACUUAGUUGCUUAGUUAGACUUAUCCCUUACCAAGCCUAGCAACUUAGGUUAGUUUUGAUUAGGUGUCAUUUAAUUUUAAAUCGCCUAUUCACCCCCCUCUAGUCGACAUCUCGAUCCUACACCAGGGUUCGGCCGAACCACCACCGGCGCCUCUGAUCCUUGCCUUCCAUGUGGACGUCCUAGAUUGCUCCCCAAUGACGGUUGCGGGGUGUUUAGAACAUUUCCAACCACCACAGCCGUCAUAUGGAGGCUAUUUAAGGAUCUCUCCCUCUCCAUUUCAAUACACACCAAGGAGGAUCAAGCAGGAGUUCUCUAGUUUAUUUACUUUGUGUCUAGUGCUUGUGGAGUAGAAUUAGAAUAAUUUAUUAGUUCUUCAAGUCUUCUGGAGAUUUUGAGUAUGACUCUAGUAACUCUUCUCUCUCUUGUAAGAUUUAAUUCAGUAAUGAAAUAUUCUUCUUUGUAUAGUUUUGGUCCUUUACUUCAUUUAUAUAAUUAUUUGAGUACCUACUUUAGUUCAUACUUGUCUCGUAAUAAUUAUGUAGCUAGCUUACUGGAGAUAUGCAAUGGUAUUGGUUUGAUAUUCAUUUAUAUGAUUUCUCUAUGUCAUCUGCAAAGAUGUAGAGUAAUAUUUAGUAAUGUAAUCGUGGUGCUUAGAUUAUUAGAUAACAUUAAAUGGUGAUGUAUGCCACGAGUAUUCCUCCAUGUGCGUAUAUAGGGCUAAGAGAUUUUCCUGGUGUGGGUACUCUUCCGUAUCUAUUACCAGUUGAAUGGCCAUAACAGAUUGUCGUAAGAAACUCAGCAAUUAGGGGUGGUUUCUCGAAAUACCAGGAGGGCAUAGUUUGGGGAUAUUGGCUACAUAAUUGUAUAAUGGCAAGUGCAGACUAAAAUGACUAUAUACUAUAAGUACAAAAAUGAUUAUGUUAUUAUUCUUUCUCCACUUAGUUUAGAUUAUUAUUUUAGUGAGAGUAUUCUGGUUAGUUCCUUCUGUGUGUUAAUCUAUCUAUCCUUGAAUUGAUGAACCCCUGCAUUAGACUUUGAUCUGUACGAGUGAUAUAAAUUUCUAGCAUAGUACUCUAUUAUCAUAUCUUUUCCUAGGAUUAAAUAAAUAUGAUACCUUAAAAUACUUCUGGGUAAAAUGCUACAGCGGUGUAUCCGCGCGCUUGCAGAUUAUAUCUGUAACCGUAAAGAAUACCGAGUAAUAUUUCGGGUGUCAUUGCUAGAAAUUAUAUUUUUAGUAAUAUCAUUAAGAAAUAUCAACAACCUUGGAAACCUGCUGGCUUCAUAUUUAGUUAUCCGCUGGCUUUAAAUAUGGAAAUUUUAGUUUCUAUACGAAACAUAGUUUCUAUACGGAACAACAUAUUAUUGAAUUGGUAUAAUGGUUGUUUACAUAAAUAUAAUUGUAUCCCAUUCUACAAUUUAAAUAAAAUUAUACUUUACUAGAAAAGAUGCCCGUGCGUUGCAACGGGUAGAGCCAAUUUAAUUUAUACAUAUGUAUCGGUGGAAAAAUAAUCACAGCCCAUUGUUUCAUCUAUUCAUGUGCUUACCAAAAUCACUUAUUGGCAAAUAAAAGACUAUUUGUGUGUAAAUAAGUUCUAAAAUUUAAAAUUUGGCUUAUAGGAAUAAGCAUAAGCCAAACAAUAAGGCCUUCAAACACGAGCUCGAUUUGUUGUCCAGCUUUAUCUCAAGUUGGGCAUGAAUUGAUAGCGGACGAAAUCAGCAACUUUGAUCAUCCUUUAUUUCAGUUGGCAUGUUCUUUUCGAAAGUAAAAUUGAUUAUUACAGUUUAUUGUAACGACAUCCCUGGUAGUACGUACAAUCAUGUGUGGAGACUGACUUGAAAUCAUGCUAACAUAUCCUAGAAAUCGUGUCUUAUAAUACAAAUAGAAUUGGAUGAUCUGAGCAACAAUACAUGUGAUAUCCACACGGAUUCUGUGAGUAUCAUUCGCUUGGUAUCCACAUCACACGAACUCUCUUUCGCAGUUCACUCACGAGUUAUUACUUUGCAAUGAAUGUUACGUGUGACGGGAAUCAGAUACGGACGACGUACCAUAGUUUUGACAAAAACAUCUUCAGAUACGGGCGAGGGCGACACAAUCUCAAUCGAACAUGCGGCAAAGGCAAAUCGCGCACGCGAGGGCGUUGCGGGCCUAAUCUGGCAUGCAGAAAAUCACGGGCGUGAGGGCAUUGCGUGCGGCAAGGGACACGUGAAAAGUGCAGGCCCAAUUAAUUCACGCACGUCUCGGAUAAGAGGGACACUUUGACAUAAGAUAAAAGGAAAGGAUUUGACAUAAACAUUAAAUUAAAACUAAAACAUAAAAUGAAAACCGAUUCAAACACAGAUGACGCAUCAAAUUUUUAGGGGAAACAUUUCUAAUUUUUAUAACAGUAGAUAUGGAGAUAGAGAUAUGGAUAGAUGAAAAAAAGGUCACCACGUCAUCUGAAGGAUGGAAUUGAAGGAUGACGUGGGAUGUGGGACAUGGGCCAGGAUACAAUCGAUUUGGGGCCUGCAUGUAAUAGAUCCAACGCGUGGGAAGGAAAUCACACGGAAAAAAGUCGAUCUCAAUGAACCGCGAUAUACCCGUAUGCGGGGUAAAAAGAAAAGGGAAGAAAAAUAACUGCGCGCGUGGAUAGAGUCGGACAACGUACGAAAUUUUUUUUGACAAAAACAUCUUAAACUUUUAUAAUAGGUAAAGAUAAAGAUGUACAACUAUAUCGAUUAAUCUACACCGUUAUAAUCUAACUAACAAAGUCUAAUUCUUAAUGUAAGAAUUUCUAGCCCUCUAAUACAACCAUCAUGGUUUUUUAAAGCUAUAUCUAUAACAUAAUACGAUGCAUAUAUUAUCUUUACUGUUACAACGCACCGACAUUUUGCUAGUUACAUAAAAUUAUCAAAAUCCCCAAUGCAAACCGGACGAACUGAUGCCCAAAAAAGGAAGAGCCUUAAACCCUAGCAAGGGACCGUUCACCCCAAACCAAAAAGAAAACCCCCUUUGUCGACAAAGCCAGUCCCAAGCUCCUUUCCCACCCACCCGUGAGAUGGCGGCGGAGGCCCAAGCCACGGCGGCCGGCGGCCUCGCCGGCGAGAUGGAGGUGGAGGCGUACCGCCGCCUCUUCCCCCUCGCCUUCCUCGAGCGCCACCUCCGCGAAUCCGUCCGCCCCGACGCGCGCCGCCCCGCCGAGGCCCGCCCAACCACCGUCGCCCUCGCCGCCGUGUCCUCCGCCCACGGCUCCGCCCUCGUCCGCCUCGGCGACACCGUACGACCCCCCAAGCCGCCGCUCUCCACCCCUCCCUCUCCCCGCCACUCUUCCUGAUUUAGGCGUCCGUGCACCACCUAUUUGACGAAAUGCCUCCCGUAUCUGUUUGCGGCAGGCCAUGCUCGCGUCGAUCAAGCUCGAGGUGAUGUCGCCCUCCGGUGAGGCCCCCGACGAAGGAUCUAUUGGUAUGUUUGCCGUUGAUUUAUCUUCUCAUAGUGCUUUUGCUUUGCGCGUUUGGCUAAUUUAUCUGCGUUUCUAUUGUGGCGUGGUGCCGUGGUGUUCUGCAGCUGUGGAGUUCCACAUGCCGCCUAUCUGUUCCCCGCUUGUCAGACCAGGACGGCCGGCAGAGGUGGCGCCAGUCAUCUCCAAGAACCUAGAGGACAUUCUCAUGAGGUAUAUCGUGCCUUGCUGUUGCUCCAUUCGUCACGUACCAUGUCCUUUGACUGAAUGGGCAUAUCAUUGUGCUUUCCAUGUGUAUAAUCUGCAUUUUGCUUGAAUGGAUGAAUGCCUGUCUGCAGGAGUGAAUUUAAUUUAUUUAUUUUCUGCAGUAAAUCAUGCUGAUUUGCUAUAUUGUAGCAAUUGGACUUUAGAGUUUAAUCAUGGGGUUCCUUUUUAAUCAGCAAAGUAGUCAUGUGAAACUGCAUUAGCACAAAUGGAACUAUUGAAGAGUAUUUUGUUGAUUCGCUUUUAGCUAGCCAAUAUGAUCUAUAUGUAGGAUUGGGCAUGAUAAAAUGGCAGUUCGUUUGCAUACUGUACAGUGGGGCUGGUUCAUCUUGUUCUACUUGUUAGUAGAAAACCAGAAAUGGGGAAUUUAAUUUUGUGGAAUCAGUCUUGUUGAUCAUAUGACUUAUCUAUUUUUCUGUAUGCCCGUGAAACUUCUAUAUCCGUUUGCAUACAUGGCAUAUACAGAGGUGGCUUUAUUUAAUCCUCUCGUGCAGCUCAGGGAUGCUAAAUUUGAAGGAGCUCUGUUUGAUCAGUGGGAAGGCAUCUUGGUUAGCAUACCUGGUAAUCACUGAUUUCAUUAUUGGUUCCUUCUCUUUGUAAGGCUUACUGGGCAUCUCCAAUAAGUCAAAUUGAAAAGCUUCACCUGAAAUCUAGUCGUGAUACAUUAAAUAAGAUGCGCAAGGCUUCUCAUCCUUGAAGCCUGGUCCAAGCAUCAAUUGCUUGCUGCUUGCCUAAUGUCAAGUAGUCAGCAAUAGCCUUCCUCAAGGGAUGAUAGUUAUUUUGUCAUGAUUGUGGACAUUAAUGUUUAGAGCACUUUCAUAGUGGUCUCUACUGGAAUUUAUCUACUUCCAGUAAUACUACCAGUAGAAACAACCUAACUCACAGCUUUAUAAGGAUCUUCAUUGGACAAUUAUACCCCCAUUGGUUGUACCACUGGUAUUGAGUCAGUACUAUAAACAAAUAUGGUCCGUUUAAUGAAAAAAGCCAGAAGGUCUAGAUCAGUUCUACUUUCAAUAGAACCACUGUAAAAGUUGUCCAAUGUUUUAUGGCUCGGAUGAUCGACACGAAGUAACUUGCUUGCAACAACAAACUUUUCAUCUGGGACAACAAACUUAUUAUUAGUGAAUUUUGUCCCCCAGAUAAGUCGGAACUAAAUAAAUAUCUUAUUUGGGCUCUUUUCUUAGUGCUUCCUAUCCUUAAGUAUUUCUCUAAAAAAGUGCUGAAUAUUUUCUUGGAAAAUGUAUGAAUAAUGAUAUGCUUUAGUCUGCUACCCUGUUUUCCCUUUUUCUUUUCCCUUCUAGGCUUGUACAUAAAACUAAAUCUUUUAGAGCAAAUCUGCUCAAUACCAUCGCAUAGAAAUUGGAGUUGGAAAAUGCCAUAGUGAAUGUGACAUGCUGCCAAAUACCAUUCGCGAACCCCACAAAUGCUGGAGAAUACCAUCACCAGUGCAUUUUCCCAUGAUUGUUAAUAGGGGUGGGCAUAAAAACCGAGGACCGAAGACCAGACCCGAAAAGACCGAACCCGAACCCGAAAAAACCGAAAUCACGGUCUUCGGUCACUAGUUCGGUUGUACGAUUUUAAAGACCGAACUUAGUUCGGUGUAUUCGGUCAUCAGGCCUUUCCGACCGAAGUAACCGGACUGACCGAAGUGGCCCAAUACCUUCUCUUGCUCACGUAUAUAUGGCCCACAAGCCCAUUAGCGUAGCACAUAUACGUUCAGCUGGUGGGCAACAUCUCUAAAAAAAAAAAAAACAAGAAAGGGGAGUAGAGCGGCAGUGCCGCCAGUGCUAGGGUUAGCAGCUUGGCGCCUGCUCCCUCCCGUCUUUGGCGGCGGCGCUUCAUCUGAUCCACAGAGGCAGCGCGAGAUCUGGUGGCAGGACGGCACAAGAUGAUGGCUGUGGCUGCUGCUGAGGGGUCUCCGUCGGUGCGGUAGCGGUGAGGUCAUCGUCGUCGUCUUGCUCAUAUCCUGCCUGCUGUGCGUGUGCAGCCUGAGCGCCAUUGUCAGUAGCGCCGUGGCCUGCUGUCGAGAGGAUUGUCUCUCUCGUUGAUGAUUGUUUCUCCUAUACUCUCUAUCCUUCGAUUGUUUUUUUUUUCAGAUUUCUAACACGUAAUCUUUGAAUGAUUGAAUCCCAUUUUCUUGAACGAUUGAAUUCCAUUUUUGUCAGAUCUGGGUUUUUGUGCUUAAGAGCAAUAGUUGCGUGUGUAUGCUUGUGAUUUACUACCUGCUUCGACUAGCAUCUCAUACUAAUUUUUUUUCUCGCCCUCGUCCCUAUAUGCAAGUCUGCAAUCCAGUGCCACAAAGGAUACUUCAGUUUGGUCGGUCAGACUGAAGACCGAGACCGAAGUAUCAGUUAACCGAACUGUCGGUCCACAAGUUUCUUGAGACAACUUCGGUUUCCUUUUUAUAAAGACCGAAAAAACCGGACCGAAAUGUCGGUCCUGACCGAACGCCCACCCCUAAUUGUUAAUGACCCAUUCUUUCUUUUUUCUUCUUAUAUUUCUACUAGGUGGGCCCACAUUAUGCCUUUUCCUCCUUUCUCAUGUGCUUCCCUUUUUUCUCUGUAAUUCAUAUCACAUAGACGUGCCUAUUCUUCUCAUGCUGCAUGGCCACAGACCUCUUCUCCCCAUGGUGCGUGGUAGGAUGAUGCCAUUAGCGUCUCCCAGCUGCCACAUCCUGUGAAGCCACUGUCACCAAGAGCAAAUGUGAGGUCAGAUUUCAUGAUGGCGUUGGCGUCCACCCAGAGCAUCUUGGCCAUGACAGCGAUGACUUCCGCAUUGGGCAGGUCCUCAAGCAUGGUGGCUGGCAACAUCGUACUGCCUUUAUCUGUGACAUGGAUCCAGCGACUGGAGUUCUGUAGCAUGAUGUAAAAGGGUGUGGACAAAGUGGGAAUCUUAGAUCACCACUGCCACUUGUCGCAUUUCCUUGGUGCUCAACAACUGCCGCAUGACAUUAGAACGUAUUGCCAAUCUUGCCAUGUCACCUCCAUGCUGCUCCUGUCAAUUUUUCUCUGAUCUCUUCUAUAUGUCCAUAAAAAUGGAACCUUCUUGUCGUGUUCUAUGCCAUGCUCACCAUUUGUUGCUAUUUCAGUCAUUGGAGCACGUCAUGUGUGGUCGCGCAUGCUCGGUGCUUGUCCUCAAUCACGCUAUAGCAGCUCCCAGAACGUCAAGAGAUGAGGAGAAUGUCAGAUAACCUGUAUCUUUUAUUUUUAUCUUUGUCCUAGUAGGAUGGAAACAUUAGAUAUGGAUGAAAAAAGUUUACGGGGAUGGUAUUCUCAAGAAUUUUCUGUGUUAAUGGUCUUUGGAAGCUUUGGUUUCUUGAUGUUAUUUUCCUACUCCAAUUUCCUUUUUAUGGCAUUGAACAAAUAUGCCCCUUUUUUAACGGAAACUCCAACAGGGACUUUCCCUGCUGUUUCCCUAAAAUACAGUUCAUGUGGCAGCACCAAAUCUGUUAUCUGCGGUUGCUUGCUGCAAUAGAACUGAGCGCAUGAUGUGAGAUUUGCCAGUAUACUAUUAUUGUACCUGAGCAUUGUGAUAAAUGCCAACUAGUACCCUGAAAUCAGAAAAUCAUAUAUACCACUAGAUGAGAUUAAUCAACAACCUAAACGCACAUAUUUGCAAAAUUGCAAUUUUUGCAGAAGAUAUUGCAAUAUGCAAACAACACACACAUGUUUAAAAGAAUACACUUUUUUAAUGGAAGAUAUUGCAAAAAUGCAAGCAACACAACAUUUCUACGUACAUCUGUCAGCUGAAGGUCUUUAAUAGAGGUGGGUGUAAAGUACAACAUCAACCACAGCUCUUGUAAAGGAACAAACAAUGGCAUAAAAAUAAGUUCAGGCAGUGCUCGUCCAAAAACAAGUUUGCAAAAAGUAUUUGUGUUUUAUACAACCACAGCUCUUGUAAAGGAACAAACAAUGGCAUAAAAAUAAGUUCAGGCAAUGCCCGUCCAAAAACAAGUUUGCAAAAAGUAUGUGUUUUAUACUUCUGUUGUUUUCUUGACAUCUCAACUUUACAGGAUGUCUAUUGUUUGAAUGCUGAUGGGUCUCUAUUCGACGCUGCACUAAUCUCAGCUGUUGCUGCAUUUACACAUUGUACGUUCCUUAUUUCUGAUAGCUUAUCUUGAUUUGACAUUUUUCACUACUUAAUUACUCUUCAUUUUGAAAUGUAAAUAUGCUAUUGUAAUAUGUGCUAGCAGUUAGUGCUUUAUUCAGUCAGUAUGAAUCAAAUUACAGAUUUAGUGCCCCCAUUAAAUACUCUUUUUGAUAACUACAAACUCAUGGAAUUGCCUAUUCUUCUCCAUUAGUUAAGCUUUUGGGUGAACUUUCUGGUGCAUGCAAUUCAAUUUUGUAUCACUACCAAGAGGUCUUGAGUUCAAAUCUUGUCAGGCACUGUUUAAAUAAAACGCUGGCAAGCCUUGUAAGUGUGAGGUAGGAGGGAUCCUAGAUUGACGAGGAGUGUUAAAGGAUAAGUGAAUUGUCCAUCCUUCUCCAUCAGCUUAAGCUUUUGGUUGAACUGGUUGGUGCAUGUGACUGAGUGUUAAACAUCCAUAGUUAGUUUAAUUUUUUAUUGCUAAUCAUCUAAAUAUUGUACGCAUUGGUUUAUGAGACAGUUCAUAGCACAUUUUGAGAUUAUUAGAUGAGAACCAUAUAAAAUAGAGUAGUUUAACAUGUAAAUAUUGUUGAUUUUUCUAUUCUACCUAGUGAAACUUCAGGAAGACCGCAAGUUUUUUAUGUAUAUAUAAAACUAGUUAAUAGCCAUAAAUAUAUGCCCUCGUCUAUUUCAUUUUACAUGGCGUAUAGUUUUUCCUCAUUUAUCAUAUCAUGGCAUUUUCUGUUGGUUUUAUAGACUUAUUUAAUCUUAUGCAAACUCGUAUGAUUUCUUAUAUGCUAAAUAAAAUAGAGGGAGUAUUACUUGCCAUACUUCUUAGAUUUGUAAAGUUUGUUGACGGGGAAAAUUUUCAAUGGAAAAUUCUCCCCUAAAGUAAACAUUGAGAAACGGGACUCAUCAAGAUUGGGGUAACUUGAUCCACAUUCUGUUUUGUAUCAUUUGAAAGAUUGUAAUGUUGGAGUCGAUGUCGUGAAUGAAGAUGUUAAGUGGUCUUUCAUUUAAUAUGGUUUCAUGUGGCUGUCUCACAAACCUUUUUCUUAUGUUUGGUGGUUUAUGUGCGUGAGAAGCUUGCCUAAAUAGAGUAAUGGAAGGUGUGUUUUGUUUUGACCUUAUGAGCUCUGGGCGGAGUGUGGAGUGAGGCUAUAUGUGAUCCUGUUAUCAUAACCAACCCUGCAUUGGUGAAAAAAAAAGAUGAAAACAUUGUAGGUACAAAGAGAUUUUUAUGUACAGGAUAUUACUGAUUAUUUCCUGGUCAUUUAUGAUUCUUGAAAUUCAACAAAAAACUUCAGAUGGCAAGGCAAGUCCUGUUAGAUUUGACAUGGAAGUAUUAUCUGGUCAAAACUCGCUGCUCUAUGCCUGUUCAUUUUCCAUUUUAUAGAAAGUUUGUGCAUCUGAAGUUCUUGGUCUGUUCCAUUUUCUUCAUGUUAACAUCUCAAGGUGCUUUAGUUAAUUUUCAUUACUAAUACUAUGUUAUAUUUGCAGUGGAAAUUCCUUUGGUAUCUGUCGGUGAUGAUGGUAGAGUAUUUACUGUUGGGGGCAAUGAAGGCAAAGCCAAAUAUGAAUUGGUAAACAGAGAAAAGAGGAAGCUUACGAUUACUAAUGUUCCAUUUUCCCUUACAUGUGCACUUCACAAGGAUAAUGUUCUAGCGGAUCCAACUGCUGAAGAAGAAUCAAUAAUAGAGACUUCUGUGACUAUUGUUCUCGAUUCUUCAGACCAGAUAGUGUCAAUACAAAAACCUGGAGGUGCAGUGACAUCUAUGACAACUAUUAAGGUCUGUUAGCUAAUCCGUGCUUAAUAAAAAUUUCCAUAGUAUCUGUGGUAGUUUUUUUUUUUGGCUUUUGGUAAAGUAUUCAGGCGCGAAACAGGCUUCAUGUAUUUGACAACAAAGGAAUUACAUUUGUAUAUUUGAUUCAGGACGAAAUAGCAGCUGUCUGAAGUUAGAUACUACUGAGUUUUAUGUUUUGGUGAUAUUUCCUAUUCUUAUACUGUUAUCAAGGGUUGGCUUGUCUCUCUACUCUACCAAAAUUUAGAUGCCAAAAUUUUGGCAUUGAUAAAUUUUAAUAGGGUGUAGAGAUGGAGAACUAUUGCUUAGUUUUGUGCCAAAAUUAUCUUAAUGUUAGAGGAAUAUAUAGGCUCUACCAAAAUUUUGAUAUGCUAGUCUUGAUGGAGUACAUUUUGACAAGGUAGCAAACCAAACUAGCCCCAAGUUAAGCACAUAUAUUUUCACUAAUUUGUUAGUUCUAUUUGAUUCUGAAAACUUUGCACACCAUGUGGCAUAGACAACCAUUUGAGGAUACACCUGAUUGACCUUUAAUUUCUGCAGGAAUGCAUUAGCUUGGCUAAGGACAGGAGAAGAAAGUUAAGAGAAAUUCUCAUGGACAAUGUUGAAGCAAUGGAAGUCGACCAAACUGAUUAAGUUUGUCACAGUUCUGAUUCAGUGAAUCUAACCAAAUUAUUUUUGUAGUAGCUCUUUCCUAUCUCUUGGUUGUACUCGUAGCGUGAUAAAUUUUAGCACCUUUGGCUACUAUCCGUUUAAUUAAAUAAGUAACAGUCCGUACCUGCCUAUGAUUUUAUUGAAUUAAAGUGGUAUCAUAAUUUUAUUUGAGUCUGUCUUAUGUCUUCUUUGUAUUCGUAGUAUGAGGAAUUUUAGCGUCUAUCUACCUUCGGCUUACCUUCUGUGUUUAGUUACACACAACAAUACAAGUAUGUAACAGUCUUUGCCUGCCUAUGAUUUUUUUUUCUUACUAAAGUCGCAUCAUAAUGUUCUUUGAUGGUAUGGUUCGGAAAGCAAAUUGUGUGCAGUCAUGAUUCUAGGAGAUGAAAUUGAGUUUUUCUUUCUUAUUUUUGGAAAAAUUACUGUAGGAGAGGCUCCUACAGUUUAUAUAUUGGUUUAGUUAAGAUAAAAAUUUACUAUGAGAAUUUACUUGAAUAUUUA